rnacentral:lncRNA from 1 species
AUGAAAUCUACUAAAUAAGACUCAAGAAAGAAAAGCAAGAAAAGGAAAUCAACGCACACGGCAAGAAUUGAAUAAAAUAUUCUGGAGAUAGAGUUGGUUAGGAUAAGCUUGAUUAGAGAUAGAGUUGGAUUAGUUAGAGAUAGUAUUUUGAUUAGAAAAGAUUGUGUACAUGACUUGCCUUGUACGUGGUGCGUCAGAGGCCAUCCGCCCUAUAAAUAUAAGGGUCGUGGCCAUUGUAAUUAUCAUCACACCAUCAAUAUACAACAUAUUUAUCUUUUACCUUUUCGGCUUCACGCCAUUGCAUUAGGAGUAGGAGUAAUGUAGCUUCUCGACGAGUUCCUUCUAGCAAGCUGGGCUGCAUCGACUUCGAUCUUCGGUGAGCUGCAAGUUCCGUCACCAGGUGUUCUAGGCUUUAACCACCGGGCGCAUCGCUAUGGUUUCGUCUAGUUUCUUCUACCAGUUACCGAGUAUCUUGGAUCUUUGACUUACGGCGCAUCGCUUCUAUCUCGAUCUACGGUAUUCACCAGUUAUUCCGCCUUGAUUAAGCUUGCAUCGGCUGAUAUGUAUCUGUUCUUUCGUCUUGCCGUUCAAUUUGCUUUAGUUAGCUUUAGAUCGGUUCAUCAUAGACAAUAGAUCAUUUAAUAGCAUGUUGCAUCUUGAUCUUAGCUAUCCUUCGAGUGUUGUUGGGAGUAUGUUCCGUUGUGAUUGGAUCCAUCGGCUAGCAGGGUUUAGAUUAACGUCUUGCUAAAUAUUUCUAGACUGCAACUACCGGGCACAUUGUUGUGGUUUCACCUAGAGAUAUUGGUGGUGACGUUAGUUUAGAUCUCAUCGGCUUGUGGCUCUAGCUAUGGCAGGGCAACAACUCAACAUCAUCCUGUUUUCAAUCGACCGUCUAACUGAUAGUUAUUGUAAAUUAUAUUAAAUCGGCUGGAUGGCCGAUGAAUCACUCACAUUCAUCAAGGUACUGGAAUCGGCUUCACAGCCGAUAUAUUUGUCAUGAUUUAUUUUGUUGCACCAUUAUCGCUACUGUGCUAGGAUUAUAUCGGCCUAAUCGGCCGGUUUCCUCGGACUUCACAACGACUAUCAUCUCCUUGUCAGUUGAAUGGUCAAACUGACUGGCAUGCCCGCGCACACCACACGUGCCGAUUUGGAUUCUGCACUAGAGUUAAGCAGAUCUCCCAGGUUCUCAUGUGCUGAUGCAGGGUCCACCACCGCCAGGAUUUUGUGUCAACACCUUGUAAUCUUCCUUUGAUUUCCUCAAUGAUUCGAAGACAAUAACCUUGCUUCUAUCAAUGAUAAUUAUAAGGAGAACCUAGUGGAAACUGUGUAUUCAUAUUAGAACUACCUAUGGUUAAUUAGGUUAGGAAAGGAAAUCGAAAAUAGACCGUACCCACACUUACUUAAAGUUGUUGGGCAGUAGUAUGUAAUGCUUGUAAUUCUGUUACUCCAAGAAUUUGUAUAUGUAGUCCAAUGUAGACUUUGGUUGAUCCCAUAUUUGUUGUUGGUUAAAUAAGUGUUUCUAGCCAUUUCUAGCCGUUAGAACCGGAACUAAAGGGGGCUCUUUAGUACGGGUUGAUAUUACUAAUCGGGACUAAAGAGCCCCCAUUACAGUUGGUUUUUGGACGCGGAACUAACAACUCCUUUAGUCCCGAGUCCAAAAACGACUGAGAUAGAAGGUCCUUUAUCUACCGUGAAUAUUGCCAGAAAGAAUUGAAAGAGACCGCUUGCUAAAAAUAUGUCAUAGAUGCAGACCAAGCUACCAAGGAGGUAGACCAAACAUGAUACACACCAUGCGUACCUUGCUGUGCAGACUAUGCAUGGACAAGAUACCCGACCACAUGUUGGCCUCGAUCACAUCAAAAGAAUCAUGUAGGCCACCAAUAAACUACUUGAAGCGUCAUUCCGUAUCGUAUAUGCAUUGCCGGGUUCAUCUGCAUUACAUUACAUAAAGUAGUAUUAACUAUUUGAAUAAAAUGAAGCAAUUUAAAAGUAAUGUGUUGUACUCUACUAUAGAAAGCCCUAUCACUGUCGGAUCCAGAAACAUCAUUGUUGAUGGUUGUUAAGUACCAAGACGGUCAAUAUUCUCAAGAAUAAUGGAGAAUUGGCAUUUCUUACACACAUAUUUGGUUUUGAACAAUGUAGUUCCACAUGUCCUUGGAGAUUAUUUGGGUGUGGGUGAAAUGAUACAAAAAGAAGGAGAAAACACACUCCCAUGGCGAAGAAACACAACUCCGACCAAUGAGAGAUAGCCACAGGGGCAGCACACGGAUCCAUGGGCCCACAAUCCGCAUCAAACUGUCUUACCAAGGCGGGUAGCACCCACAACCAUGAUUAGGACCCACCUGGAUGUCUACCAAGAAGAAGGUUGUGAGUGGGGCCAGGAGGGGUUCGGCUGAAUCAUCUCUAGCUCCCCUCAUCCCCAGCUGGUGCGUGGCGGUGGUUGAUGGUGUCCCUACAUCGGUUAAAGGAGAUUCCCCCAAAUAUUCCUCUUGUAAACCACCUGUAUGGACCUAUACAUAGAGGGGUGUGCUCUCCAGUCCAACACACACCACAAGUUUAAUCACUCUCUCCCUCUUUAGUUUCCAUGUUUAUGGAGUUAGGCUAGAGUAGCUCUGCUCAAGGUUCCAAGUCCACUUGGAGUUAAGCAUAUGUCUCUUGUAUCGUUAUUUCCUAGAUUGACUUUAUGCUUAGUUCUUAUAUGCAUGAGUUAGUCUAAUAGCCUUGCUCUAUUGAUAUGCUCGGCUUAUAUGCUCAUAUGCUAGUCAUAUACCCUUGCUGCCGUAGUAUAGGCUUAUAUGCUCUCAUGUGUGCCUUUAGACCUUGCUACAGUAUAUACUUGUUGUGUAUACAUACCAUGUAUAGGCUAGUCGAUCUUUACCAUGGCAUUGGUUCAAUAGCCAUGUUUUUGGUGGCUCCAACCCUAGUCACAAUAGCUCGGGACAGCUGGAGUGUUGUUAAAAAUGCAAGAGUGAUGGUUGGGUUGUUUAGCAUCGUUGGAUAUGGGUUUUCCCCACGGGUUUCUAAGAGUAGGCGGCAGCUAGUGACAGCCCUGUCCGUCCUUCGUAAUCCCCCCCACAUUCAAGUACGCCAUAGAAAUUCAUAAAUUAGCAGUAACUACACCGGCAGACCGGCAGGAUAUUGUCUCCCUAUAGUACCUUGGUGCAUAGAACUAGGUCAUAUACACUGUGUGUCUAUGUUUACGCUGAUAUGAUCUGUGCAGUAUAUAGGAUGUAUAUAUGAACCUAGAGCUAACUCCUAGUCCAUUCUCCGUAGCUUAGUUAUCUUGAGAUGAUUCUUCUGUGUGUGUAACACUACCCAUCUUAUCAUUAUCCUUAAUCCUAUCUUGUGUAAUAUAUCUACUCAUCCUAUGAUAUACUCAUAUGCAUAGUAAACUAUUUUGACCUACCUGCCUUCUUUUGGGAAAUACGAUACCCUGGAAUAAUCCUAGGUGAAAUGCUACAACGGUAUAUCCAUGUGCUUGCGGAAUUAUUCAUGACCAUUAAAUAUACCAACAAUGAUCACUGUCGGUUUUGGGCAUCGUUAGUGAAGCGUCGGCAGUGAUGGGCAUCCCCUUCACCAAUGGAGCUGGAACCGGCGGUGAUGGCCAUUAAAAAAAAUGGGACCCCACCCAGCGUACCCUGCGACCCGGCCGGCCGCGCCUCCCAUCAUCCCCGCCGGCCGCCCUUCCUCUUUGCUGGCCGAGCAUGGUUCCGGCCCUCAUCCCUACCGCCUCGCCUCCAUCGCGACCCCCUGCCGAUGUCCUCAUGCCUGGCCCCCCUCGUCUGGCCGGCCACCCUCCCGAUGCAUCCACCGGGGCCCUCGCACCACCAACCACCCUAGCCGAGAGAGAGAGAGAGGAGGGAGGUGAGGCCACACACCUCGUCCUACAACGCCGCUGUUGCUCCUCGGCCCACCGCGCCUCACCCCACACCACAGCCACGCCUCGCCAUCUUACCGGCCGCGACGCCCCAUCUCACCGGCCACCGUUCCUCAACCCCACAUCGGUCAUUGCUGCUCCUUUCCCUACUGCUGCUCUUUGCCGCCGCGAAUGAGGGGCGAGUGGAGGGGGAGGGGCGGGGCAGGAGGAGGGCAAGAUCCGGGAGGAAGGGAGAGAUUUUGGGAGGUGGAGAUGGAAGGAUAUGGCGGAAGGUAGAGAUCCAGAGGGAGAGAGCGGGGGAGAGAGGGGGGCAUGUGGGGAGAGAGCGCAUGUGGGGUGGGGCCGGGCUGGUGGGAUGGAAGGUAGAGGGGCCGGAGGGCGCAGUGCAUUCAACUGGAUUAAGUAAAUAUUUCGGAUUCGAGACCCCAGCUUUAUUAUCACCGCUGGUCCGUAGUACCAUUCGGUGCUGGCUCAUAAUUUAAUUUGAACCGGUGGUGAUGUUUUAUUAUCACUGCUGGUUUCAAUUUUCACCAUCGGAUCAUAUAAAAAUCCGGCGGUUAAAAAUCCGCUGGUUUCGAUGAAAACCGACAGUGAUAGGACGACUGUGAUAGUCUCUUCUCUAGUAGUAGUAUAUUAGUACCGGCUGCCGGAUGGUGUUGCCGACGAGUACUUCUCCAGGGGCGAUUCAGUACUGAUGUUAGCAAAGCAUGUUCUCUAUGAAUUUGGGGGAUGGAAAGCUAGUUCUCUAGUUGUGAUUUGUUACAUAUAUCUCUAUGAUAGUCUAGAAAUUGCAUGUCCUUCGUUGACAUAGUUGAAGCUGCUUCAAGAAUUUACUUCGUGCAGUCGUGCAGCAUAUUGGAUUAUCACCUAGACAGGAUACAUAGGUGAAGCAUUGGAUGUGAUUGUGGCUGAUAAUUAUGCAGGACGCUGUUGCAAUCAACCAUCAAGAAGACUGGAGCGAUGGGGUUGCCUCAUCAACAAUUUUUAUAUAUGGCUGCAGUAUUAUUAAGCCCACGUCAAUAAUUUUUUCUCCGCAGCAUAUAUAUGGUUACUCAGUUCGCUGGAGUAUCGCUGUGGAAAAACAUACGUACUGCGCCUCGGAACUAACUGGCAUUCAGGCCAUCAACGACCAGAUAUUUGGGACAACAAACAAAUAGUAGGUGGUUCCUAAGUUGUAGUCGUAUGUACUAAUGCGCCUCGAUGGGGUUUUCUUCAGAUAUUUUAUUGCCGUUCAAUGAACAAGCAGAUACAUAACCUGUGCAGAAAAUUCCAUCUCCACGCAUGCCACUGCACCAACAAGAUCCUCAGUCGACGAUGAUGGCUCAGCCUGUUCCUUCUGCCACCAAAUCCUCAAUCUUCCCUCCAGCAACGGAGAAUGCACCUUUAGUACCUUCAGUAUCAGAUGUUGCAAUCGGUACCGUGAAACCGAGACUAAAAUCCUUACUUUGCAGGGGGCAAAACAAUCUUGCAAAUAUAUAUUUUGAAUUCCAACAAAAUUUAAGAAAUGUUAAAGAUGACUAGCUGAGAGUCAACAGACAAGAUAUGAUAUUAGGAAUGUGGGAGGAUGAAUGCAUUUGUACAGGGGUCAUACUAUUUCCAGACUCUUCUAUAUUUCCAUAUGACUACCUACUUCAAUGUCACGCGAGCCAUUCAAAAACAUACAUGGUACACUUGUAUGUCUAAUCCAUUAUUGAUUAUUUCCUCUUGUCAUCUCUUACAAGUAUUUCUCCAUACUAUAGAAACGUGCAACACAUUUUUAGGAUAUGGACACGCAUGAUUAAUAUGCUUGGACUAGUAUACAGGUCAUCUUUGGAUGAGUACAUAUGAAUGCCAGGGAGGGACUGAUGGAUAUAAGGAAAAGGGACCAUGCAUAAAUAAUGACAUAUGUCACAUGGCAAUCUUCAUUGCCAUGCAACUCCUAUCAACAAUCAUGGAAUACAUACUACUGCUCCAGAAGGGUGGUGUGCAAAUUUAUUUUACCUCGCGGUGAAAAUCUCCAGAGCAGGCCUGAAGUUAAAAUAAGAGGAGGCAGUCACUAUCGAUCAUGACAGUCUCGAAACUGUACAGCACUAUGCUAGUCCUAGUCCUCAUGUCGUUCGUGCUGUCGUGUAGCAUGAUGGAUUAUUAACUGGGCAGGACACGGAGAUGGCUAGCGAUGACAGAGGAUGACGUACAUGAUAUUCACCUCUGAAAUGAAGCGUAGGCUAAUGAAGCACAAUUGCAUGUGAGUGUGGCAGAUAUUUAUACAGGACAGUGAUUGCAAUAAUCGACCAUCGAGAUCGAAGACAGGGGCGAUGGGCUUGCCUCAUCAAUAAUUCGCGCAACCAGACAAGCUGCAGACUCAAUAUGGUACGAAGCUAGUUGGUCAGCCCACAUGCUCUGAUAUAACAUUGGCAUCUGCUGAUCUACAGUAUAUAUGACCAGAAAUAUUGUGCCACCUCAAUAAUUUUCUGAAGUAUCGUGGGGAAGAACCUACUCGUACUAUGCCUCGGAACUAACUGACAUAUCGGCCUAGGCGGUCUAGGCCGAUUGGACUGGCUCUUCCUUGUGGCUUCUCACGUCCCCUUCGUUCCUGAGUAAUCUCAGGUGUUCUGGAGUUUUCUUUUCACUUGCAUGUGGGUCUCAUAUAUCAAUAGCUUCGGGAUAAGAAUGCCUCUUGAUAACCUUCCAAAUCGUCGCUUGAUUCACUUUGAUUCCAAAAUCAUCUUGCCAUAGAGACUUAGGCCCUAAGGCAUCAUGGAGGAUUGCUCGCCAAGAAUGAGCACCAUUGGGCUCCUGAGGACCCUAGGCCGAUCAGCCUGUGCUCUAUAGGUCAAUUGGCCCAGGCCCUCUCUGAGCCCAUUGGCCUUCAUCUUUCUCUGAGUCGACGCUUAUUCAGGGCUUUGUCCAAUUAUAGUCCAUUAUAGUCUAAUUUCCUAAAAAACAGAAUAUCCUCCAAAAUACAAUACAUAUGUGAAAACAACCCAAUUAUUAGGUAUGAUCAAUAGUCUAGGUAUUAAAUUAAUAUUAUUAUUUAAGAUAAAUAGGGAUAAAGGGUGUCAUUAAUAACGAGCACCAACCAGCGUGCCAGCUGUUAACACUAACCGAUGCUAAUAUGUAACCUUUAGUACCGGCUAUUUCACCCGGUACUAAACGAGACAAGAGCACCCUAACAGAAGGUUAAUAUCAUCCAUUUCAUGAGUAAAAUACUAUGAUUCAAAAAUAAUUCAAAUCCCUUAAGACAAUACCUAUCAAAUGAGUAGAUUGUAAAUAGAGUAAUAUUGAUCAAACAAUGUCCUAAUGAAACGGAACACUUCUGGUUCGUGUAGAGCACAAUAUAGAAAACAGUAGGGUAGCUGUACGAUUGACACGUGGUCCAUUAAUUAUUGAGCCAUCACUAUGGACAUGUCUUCAUGAGUAGUGUACUAGUCAUGAUACAUGGUAUGUAGUAGGUGGAGGUAUUGAGUUAGCCAUGCCAUGAGCACUUAGUUAGAACAAACACUUUGCCAUUAUCGAGCAUCCCAAAUCACUACAAAAUCCAUAGUUUACCAUAUACUACAAAAUCUGAGUUAAAAUAAGAGCAUACACGGAAGAGUCCGAAUGCACCGGUUUAGGACCAGGCACAUUGAAUUACUAGAAAAAGUUAUCGGACAAGGUUUUGGGUAACCGCAUGAAAAAUAUUGGAUUUUACUGAACACUUAGUUACAAUUACCAUACCGUGAGCACUUAGUCACCACAAACAUUUAACCACUUUAGAUCAUCCUGCAUCCCUAUAAAUUUUGUACCUUACACCGUACCAUGAAAACGACAAGAACAGAGACAGAUGCAGUGAAAAUCUCCAGAGCAGGCCUGAAAUUAAAAUAAGAGGAGGCAGUCACUAUCGACGAUCAGGACACGGAGAUUGCUAGCCAUGACAGAGGAAGACAUGAUAUGAUAUUCACCUCUGAAAUGCAGCGUAGACUAAUGAAGCACAAUUGCAUGUGAGUGUGGCAGAUAAUGGACCAUCGAGACCAUCGAAUGGUAUGAAGCAUGAUUAUCACCUAGACAUGAUAUCCUAGACAGGACGGUGAAUUGUAAAAAGAGUAAUCUUGAUCAAAGAAUGUCCUAAUGAAACGGAACAUUUUUGGUACGUGUAGAGCACAAUAUAGAAAACAGUAGAGUAGUUGUACGAUUGAAACUGCAUCCAUCCACGUGGUCCAUGAAUUGUUGAGCCAACACUGUGGACAUGUCUUCAUGAACACCAUCUAGUGAGGACAGCAUGCAGAAAAAUAUAAAACAUGUCAUAGGGAGGCAGACCAAUCUUGCAAGGAGGUAGACGAAACGUGAUACACGACCUGCCUACCUUGUCGUGGAUACCCCAAGAGAAGAUGUCAUAGAGGUGCAGACCAAGCUAGCAAGGAGGUAGAUGAAACGUGAUACACGGCCUGCCUACCUUGCCGUGGAUAUUAGCCCUGAUAUCAUUCUAUUGUUCAAGGAAUAACACUCAAUGCUGCUGCUGCUGCUGACCUGGCUCCAUAAAGUUAUAUUCCUCUAGCCGCUUGCACUAACUUUAUCUAAGUAUUAUUCUCUCUGCACUAAUAUGUCUUGGAACUAACAGACAUUGAUUCACAGACAAACUCUACAAGGUGCUGUUGUCCCAAAGGACUAUAAAUAAUAUAGUUUACCAUAUACCGUAUACCAUUAUAUGUUAGCUAAAAUAAGAGCAUAACAUGUCGUAGGAGUCCAAAAGCACCGGUUGAGGACAAGGUAUAUUGAAUUACUAGAAAACGACAGGGGACAAGGUUUAGGUAGCCACAUGAAAAACAUUUGAAUUUACUGUUCCAUUAACACUUAGUUACCAUGCCGGGAGCACCUAGUUAACACUAACAUUUAGCCACUUUAGAUCAUCCCGAAACACCAAUGACCCUCAAUAGCGACAAAUUUUGGUUUAAAUGCCGUCACCAAUGAUCCUCAAUAGUGACGUGUUUAGGUUUAAAUCCCGUCACUAAUAACCCUUGGUAGUGACGUGUUUUGGUUUAAAUCUCAUCACCACUGAUCCUCAAUAGUGACGUGUUUUUAGCAACACACUUUAUGAUUGACUUGUCAUUGGUGACAUGUUAAACGCGUUAUCUCAGUGGCAAAUCAUUGGUGACGUGUUUUAAAAAAAAUGUCACUGUGAGAGUUAUUCGUGAAGGGUAAUUAAAAUGCAUUACUAAUUUUGUAGCAUUAGUUAUGAUAUAAUUUAGUAACGCAAAAAUCUACCAUAGUAAUGAGGUUUAGAGCCGUCGCUAAUCUGGGUUUCUUACGUAGUGAUUCAAGCUCUAAAAGGUGCUGUUGUUGCCAUUUUAAAGCAUCCCAAAUGACUACAAGUUAAUAGCAUAGUUUACCAUAUACCAUAAAAAUAUUAGUUACAAUAAGCACAUACGCAUGUGGAAGAGUACGAAUGCACCGGUUGAGGACUAAACACAUUGAAUUACUAGAACCAAAUGUAUGUCCAGAACAAAGAAAGGGGUCAAGGUUUGGGUAACCGCAUUAAAAACAUUAGAUUUUACUGUACCAUGAACACUUAGUUACCAUUACCAUGCCUUGAGCACCUAGUUACCACAAACAUUAAUUUAGCCACUUUAGAGGUUCCUGAAUCACUAUAGAUAAUAUACCAACACCGUACCAUGAAAACAUCAAGAAGAGAGACGGGUACAUGGACCACCAUCAAGUGAGUAGUGACAGCACGCACAAGAAUACCCGGAACCUGUUAGCUUGUCUAUAGUGAUCUGUUUUCUUCCCCAUAAAAUCCAUGAGUAUUGCCACAAAUAAUGAAAGAGGCUGACCAAGCUAGCAAGGAGGUAGAGCAAACGUGAUACACGUAGGUUUCAUUCAAGACAUCCAUGUAAGUUUCAUUCAAAACAUUCAUGGAAAUUUCUUGUAAGUUUUCAUGUAAAUUUCAUUCAAGACAUUUCUUAGAGGUGUUGUAUAUAUACCUUAACGUACAUAUAUCUAUGAUUUCAUGGUUGUUAGUGAUGGCAGAUGAGGAGCAUGCAAAGUAUUUAAUGGAGCAGAUUAUUGCUAGUGGUAGUAGCUCCAACCUGCCCGUAACGUACACCAACGAAGAGAGCAGCCAGGCGGACAUGUUCCUCAACAUAUCCGGUGAUGGCAAUGAAGAGCCCGAGCAAAAAAUUGCCGUGACGGAAGGUUCCAGUGAGGUAUAUAUCAUUUCCAUUGUUUUACCCCAUCUAUAAUUUUAUAUUCAUUAUUACUAUGUACUAAUUAAUGGAUCUUGAACCGUUAGCCCUCUAGAUCAACGAACCGAAAUAAGUCCCGAGGUCUUACAAAGAUAAUGCAGGGAAGGCUUCACAUCACGGAAGUCACAGAAGAGGGCACAUCAGUUGCUCCCGAACAUGUGGCAAGAAAGUACGUGAGUCAAACCAGGCAAUGUGCCCAUCAGCAUUAGGGAAUGAAAGGGCAAUAGAAAUGAUCUAUACGCGCCCCCGGAUACACAAAAGGAUAUGCUGUGGGCAAAUAUCAAGAAACACUUCACAUUUCCCAAACGAUAUGUUGAAAAAGAUGUGAAAGCAUGGAUGCUGAAGAAGAUGGCCACCCAAUUCCAGACAUUCAAGAAGAUGUUGGAUGCCAACUUCAUCAAGAAGGGUCGAACUCCGGGUUUCGAUGAGUGAACAAAGUUAAGGGACCACUAGGAGUCAUUUGUCAAAUACAAGACGAGUGAAGGUGGUGCGAGUAAGGUUCGCAUCAAUGUUGCCAAUGCUAGCAAGGAGUACCAUCAUCAUCUAGGGCGAUGUGGUUACAACACUGCAAUUCCCAGAUGGCGCAAGAUGGAACAAGACCUGAUCGAUCGGGGUAUCGUCCCAGCAACUCUUGACUGGCCUGAUCGAUUGAAAAAUUGGUAUUAUGCUCAUGAAGGCAAUCUGAGCCAACAGGAUGCGACAUUGGUCUUCAAUAAAACAAUACGUCAGAAGGCCGGAAGGCUUAUUAGGAACAUUGAAAAUUCUAAAUCUGGGAGGUUCAAGGUGGAUAGAGAGAAUGAUGAGCUCACAUUGGCCCUUAGGACUGUCAUCUCUAGCACUUCCAGCUCCAGGACUGUCGUCACCACCGGGACCAUCGCUUCUUGCUCGAUCACAGUCUCCAUCUCCAGCACAUCCAGGUGGUGCGAACGAUGACGACAACAACACCCCUCCCUGCCCACCAUCGCCGGGACUAAGACCCGCAUCGAGUAAGGAACCUGCAGCACCACUGAAGAAGUCGCGACCACCGCCUUCCAAGCCAAGUCAGCAAAAGAAGAAAGCAGAGAAGCCUAAGCCCACUGAGAAGCCAGCAACCGAUAUGACCGAUGCGGAAAGAUGGAAGGCACUCAAAGAAGAAUGCAGGGAGUGGUUCAGAAAAAGGACCAAAGAAAGAAAAGGAAAGCAGAUGGAGCCACUGCCAGUAGAUCCAAGAAAAUUAUAAUUUUUUAUUAAGAUGUCAAAAGGAGCCAAGAAGAUGAUUCCACAACUAUCAAACUACGACCGGACCUUAGUCAAGGCUGAUGAGAGUUAAAAAAGGAAAGGAAAGUCAUCUUCAAGUGGUACUGUCCCCCACCUCGAGGAUCUACCAGAAAAAGACGCUAAAAAGAUAGUAGCAAUGCUCUUGGAUCAACAAACACAUAUAUCGUGAGAUUCAUGCAAGAAACAGGUAUGUGCCUUACUGAAUGUCUAGGGCAAGUUGAUAUGCUAGCUCUAGAGCCAUUUGUACCGAAAUGGACCUUUGAGCUAGGCAAGCCUCUAGUAAGGCCUGAGUUGGUACAGAAGCUAUCCACAUAGCUGUAUGAAUACCAUGAAUGGUACAUGAAGUAGUCUGCCAAUGAGAGGGAAAUGUUCGGUCUCGGGGAAAAACUGAUAAUUUUUUUCGGCGAAGGCAAGAAAGUCUUGUGGAUGGAAUUCAAGGAUAUAUAUGAAGUGUACCAUCAGGAUGCCCUUGAUGUCUCUCUCAUCAGCGCCUAGGUUAUGUAAGUGUAUGUUUAUCUAUACGUAAUUUUUGUCUCAUAUCAUUAUUUCUUUUGCGUGCGUCACCCUACUAACUUCGUCUUCCAUUUUAUGUAGGAUGCUAAUUCAGAUGUGCCGCAUAGAAGCGCACUUCCAUGUUGGCUUCAUGGAUCCAUCCCUAGUUAACCAAAAGCAGAUACGGAAGUAGCUAGAGAAAAUGUUGGAGGUGGUAUACAACUUCCUGGACAAACAAAACUAUAGAAUAGGGGCAAUAUGUGAAGGUCUUGUAGGAUUCCUAGUGGACGAGGUGAUAAAUCCAUAAGGAGAAUAUCAUUACAACGGACGAGCAUUAGACACACUGAGCAACACCUAGACGGGAGGAUCCUAGGAAUGACCUGGACAGAUUUUGGUAUAAAUAGUAAUUGUGUAAAUACUAGUUUGAUUUGUAUAGGAAUAUACUAAGAAUUGUAUAUAUAGUAAUUGUACAAAUACUAGUUUGAUUUGUAUAAAUACUAGAUUGAUUUUAUUAUAAAAAAGUUUUAAGUCGUACGUGCAUGCGCCUACAAAGGCGCGUAUGCCCUUUAAUCCCGGUUGGAAAAACAAACCGGUACUAAAGGGGCUCGUGCCCCACCUGGCAUGACCACCCCUUUAGUCCCGGUUGAACGACCCAGGACCAAAGAUCUGCCCCGUCUCAUAAAUUUUAUCCCGGAUGCUUUUUAGAGAGAUUUGAGGCCUAUCAACCAAGACUAAUAUCGAGUUUUCUACCCGUGGAACUAACUAACGUUCACAUGCUUUUGACAUUCACCUGCCAUUUGGUGUAGACAAGGGCACCCUAACAUAUGGUUAAUAUUAUUCAUGAAAGAAAAUCCUUUGAUUCAAAAAUACUUCAAACCUAAUAAUACAAUACUUCUCACGUCUGAAAAAUAUGAGAUGGCCCGACAGUAUUCUAACCGACGCAAUAAUAUUUUGAGGGCAGCACUACUACAGCGACCUUCAUUCGUGCCGGUGCUGGGACCCCUAUCACGACCCUGAUACAAAUGAGGGUACAUUAUUGUUGCCAGUGCUAGAAUAGCCACGAAUAACUUGCUAAACAUGCUGUUACACUCACUACUAGAAAAAUAACCUCUCGUCCUGAGGCUUAGUACCGGUCACUUUUUUGCCCAGUACUAAUGUUAGUAUUAGUACGGGAUCCAAAUUUGGGAUCCCCCAGAGACCCUUUAGUACCAGGUGGAGUCUCCACCCGAUACUAAAGGCUUUGUUACCGGGUGAAGGAUCCUCCCCGUACUAAUGGGGGAUUUUUAGUACCGGGUGGGAACCCCACCCGAAACUAAAAUCUCCCGUGCGGACCCCUCCCCCCCCCCACGCGUUGCCUCUCUCCUCCCUCCUCCUCCUCUGAGUAGUUAUCCCUUCCUCAUCCCUCCUCCUCCUCCCACACGUGGGGCGAGGUGAGGUGGCAGUAGCAACGACUAGUGGUGUGGCGGGUCGCGGCGGGCCGGAUGCGGAGCGGCAACGGUGGUCGGCGGGAUGGGGNNNNNNNNNNNNNNNNNNNNNNNNNNNNNNNNNNNNNNNNNNNNNNNNNNNNNNNNNNNNNNNNNNNNNNNNNNNNNNNNNNNNNNNNNNNNNNNNNNNNAACAUCGACAAAACAUAUAAACCCAGCUCAGUAGCUCAAGCAUCAACUAAAACUGCUGAAUUAAAAUAACAUAACAUUGUGUAGUUCAUCAUGAUGAUAACUAACAGAACCGAAAAGCCUAACUGGGUAAAAGAGCAAUUCGUUCAUAAUGCUUCAGCACUUACAUCACCGGAGUAUGCAACUGGCGGCGUCGCUUACGUCACCAUCACCGCACUUGGCGAGUAAAGGAGGAAGAGGUGGCAUAGUAAUCGAAGAGGAGGCCGCUGCCGGCGGGUUUAGACUACGUGGAGGUGUGGGUAGGGUUAAGGUGGCUCUGUGGACGAGUAUAUAUAAGAGGUCUGGGCUUGUUAGAAUAAGAUAACAUUCUAACUGGCCAAAUUCGGAUCCGGUUAGAAUAAAUUGUUCUAACCAGCCCUAAUUCGAGGUGGUAAGGAUAAGUUAACAUUCUAAUCAGCUCUAUUUGGAGCCCGAUUGAAUGUUCUUGUUAUUCAAAAAAAGAUCAAGUUCAUCAAUUUUUUUCUAGAAAAACAUCAAGAUAAUUUAAACACGAUAUAUAACAAGAUUAAUACAUUUAAAAAUUGUUUUCUCCAAUAAUUAACGAUAUUUAACAAAUUCAAAAAAAAUCCAAAUUAACAGAACACAAUAACCAAUUGUUCGAAAAAAUCAAAAUAGUCCACACAGUAUCAUAUUACAAAUUCAGAAAAAUAUCAAAAUAAUCCCUGAUCCACUCGAUACCGUCGUAGAACUUUGAAAUACUGAGCUUCUUGAUUCAUCUGAGGUCCACGUACUCGUCUCAGUAACACUAGUGGUGGCCAUGCAUCUUGUAGAUGUCUUCUAACGAAUCAAGCUUGACAUACAAGGUCGUGCCUUUCGCUCCUUGAGGAUUGCUUAUGACGUUUCUGCAAAUAACGAAGCAUUGCUUUCUCCAACAUGCUCAUUUUCUUCGGCUUAUCCCAAGGGACAACUAUGGUUUUCCCCUUGCCGGAAGAGGAACGAUGAUCGCCCCCACCAUCGCCACUUCCUCCAGUAGCAGAAGCCAUCUAUGUACAAAAAUUCAUACCUUAGCACUACAGAACUUGUUGAACUUGAAGACUGUGAUCAUUAGGCGAGCAUGUUCUCAACUGGGCGGCACCGCACUUCGUCAUGGAAGAGCUUCGAUUUUACAAAAAAGGGGACAUGAUCUUCCAUGAUGUCCGUAUCCGCUCUUUCUCGUAUAAUCAGAGCUCCUCCUUAACAUACGAUGCUGCUCGGCGAAGAACAUGCUCACCGAGAUGAACACGGUAUGCAAGUUCAACAAGUAUGGAUUUGAAAAACCAUAUUGAAUUUGACAAGACAAACUAUCUAGACAAGGGUAGCAUCAUUCUUAAACCACUGCAAGGAUACGUACUAUAUAUGACACAUCAAUCUCCCUCACAUUCUAGCUCAAAAUACCUCUCCAUUUUCUACUUCACAUUCUAGCAAAUAAACUAUCUAUCUCCAUUCUACACAUCAAGUUGUUUUAACUAAUACAAAUCGUAUAUAACAAGCAAACUAUCCAUCACAUUCUAGCUCAAAAACAUGUAUAAAUACAAAUCCUCUUCAUUCUCCCUCUUUCUAACAAACAAACUCAUUUUUCUCCCUCUCUAAAGCAUAAAUUAAAGCGUAACAUGAGGAUGAGGUAGCAAACCUUCACAACACAUUGGAUGAGUGAAAUUCCCACGAAAAUGAGGGAAAAAAAUUCGGGCAGCACCUCCCUUGCUUCGGCACCUCUAGAGAGUAGGUGAAGCUCAGUUCUCUAUUUUUGUGGUGGACUGGCUUGGGCUGGAGGAGGAAGAAAGGCCUCUAUCUUGGUAUAUAAUGGGGGAUGAGUUUUUAUCCCAGUUAAAAGCUCCAACCGAGACAAAACGGCCAAUCUUUUGUCCCGGUUGGAGCCUCCAACCGGGACAAAAGGGGCACGCCAUCGACGCCCGGGAACUAGCCGUUACAACCGGGACUAAAGGGGGGCCUUUAGUCCCGGUUGCAAAUACCAACCGGGAUUAAAUCUCCCCUCCAUUUUUGCCUACCGUGGUGCGCCCCCUUUUAUCCCGGGUCAACUUUAAACCGGGAUAAAAGGGGGCGUAUCGAAGAUCAGUUCUCUACUAGUGACCCCUCCCCACCUAUCUCUCUCCCUCCAUGCUCCUCGAUCUGUGCCUCCCCUCCCCUCCCCUUCCACUCGCCCCUCACCGACGGUAAGGAGCAGCGGCGGGGCGAGGUGAGGUGGCGGCAGCAAUGGCAGGUCGUGGGUCGCAGCGGAGCGGCUACGGUAGGCAGCCAGACGGGGCAGAGCGGCGGGGCGGGGUGGAGGCGGAGGCGGCGGUUAGAGGCGGAGCGGCGAGGCGGAGGCGGAGGUGGAGGCGGAGUGGUGGGACGGCAGGGCCGGGCGACUAGUAUAGGUGGGCGGGCGGAGGGCGGCGACGGUGGAGCGGGCGGAGGCAGAGGGGCAGUGGGGGCUGCCGGCGGGGGGUGCGGUCGGGGAUUUCAAUUUUUUUUUAAUUUUUUAACACCUUUUAGUCCAACUAGUUCUAAAGGGACCCCUCUAGUAUCAAAAUUGCUAGUACCGGUUGCACAACCGGUACCAAAAGGGUUCCUAACUGGUACUAGAGCCACUUUCCCUGGUAGAGACUUUUUUACCGGUUAGAAUAUGUUAUUAUUUUAAUCAGCUUUCGCUGAUCGCCAGUAUGAUUUAGUACCUAAUUUUACUGGCGAUUGUUACCGCUGACACGGAUUGGGUAUAGUCCUAACAGUGUAUAACUACGGCACUACAUUUGUUAACCUAUAACUACUUGUAUCGAUUAGCCCUGGUUAGAAUACUGUCAAGGCAGCCAGAAAUUUUUUUUUUGCCAAUUCUGCUAUCCAUGAGAUCCAUGACUAGUACCGCAAUGUAAUGAAUGAACUGCACAAAUAACUGAUGCACACAAAGGAAUAUGCACUUGCACGCUAGACGUUCGUAACAACAAAUUACUCUCAUCACCAAUUGAACAUAAUAGAUUAAACAUUAACCGAACAGAAUUCAACACGUACAUCAACACGACAAAGCAGUUUAAACAUCAACUGAACAGAACUGAACACAUACAUCAACUGAUGAUAAUUAUCGACAUCAACAGAACACAUGAACAUCAACAUCAAUAGAACUUAAUAGAGCAUAUUAAACAACAACAUCGACAAAACAUAUAAACCCAGCUUAGUAGCUCAGGCAUCAACUAAAAUUGCUGAAUUAAAAUAACACAACGUAGUGUAGUUCAUAAUGCUUCGGCGCUUACACCACUGGCCGGUCGCUUACGUUGGCAUCACCGCGCUGGCUGAACCUCCGACACCCCCACCACGGCAAACGGAGGUGAUGGCGGAAGGUGAGGCAACGACAGUAGCUGGUGAGCUCCCGCUCCAAUGUCUCGCGAGUGAAGGAGGAGGAGGUGGCAUGGGAAUCGAAGAGGAGGCCGCCGCUGGCGGGUUUAGACUACGUGGAUGUGUGGGUAGGGUUAAGGUGACGGUGUGGACUAGUAUAUAUAAGAUGUCUGGGCUUGUUAGAAUAAGAUAACAUUCUAACCGGCCAAAUUCGGACCCGGUUAGAUUAAAUUGAUAUUCUAACCGGUCCUAUUUCUAGGUGGUAAGAAUAAGUUAACAUUGUAAUUGGCUUUAUUUGGAACCCGAUUGAAUCUUCUUGUUAUUCAAAAAAACAUCAAGUUCAUCAAUUUUAAUCCAGAAAAACAUCAAGAUAAUUUAAGCACGAUAUAUAACAAGAUUAAUAAAUUUAAUAAUUGUUUGAUCCACAAAUUAAUGAUAUUUAACAAAUUCAAAAAAUCCAAAUUAACAGAACACAAUAACCAAUUGUUCAAAAAAAUCAAAAUAAUCCACACACAUUAAUAUAUUACAAAUUCAGAAAUAUAUCAAAAUAAUCCCCGAUCCACUCGAUACCAUCAUAGGACUUUUAAAUACUGAGCUUCUUGAUUCGUCUGAGGUCCACGUACUCGUCUCAGUAACACUAGUGAUGGCCAUGCAUCUUGUAGAUGUCUUCUAACGAAUCAAGCUUGACGUACAAGGUCAUGCCUUCCGCUCCUUGAGGAUAACCAUCUUUGGUGAUCUUGAAAUGGCAGACGGUGGAUGUGCCAAAGGUACGUAACGAUCCUUCUAAAUGUAUGCCACCACAACUUCCGUCUGAUCGCCAUGGGUGACACCAAGAAGAGCUACCAUGCGGCAAGGGACGAACAAUUUAUCAAUUAGUGCCGCUGUCCAUUCGCCAUCAUCUAAUCCAGCCAUAUCUUGAUGUAUAUUUAAGUAUAGAAAUUAAGAUUUAAAAAUAAACAGAAUAAAUUGAGAUCGACUAUGUAUGUAUAUCAGAACAUUAGCUUUUGGAAAAAGGGCUUCGAUGGAAGAGAGGCACGGGGCAUAGAGACAACAACGAGUGACAAUAUGUCAGAAGAAUACCCGAUCACAAUUAUUGGCUACAGGACGGGCACACACAGCCGAUAUUUACAGUAGUCAAUACCCCUGGUAAAUAACCACACCAUCAAGAGUAAAUAGUGACAAUAUGCAGUAUAUACACGACAUAGCCUUGGUUGCCGUGGAAGCGCCAGAAGGGAGACAAAUAACAGGGACCACAACAUCAAGUAGAUAGUGACAAUAUGCAGAAGAAUACCCGCGCCUGUUAGCAUGUGUGAACUGACCACACCACGAAACGUGAUACACGGCAAGCGUACCAAGGCCUUGCUGUGCAGACUAUGCAUGGACAACACAUGGUACCUGACCGCUUUUGGCCUCAGACACAUCGAAAAACUGCAUCGUUCCACGUUGUACAUCCAUUGCUAGUUUAUCUAUAUUACAUAAUAUAUUAUUAGCUAUUUGAAUAGAAUGAACCAAUUAAAAAAUUGCGUUGUAUUUUAGUACCGGCUGCAGGAUGGUGUUACCAACCAGUACUAAUUGGCCUGUAGGAGUGAUGGUUAUUAGACUUGGUACUGUUGUUAGCAUCAUUAACCUAAUUGUGCGCGGUAUGAAUUUGGGGAUGCAAAGCUAGCUCUCUAUGAAUGUGAGGGAUGGAAAGCUAGUUCUCUAGUAGUAAUUAGCUAUAUAUAUAUGUCAGUCAAGAAAUCGAACACUAUGCUGCUACGAGUCACCAUCAUUUCCUUCAUUGACAAUCUGACAUAGGUGAAGCUGCUUCAAGAAUUUCCUUCGCGCAGUCGUGGAGCUUAUUGGAUUAUCACCAGGACGGGACACGGAAAUGGCCAGCAAUGAAGCUGAUUGCCGUCUGAGGAAGAUUACAUACUUACCUAUGAAAUGAAGCGAUUGCAUAGACUAAUGAAGCAUUGCAUAUUUGCAUGUGAGUGUGGCAGAUAAUUCUGCAGGACAUGAUUGCAAUCCACGCACCAUCGAGAAGACUGGGGCGAUGGGGUUGCCUCAUCAAUAAUCACGUGGAUGCAUGCAUGCAUGUUCCCGCAACCGGACAAGGGUCUGAUAUAUGGCUAUAGUAUUACUGAGCCCACAUCAAUAAUUUCCGCUGGUGUAUCGUGUGGGAAGAAUCAACAUACUACACCUCGAGUUCUUGGAACUAACUGACGUUCACAUGCAACCUCCACAAGGUGCUGUAUAUAUGCUUUUGACAUUCACCUGCCAGUUCGUGUAGAGGACACCCUAACGUAUGGUUAAUAUUAUCCAUUUCAUGAGUAAAAUACUGUGAUUCAAAAAUACUUCAAAUCCCUUGAGACAAUACUUCUCACUUGACUAACCACUAACCAACCCCGAAACCCUAACUCAACUCCGAACCCUAACACCUAACGGCAUAACCACUCCGUUUUGCCAGCCAGAUGGAGGAACUGGCUGGGAGGGAGAGAGGGCAGCGGUCCAGGGUUGAAAACGACGGGCGAGCGCAGUAACAUGUGGAGGAGGAAGUGCCACGUAUUCGUUCACCGCUAUUGGGCAGCGACACACAACACGCCCAAUAAGAUUUUCGCACGGUAGAAGGGCGCCAUGUAUUCAAUAAUGUUAUUGGUCCUCCAUGUGCAGAAGGGCGCGUAUGGAAUAACAAGUAGGGACACUGCAACUAAUCUACUCUGCUCGUCCAGUCCCUAGCCUAUAAAUAGAUGCCAUGCUAGCUCUUGUUGUGCUCACAGUUAAUCCGAUUACACACGAGCUUCUCUCCCUGGCCAAGACACAAUCAUAGUAUGAUGAAGAACAUGGCACUAGCCGGCAAUGGUAUGAAGAAGUUAAUCCUCGCUGUUCUCUUACUGUGUCUAGUUAUAGGGCAGAUACAAGUGGAAGCUAAGAGCUGCUGCCCAUCCACCACUGCAAGAAAUGUCUACAAUACCUGCCGUUUGACGGGUGCAUCCCGUCCAACGUGUGCAAAACUGUCAGGCUGCCAAAUUAUCAGCGGGAACAAAUGCAAGCCCCCUAACGACCACCUCACCCUUGACCCGGACACUGGUAAAUAAUAAAUUUAUCUCACUUGAUUUCUUUGUGUUUUGAGUCGUUAAUGUAUUUUCCAUCUGAUGAAACGCAUUGGUUUUGCAUUGAAGAGGAAGUUAAUGUGCUUAACUUCUGCAAGUUGGGGUGUGCGUCGUCUGUGUGCAACAACAUCAACGCUGGUAAGCACCUUUUGCUCAGACAGAGAAAACAAUAAUCAUUAAUUAGCGGCAGCUAGAAUCCUAUAAUCUAAUAUAUAUAUAUAAUUUUAUCAGCUCUGGGAAAUGAAGAGGCGAACGAUGCCGUUGAGAGUUGCGACCAAGCCUGCUCUAGCUUCUGCAGCGUGCAUGUUGGCAGCGCCACCGUGGUUGCUUAAGCAAAUGCAUCCAACUAGAUCGUCCUUGUGCUGAAUAAUUGGAUAUCGUAUCCACUUAAAGCUGCCUUGUGUAGUACGUCUUUGUGUCUCUCUUUAUAUUCCAAUAAGGUCGGUGAUCUUGAUGCCACACACUCAGAUGUGUGUUCAUCUCCAGAUACUACUCCAUGCUACCUGCCCUUUGUGUUUUGUUCAAUAACUGGGUAUCAUAUCCCAACCAGUAUGCCGUCUGUUUUGUGUUUGUUUCCUUCUAGUUCCAAAAGGGUCAUCAUGAUGUUACCUUCUUUCAAUAUGGUGCUUUGCAUGACUACUAUUGUAUGGUACCAUCUUGUGGCCAAUAAGUACAUCUUAUCCUAUGACCUUUGCUAUGACCCUUUGCAAAUAAGUAGAAGAUUGUUAUAAGCGUCAAUACUCCUUAUAAAUUGAUCGCUGCUGUGAGUUCCCUUUCAGCUUAUCGUAGGCAUACAUUAUUGCUAGCACGGUAAAGCCAAUCAACACGAAUGAUGAAGUAAAUGUAGCGGUACUUCUGUAUACCAACACCCUUACUUAAAUGUACCGGUGUCAUUCCCUACUGGCACAUAUAUUCUUAUAUGCUAGCCAGCUUGUAAAAUUAACCAAUUAAAAUAAUUAAUUCAAGAUAGAAAUAACUUAUCGGCUUCUCGAAGCAUGUGUAAUAUGAAUCGCUUCAUCUAUAUUGCUUUCAGGAUUUUGGGUAACUAAAUUUAACAUUUGCACAUACAAAUGUUAAAGUACAAAUGUUAAAUCUAGUUACCCAAGCAGAAUAUGAAUAUACUCUAUAGUAUAUAUAUACUAUAUAAAUCUAGUUAACAUUUAGUCUAAAUGUUAAAUCUAGUUACCUAAAAUCCUGAAAGCAAAAUGUAUAAAUAUAUAUCUUUUAAGGCAGUAUAAGCUUCGAUUCCUAUUGCUGCUCUGUUAAAUCUCAUCUUUCGUUGUGGCCCAACACUCUAGUAUGUAUGUUGCACCAAGCUUCCUUGAGCCGCUCUGCCCUCUGAUUUUGCUGCGUAGGGGAAUCUUUAUCAGGUUGGGCUGCUUCCAGUCAUACGAUGUGUGGCUUCAUAUCUUCUACAAGUUAGACAGGAAACCCGCGUUCUGGAAGAUUCUGCAACGUGCACGUUGGCGCUGCCACCGUGGUUGCUUAAGCAAAUGCAUCCAACUGAAUCGUCCUUGUGCUAAAUAAUUGGAUAUCGUAUCCACUGCUUAAAGCUGCCAUGUUUAGUACAUCUUUGUUUUUCUCUCUUUAUAUUCCAAUAAGGUCGGUGAUCUUGAUGCCACACACUCAGAUGUGUGUUCAUCUUCGGAUACUACUCCAUGCUACCUGCCCUUUGUGUUUUGUUCAAUAACUGGGUAUCAUAUCCUAGUCAGUGUGCCAUCUGUUUUGUGUUUGUUUCCUUCUAGUUCCAAAGGGGUUAUCAUGAUGUUACCUUCUUUUGAGGUGUCUAUGACUUUGUUAAUAUCAAUAUUAACCAAUUCAAUCUAUCUUAACUAUUUGUAAGGGGUAUGAUGUAUGCAUGAUUAUAACAAUGAUUGCGCAUACAAUCACUGCCAAAGAAACGGUCAAUACCAUAAAGACAUAUUACAGACAAUUCUCAUAAUUUAUAAUGAAUAUACAUAUUCACUACUGCAGAGACUGUCAUUUGUAUCAGCUCAUACGUGCCAGGGCAAAGGUCACCCUUGCAUUAAAAGUACAUUUGCACGGUAAAGAUAACCAACACGAAUAAUGAAGUAAACAUGCCGGUGCUUUUGUACACCAACACGCUUACUUAAAUGUACUGGUGUCAUUCCUCACCGGUAGCCGGCUUGAAAAUUAACCAAUUAGAACAAUUAUUUAUUGUAUCGGUGUGAAUUUUGACCUAUUGGAAUAUGAAUUUGACCGUUACUGCAUUCGUCAAGACUCAAGAGAGAAAUAACUGAUCGGCUUCUUAGAGCGUGUGCAAUGUGAAAUCAAGGACUGGAUGGAAGUUGAAGCGCUAGCUUCAUCUUCCGCUGCAUGUUAAUUGCUUGGAUAAGAAGUUGUAGCCGCGUAUAUAAAUAGUCCCGCUGAUGCUGUGCUCCGAAGUCUAUACUAUAUAUGCGAAAACUAGAUUGCUUUCAGGAUUUUGGGUAACUAAAUUUAACAUUUGUACAUAAAAAUGUUAGUUUACGAAUGUUAAAUCUAGUUACCCAAGCAGAACAAGAAGAUAGUAUAUACUAUAUACUAUGUAAAUCAAGUUAACAUUUAGUCUAAAUGUUAUAUCUACUUACCCAAAAUCUUGAAAGCAAAGAAAGAAUAAGUAUAUAUCUUUUGUUGGAAAAUUGGUCCACGGAGAGUGGCCUCGUUCGUUUCACCGGGAUGGAAUUCCAGUCAGGAUUACUUCCAAGUCCGGUUUAAGUGAUUCCACCCAUGUCACUCAAUUCGGCUAGGAUUCAUUCCAGGGGUGAGGAGGUAUGGUUUCAAUCCGGGCCAUCUAAUGUAGAAGGAUUCCAAUCCAGGCCGGUUUUCGUUCUAGGCUAGACUAAAACGAACAACACUUUCAAUGCAAGUCUGGUUUCAAACCGGGCCACUUCAAACCACCCGGAAUGGACCUCAUUCCGGGCCAAUCCGGUGAUAACAAACGAGGCCUUAAUGGAAUCCCAAAGCAAGAGUUCAGUGGCAUUCUAUAGUCCCAUGCUGCUAGUUUGAGUUGGUCGAAGCCAACUUAAAUAGGAGAGCUCUCUCACUUCUCUAAAAAUGUAACUGAAGGAGAGAAGGGGGCUUGGGUUACACAACGCACGCACGCACGCAUAUUUGCAUUCUUUUCGCGUAACCGACCGCGUGACUUGAAACUUGCGACGUAGCGUGCUGCUAAGUCAAGUUGAUAUAACCUUUUUGCCGUUUGCGUGUAAUCUUUUGACAACGGUCAUUGGAGGUGAUAAGCACGCAGUCAAUACCUUAAUCCUGAGUUAAUAGGGCGGUUACUACUGCCAAUUAGUGCAGCAAUUUUGUAGGGGAAACGGUUAGCAGAGGGCUACCGUCUUCUCUAUAAGAAGUUUUGGAGACGUUCAGGAACACACAUGUACAUGUGAGAGACCCACGGAUUCCUUCCCUUCUCCCUUUUCCAUCUGGUGAAGUGUGCUAUGGUACUGAGCUGCUGGAUCUCGCCGGCUCUUCUCCUUGGCGUGCACCGAGGAGGAGGGUGAGCGGUAUCUCUGAGCUAUUGCCGUCAGGAAGCCUGCACGAGGGACAACAAUAAAGUUUUUAGGUAGCGCCUGCCUAAUCUUCGAUCUGCACUGCAACGUGUAACCCUGCAGCAACUCUACACGAGGACGGAGCACUAAUCUGUAAGUCCUAGAUUGGUUUCUUACAUAGUUGUAGGUUACACAAGAUCUAGAAUGGUUACAUACCAAUUAUUAUGGGUUACAUGAUGUUUUGUACGGUUUCGUCUAUUUUGCAUAUGCUAUUUUUUCUAUUUUGCAUAUGCUAUUUUUACAUACCGUUUACAUGCAUAUGUUAAUGGUUACACCUAGCUAUUUGAAUCUAGAAUUGGGUUACAUAGCAGUAGCAAUGAGUUACGUAAUAUGCCUCACGUUUAUAUCUGGUAGAAUUUAACACGUAUCUCCAACAUAUUUUGAGGCAGUAUAAAUUUCAAUUCCUUUUGCUGCUCUGUUAAAUCCCGUCUUUCGUUGUGGCCCAACACUCUAGUAUGCAUGUAGCACCAAGCUUGUUUGAGCCGCUUUGUGCUUUGAUUUUGCUGCGUAGGGGAAUCUGUAUCAGGUUGGACUGUUUCUUUGUCUUGCGAUGUAUAGCUUCAUAUCUUCUAGAGGUUAGACAGCAAAACCCGCAUUCUCUUAAGGCAACAACCCGAAGAAUCUGCAGCGCCUCUGAUAUAUCACUGCUGCAGAAACGAUCUUUAGUACUGAUCUCCAACCCUCUUUAGUAUCGGUUGGGCAACCAGUACCACUAUGUCGGUACUAAAGGGAGUUCUCUAGAAUCGGAUCAAAUAACCGGUACUAAAAGGGCUCCUUUACUACCGGUUGGUAACAACAAUAGGUAGUGACUUUUUUGCACCCAAAAAAUUAAAGAAUAACAGCCGGGAGGCUCGCACACACACGCAUCAUGAGUAAUAUGCGCGUGCAUGGUUUGUGGGAUUUCAACCCACGACCAAGCUAUAAGAACGUAGUUACAACAAAUCAAACACUUAGACAUUUUAGAGCAUCCCAAAUAACUACAAAUUCUAUAGUUUACCAUAUACCAUAAAAUAUUAGUUAAAAUAAGAGCAUACACAUGUCGGAAGAGUCCCAAUGCACCGGUUGAGGAUCAGACCAGGCACUUUGAAUGCACAUGCCAUAAGAUAAUUCUGCAGGACAAUGAUUGCAAUAAUGGACCAUCGAGAAGAUAGGGGCGAUGGGGUUGCCUCAUCAAUUAUCACUUGGCGCAACAAGACCAGCAAAGUCUUUAUCGACAGGGGUGGAUCAAGGGGUGGGGCAGGCAGAGCUCCAGUCCUCCUACCGCCGCUCGAACAAUGGAGCCCCCUUAGCCCCUCCAUAAAUUUUUAGGUAGAAGAAAAAAGAAGAGAAGGGAAGCAAGGGGAAGAAGAGGGAGCCCCUACUAAGUAGGUCGCCAUCGUGCUUCCCAACGCAUGAUCGCCGCACCGCAUCCAUUCCUCUACAAGCCUUCAGCGUCUCUCCCGCCGCUACCUCUGAACCAUGUGCAGCUAUAGACCCAACUAGUGUGUUGUCGCCCAUCUCAGUCCCAACAGAGCGGCGGCGGCUGCCAACACAAAUCUCCCUCCGCCUCUUCUUCACGGUCGAUGGCCGCCACAAGCAUAAACCUCGCCUUCGCAUCCAAGCAAAAGGGUCGUUGGGGUGCCUUCUUGCAUCACUUCUCAGCCUCCUUCACUUGCGGCCAGCGAAGAACUGCGCCACCACCUCGGGUGCGUGCCACCACUCCAGGGCCGCUACCCCAUGCCUGCGGCCGCCACCGGCCACCACGCGUGUGCAACCGCGUUGCACCGCUUCCCUGCUUUGUGCCACCACUACUGCUGUACCACCAGCUCCACCACCUUGGGAUGGUCGCCAGGGUGACUGAUUGGUGGAUUAUUACUAAAAAUAAGUUCCUUAUUAUCUGCAACUACUAUUAACUCAGAGAUACAUGCGUCUUUUCCUUCUCCUGCUAAUAGGUCCUAAAAUAUCUAGGAUGCUUUAUAUUUCUGGACAGAGGAAGUAUUUGAAUAAAAUGAACCAAUUUAAAAAAAAUGUGUUGUACACUACUACAGAAAGACCUAUCAGUGUCAAACCCAAAAAUGUCGUCACCGCCAGUUUUAGGCAUCGUUGGUGAAAGGUUGGCGGUGAUGGGCAUCCCCUUCAACAACGGCACUGGAGCCGACGGUGAUUGACAUUAGAAAACAAAAAAGGGAACCCCACCUAGCCACCCCUGCAACCCAGCCGGCCGUGCCUCCCCUCAUGCCCACCACCUCGCCUCCCCCGUGACCCCCCGCCGGCGCCCUUGUGCCUAGCCCCCUCGCCUGCCCGGCCGGCCACCCUCGUCAUGAGAGAGAGAGGUGCAUGUUGUAUAAUUGCGUGAAUUUUUGAAUGUUUAAUUUUAUGUAAGUUCCAUGUAAUAAAUUGUACAAGUUUUAUUGUAUAUAUGAAUUCCAUAUAUAUAUAUUUAUAAUUUAAUGUAUGGUUUCAUGUGUAUAUUUCAAUCAUGUGUAUAAUUAGUAGAUUGCCGAUUUUCUUUUUCUACUAGACAAGGGUUGAUGUAUAAUUACGUGUAUAUGUUUAUUGUAUGGGCAAUUAGGACAAGUUUUGUAUAAAUUUCUUUUAUUUCAUGGUUGUUGUAUGGUUUCAUGUAUAUACAUUUAUUGUACUACUUGAGACAAUUUUAAUUUAAUAUUUCUAUGAUUACAUGUGUGUAUAACUAAUUGUAUUAUUAGUUAAGAUGGGAGCCAAAGAGGAUGAAAGGUAUAUAAUAGAGUAGAUUAUUGCUGGCGGUAGUGGCUCAAACGUUGCAAGAACCUACACCGAGGGUGAGGGUAGCUAGGUGGACAUGUACCUCAACAUGUCCAGUGAUGGCAAUGACGAUGAGGAGCACGAGCAUGACGUCUAUGAUAAUGCGGAACAAGACAUUGCAGAAUUGGAAGGUUCUAAUGAGGUGUGCUUCAUGUUGACGAUCUAGUUGGCUUUUUUUCUUUGGUCACACCUUAGUUACCAUAGAACUUCGUCUCGGGAGAAGAUUGGUGGUGCUAUGGUGAUUGGAAUUUUAUUGCCUCCAAAUUUGAUUUCCAUCGAAUCAUAUCCCUUGUAUUUAUCUUCUUUUUAUUUGUGAGAGCAUCUUCUUUAUGCUUGCAAAACAAUUCAAGUGCACAUACUACCCCUAGGGUGAUGAUUGGGAGUAGAAACAAUUGCCAACAAAACAACACCACAUCCUAAGAUUCUUAACUUGUGGCAUAAUUAAUCUAGUGAAAAGAAAGAUAAAAACCUAAUGGGUGUACGUGAGUGCAAUGUGUAUAUGCAUAUGAGUGGAAGGCAUAUAAGCAAAGACAAUAUUUACACAUAGUUCUAAACACGAUGUUUACAGCUAGGUUGCUGAAUUUCUCCAUAGCUAUAGAGAUUAAUUAACCAAGGUCAAAACACGAUGUCUAUCCCAAGAUCAGUAAUUCUUUAUAGCACAAGAAAAAGAAAGCGCAUUGCAAAGUUUAUAAACCAACCAAUACAGCAUGAAAACAAGAUGAAUAGCUAGCAAGGUUUAUUAAAUUGAAUGAUGACGGUCUGCAAGCAAGUUUGAACACCAUCUUUACACAAGAUUGCAAAUGGAAAAUGCCCAUAUGAAGCACUAACAUGGAUAUGAAAUCAUUCAUCAUAAAGCGUAAAGAACAACCAAGUAGUUUUUAAUGGCAUAUACAUGUAUAAUAUAGUUUAGGUGCUAAAAUUGAUAUUCACAGCUAUUUUGGGCUCCAAUUCGCGUCCAAACCAACCUAGCCCACAGACCACACCCGGCCGGCCAGCUCAUCGGCCCAUCUAGUCACUGAUCCUUCCACCACCACACUCAGCCCAUCAGUCGGUCAGGUCCCGAGCUCCUGCCUGACCUAGUCCGCUACCGCCGCCAGGCGCCAAGCACAGCCGUACGCACUGCACCGCCCCCGUCCACCCAUGUCCGCUGCGCGGCAAAGCCGCGCCCCCCAGCCCCCGCGGUGAGAUCUCGACGCCCGCUGCCGCCAGACCCCAUUAGGCCUCCACCGGCAAGUCCACCCACAGUCCCACACGACCUAGUCCGCUNNNNNNNNNNNNNNNNNNNNNNNNNNNNNNNNNNNNNNNNNNNNNNNNNNNNNNNNNNNNNNNNNNNNNNNNNNNNNNNNNNNNNNNNNNNNNNNNNNNNNNNNNNNNNNNNNNNNNNNNNNNNNNNNNNNNNNNNNNNNNNNNNNNNNNNNNNNNNNNNNNNNNNNNNNNNNNNNNNNNNNNNNNNNNNNNNNNNNNNNNNNNNNNNNNNNNNNNNNNNNNNNNNNNNNNNNNNNNNNNNNNNNNNNNNNNNNNNNNNNNNNNNNNNNNNNNCCCCCCCUCCACCAGGACUGCUUGUUGGCCCCCACCGCGAGGUAAUCAAAAUGGACGGCUCAAUCACUCAAUCUGUUGACAUGAUGCACACGGUUGCAAAAAUAGAUGUGUCAAAAUAGAUAUAUUGCUAAUUGCUAUAGAUGCAUACGGUUGACAUGAAGAAGUUAAAAAUGACAUUUGGUUCCUUGUAGGCAGUCAAAAAUGAAGUCAAAAAAUAUUGAUCUGAAAUCAAUGUGGGAAAGGGCUACGAAGACACACAGAUUCCCUUGUGAACUUUUUAUGUCAUUCGUCUAAAUAUUUUUUUGCAAUGGGCAUACCCUACUCUGAAAUCCUGGGUCUGCCACUGAUGAUGAUGGUCUAAACAUAAAACAAGCCAAGAUUAAUUAGCCACAACUGAAAUUAAACAAAGGUUAAUGUCAUUGACCCUAGCUCUAUCCUAGCUUUUACAAAAGUCCCGGCACAUAUAGUGGUUGGGCCCACUCUCUCUGCUUCCCUCUCUGCUGCAUGCAUGCACACGAGCAACGGGAGGCCCCACAAAGCCCAGAAGGGUUCGGCUGAACCCGGCCGAUCCAAUCUGAGCACCACUCCCUCCCAGCCUUCGCGCAGAUGCUCCUCCAACAUUCCUUGACCCCUCCCUCAGCGUCCCAUUGGGUUUAACAUUGCAGGAGAGGAGUCCCUUUUUUAAAAUCUCAACCACCUCCUCUCCUCAUUCACUCCACUCUCAUCUCCAUCAAACUCACCAAGAUCCACAUCGGAAAUCCCUGCUUACCACCAUGGCUGGCAAAGCCCUCGUCCCUUUCACCAACUUGGGCUUAACCAUUGAUCUCGAUGGGGAAAUCACUCCGGAAAUAGGGCAGUGACCCAGAGCAAAGGUGAUGCCAGAGUGUAGAUAGCAGUUAGCAUGCCAAAUUGUGAACCGCAAGCGCUCGGAUUAGUUGUUUUUUUUCCCUUAGAGAUUCCCCCAAGGUUUAUCAAUCCAUGGAACAAGGGAUUUGCACAUUUCACUAAGCAUUAAUCAAUGUAAUUGAAAGCUUUUUGAAUAAGAUAUGAUUAUGCUAACAAAGGAACUAAGCAAUCUAGAUUAAGAUGGAUAGAGAGUAAAGGUUGUGAACAAGAUAGAUUAAACGCUUAUAGAUGCAAUCACCAUGCAUGAAUGAAUUAGAUCUAGGUGUUAUUGUGAGUGGUUGUGAACCAUACCCCAACACUUUCCCACCCGCAACAUUGUCACUACAUGUGGGUACUCAACUAUCGAAACAUAAGAACACAUCAAGAUGAUCAUUCUAGGUAAGCAAAUAAGCAACCCAAAGUAGCGCUGGCCAGCCUUUUCAUGAAAGAGCAUCAUCAAGAUAAGAUUGAUAACAAAAUAGAUCUCAACCAAAGGUUCAGCGAUUACAAAUCAAGAUCUCCGUAUAACCCCGAUGACAAAUAGAGGUAUUACCCCCAUGAUCUUACACAUGUUGAUGAAUUUUAGGGUAAAGGACGCCCUGUAGAUCAACUGGACCAAAGAUGAUGAUGAACAGGGGCAGGGAAGGCCCAGGCUGAUCAGCCUGGGCACUUUUGAGCCGAUCAGCUUAGGGAGUUUCCUCCUCCCCUGGUGCUCCUCUUCGCGUGGCCUCCUCUGGAUCCAAUCUUCUCUUCAUUUCUCCUACUUGUGGUGGCAAUGGAUGGUGUUUGCAUGGUGAUUUCCUCUUCUCCCCAACUCUCCCUCCUUGAAGUCCAUGAGGGGGUAUUAAUAGUCUCCAAUAUGCGGCAGCUCUGGGUCAAUGUCGGUGAAAAAACCCUAGAGAUCAUCGUACACUUCACGCUGAGGAAACAAGAGGUCGACCGAGCCCUGGGAUAGACCAAGAGGAUCAGCCUAGAGGGUCCCAGGCCAAUCGGUCUAGGCCCUUCCUAGCCCUUCUAGUCCUCUCCUUCCUCGUGCUGGCUUUUCUCGAUGACCCUUGUCCAAAUAUCCAUUAAGCUCUAUAUACAUACCCCCUUGAUUAUGUCGUAUUUCCUGUCAAAAUACAAUGCUCCAAAAUACAACACAUAUGCAAUAAUAGGGUUAUUUCAUGUGCCAAUUGGUGCGUUAGUAUACGAAUAAGCAUGAAAAUACUGGUUAAAUGACACUAAAAGUGUGUCAAUAACGAGCACCAACAAUCCCCCCACGCUUAGAUCUUGCUCGUCCUCGAGCAAGUCUAGCGACUAAAAGAUCUUGAAUUAAACAUGAGCAAGCGAGUCAAGUACCUAGCCUUGAAACAAAAGAUUAGAGGAGCAGCAAAGAUAAUCAAAGUCUGGGUGUUCAAAGAUUUAUCUAAGCAAAGAUUCCCCUACAACUAUUAUUCAGAACCAAGUAACUUCAAGAAUCAACUACACUUAUUUUCUGGCUUUUUUCAGAGGGUUUUUCUUUCAUCACAAAACAAUCUCCCUGCAACAAAAUUGAAAAAAGAAUUAUUUUCCAGGUGCUUACAUGUCGUUUAAAUGAAUGUUCGCUAUCCUACUUAUUUGCAAGCUCUCAUCUCUCAAAAUUCAUUCAAUUAUAUGGUGGAGCUUGGGUAAGGUUAGCUAGAAUCAACACGUAUAUUAUUGAAUUAAGAAAACCCUCUAACGGUAGCCUACCUUUCGAGCCAUUGAUCAUAAGAAUAUCCACAUAAUGUGAAGUUUUCAAGGAUGAGAAUAGAAUGGUGGACAUGUGCAAAGGAAAAGAAAUAUAGUGACUCUGAGGCACAAGCAAUGUCCUCGUCGUUGGAUUGCAUAUGGUUGGAAUGAAAAUCUGUUCCUUAAACAAGUCCAUCUUUUCUUUGCACCACUCUUGAUCUUCAUGACAGUAAAAACUCCUCCUUUAUUUCUUUCUCUCUUUUCCUAUUAUUUCUUUUUAUUUGUCUCAAUACUUUUCUUUCUUUAUUUCUUUAUUUUAAUCUCUUCUCCGAACCUCUUCUGAACACCACACAAUAAAAAUCAGUUUUAGAUCCUUCUAGAGACCUUCCAGGAAUUUGCUACAUGAAAACCGAGGCAAGGAGACCCCAGGCCGAUUGGCCUGGCCACUCCUUUGCUCUCCUCUAGCUCUUCUUUCUUGUGAAGCUUCCUUAUCUUGUAUCUUUCCAAAAAUUUCAUAAAGCUCAACUAGAAACGGAACACAUCUUCAUAUAAUGAGUUGUGUUCAAGGAAUUGGUAAUAAAAUUGAGAAAUUUGUGGUUCGGGUUUACGAAUUCAGUACAAAAAUAUGAUUAUUCCAAUGAAGAACUCUCAUUACUGAAUAUUGACGAGGCAAGCAUUCAAAGAUGGUAAAAAGGAUAUGAUCAAUUCUCAGAAUUAAAGCAAACCAAGAGAGAGCGAUCCUAAUUCAAUUCAAAGUGUCAAAUGUUGCUUAUGGUGGUAUGAAUAAAUAUUUUUAGGCAUUGGGUAGGAUAAAUAAAAACUCUCAACCUGGUUAAAAGAUAUUGAUCAAUCUUGUUUUUGCAGAGGUUUUAAAUAAAAAAUAAAAUUUUAAAUCACCUCCAAUUCAAAGCCUUACUCAUAAAUCAUAAUCAAAACUGAAGCACUUGAUCAUCAUAAAGCAUGGGUAUUGCAUAAACAAAUCGAUUACUAAAACUCCACAACUACGAUUUAGAAUUCAAGACAAUGCUCAUAAUCUAAAGUUGCAAAGACAAAAUAAAAGACAAGCAAGCCAAGGUAGACACUAAAAACACUUGCACGAUCCUUGAAUUUUAUUCAUGCUUCUUCUCACAAAGACGCUAAAGUAGCCAUGUAGGCCUAAGUCUUCCCAAAAGCUUAAGAAGACUACUACUUUAUCUACUUUUGGUUGAAAUAAAAAUACUAAUCUAGACUCUCACAUGAUUCGACUCGACCAAACUAGAUCCAAAAACUCAUACGAGCGACAAUCUCCCCCCCCCCUCUCAAAUCUACGACCUCCUCGUGGUAACCAUAUGGAGUACAAGGAAAAGACGCUUGUAAACGCACUAAUGACGCUACCCGGACUACUUGCACACGGAAUGGUUGUUGUUUCCUUUGCUUUGUUCUUCGUCAUGUUGCUGCACAUCCCGAAGAGCUUCCUCACGUUCCUCUGCAAGAACUUGAACUUGAACUUGUCCUCCUGACGGCAAUCAUUAUCUUCUGCCUUUUGAUCCAGAGCUUGUAAGGCUUGCAUGAUGUCAUCGAACGCAUCGAAGAGGUAGUGGAUGUUCUUCCUGCAAGCUGUGGAACAUGUACGAUCAUGCUCCUACGAUUCUGGCCCGUCGUCUUCUAGAUCCUCCUCUUUGCCCUUGUCUUGACGGUGGCCAUCUUGCUCCUUGCUCGUCUUCUUGCCUUCAGCCCGAUCCCAGUACGUGUUGUCAUCUUCUUCAUCGUCACGGCCUGCAGCACCCUAUGAUCCAUUGUCUAUCUUGUAUGAAAGAAUCAGAAGCUUGUUCUCCUCAGGGUGUCUUGCGCGGUGCAGCGUUUGCAAGUGCAAGGCUUGCUAGUUCUUUUUACACAUUGUAAUGUUCAUUGCAUGCUCUAAUUGUUCUACAUUUGUAAUUUCUUGGUGAAGUUUGGUUACUGAUCCACUGUUUGAUUAACUCUUGGGCCCAAACACUGUACUACUUCUGAUUAGAUAUCUGUAUCUUAACUUUGACCAAAAAAAAUAUCCGGCAGUUUUUGCCAUUAAAGUUUCAUAAAUCAUCUUGCAAAAAUCGUACUAUACAACAAGGGACGGUUUAUUAUAAAAUAUACGUUCCCCUUAUCACAUGCCACUUCCACUCAAAAGGCAACGAAUCAGUUUUCAAUCCUGAGUGAGCAAUUUGCUUUUAUUACCGAUGCCUCCUAUUCCCUUGUGCACCAAGUUCAUUUUGGAUAGGACUGCAAAAAGCGACUAACCAGCUCGGAUUCUCCACCUGCAAAACCGCAUCUGCAGCAACCAACCCCACGCGGUGGAAAAAAAAACAAAACCCAGAAACCGGACGGGGGUGGAUGUGGGGCUCGGAGCCCAAGCAAAAAAAAGGAUCGGGAGCGCCGGAGCAGGCCAUCACCGGAUGUUAGAGAUAGAAAAUGGUUGAAGUUGGAGUGGAAAUCAAACAAGCCUUGGAGCAAAGGAAAAAAAAGAUCAAACCACUCAAGCAUUCAUUUGAUUUAGAAAAGAGAACAUUUGUUAAGGUGGGGAGUUGAAAUCAUCUUUUAAUUAGUUCCACGUAUCUGGUAUCAUUACAGUUGGUUUACUUGUGUAAGUAUAUAAGUAGCUCUGCCGAAGCCUUUGCUCCUAUAAUUUAGUAACUAGUACAAAUGGAUCAUUAGGAAAAUCAAGUUGCAAUCAUUUCUCAGCCAACCAAACCUAUCUAAAUCAAAUUAUUGUCCAUGCCCGGCAUGCACAGGUGCCUGCCAUGCAUGCAUUGUUGCUCCAUUGUAAUAACCAUUAUUGUCCAUUGAUGUUCCAGCGCAUGUGUGCACUGUGCAGACACCAAGCAUCGAGAUUAUGUACUAGUAAGGUACCAAGAACACGUGAAGCACACGGGGGAGGCUGCUCCACUCGGCAUGCACAGGUGGGGCACGGCACCACUACUCGUCUCCUUCAGGCAGAGGACAAGUGAUGUACGCUGAUCAACCACUAGUAGAAAAACGACUUUCCAUCCGCCCCUUUUGUCCCGGUUUAAAGUUGGCCCGGGACAAAAGGUUCACCAACCGGGACUAAAACUCGGUCACUGGUGGGGGGCUCACCAACCGGGACCUUUUAUCCCGGUUGCAAAGGCUAGUGGGAAAAAAAGACUCUGAGAGGCCUUUUAUCCCGGUUUGAAACACCAACCGGAAUAAAAGGUGGUCUUUUAUCCCGGUUGGUGUUUCCAACCGGGAUAAAAGGGUCCCCCACGAGUUAAUACAAAAGGAUAGUAUCCCCUAUAUAGUCAGAUGUGGUGUGUAGGUGGGAUGGCAAGGAAGCUACGCGCGAGGCUGGAGGUUGUGGGUUUGAAUCCCACGAACCGCGCACCCCCACCACGGCAAACGGAGGUGAUGGCGGAAGGUGAGGCAACGACAGUAGCUGGUGAGCUCCCGCUCCAAUGUCUCGCGAGUGAAGGAGGAGGAGGUGGCAUGGGAAUCGAAGAGGAGGCCGCCGCUGGCGGGUUUAGACUACGUGGAUGUGUGGGUAGGGUUAAGGUGACGGUGUGGACUAGUAUAUAUAAGAUGUCUGGGCUUGUUAGAAUAAGAUAACAUUCUAACCGGCCAAAUUCGGACCCGGUUAGAUUAAAUUGAUAUUCUAACCGGUCCUAUUUCUAGGUGGUAAGAAUAAGUUAACAUUGUAAUUGGCUUUAUUUGGAACCCGAUUGAAUCUUCUUGUUAUUCAAAAAAACAUCAAGUUCAUCAAUUUUAAUCCAGAAAAACAUCAAGAUAAUUUAAGCACGAUAUAUAACAAGAUUAAUAAAUUUAAUAAUUGUUUGAUCCACAAAUUAACGAUAUUUAACAAAUUCAAAAAAUCCAAAUUAACAGAACACAAUAACCAAUUGUUCGAAAAAAUCAAAAUAAUCCACACACAUUAAUAUAUUACAAAUUCAGAAAUAUAUCAAAAUAAUCCCCGAUCCACUCGAUACCGUCAUAGGACUUUUAAAUACUGAGCUUCUUGAUUCGUCUGAGGUCCACGUACUCGUCUCAGUAACACUAGUGAUGGCCAUGCAUCUUGUAGAUGUCUUCUAACGAAUCAAGCUUGACGUACAAGGUCAUGCCUUCCGCUCCUUGAGGAUAACCAUCUUUGGUGAUCUUGAAAUGGCAGACGGUGGAUGUGCCAAAGGUACGUAACGAUCCUUCUAAAUGUAUGCCACCACAACUUCCGUCUGAUCGCCAUGGGUGACACCAAGAAGAGCUACCAUGCGGCAAGGGACGAACAAUUUAUCAAUUAGUGCCGCUGUCCAUUCGCCAUCAUCUAAUCCAGCCAUAUCUUGAUGUAUAUUUAAGUAUAGAAAUUAAGAUUUAAAAAUAAACAGAAUAAAUUGAGAUCGACUAUGUAUGUAUAUCAGAACAUUAGCUUUUGGAAAAAGGGCUUCGAUGGAAGAGAGGCACGGGGCAUAGAGACAACAACGAGUGACAAUAUGUCAGAAGAAUACCCGAUCACAAUUAUUGGCUACAGGACGGGCACACACAGCCGAUAUUUACAGUAGUCAAUACCCCUGGUAAAUAACCACACCAUCAAGAGUAAAUAGUGACAAUAUGCAGUAUAUACACGACAUAGCCUUGGUUGCCGUGGAAGCGCCAGAAGGGAGACAAAUAACAGGGACCACAACAUCAAGUAGAUAGUGACAAUAUGCAGAAGAAUACCCGCGCCUGUUAGCAUGUGUGAACUGACCACACCACGAAACGUGAUACACGGCAAGCGUACCAAGGCCUUGCUGUGCAGACUAUGCAUGGACAACACAUGGUACCUGACCGCUUUUGGCCUCAGACACAUCGAAAAACUGCAUCGUUCCACGUUGUACAUCCAUUGCUAGUUUAUCUAUAUUACAUAAUAUAUUAUUAGCUAUUUGAAUAGAAUGAACCAAUUAAAAAAUUGCGUUGUAUUUUAGUACCGGCUGCAGGAUGGUGUUACCAACCAGUACUAAUUGGCCUGUAGGAGUGAUGGUUAUUAGACUUGGUACUGUUGUUAGCAUCAUUAACCUAAUUGUGCGCGGUAUGAAUUUGGGGAUGCAAAGCUAGCUCUCUAUGAAUGUGAGGGAUGGAAAGCUAGUUCUCUAGUAGUAAUUAGCUAUAUAUAUAUGUCAGUCAAGAAAUCGAACACUAUGCUGCUACGAGUCACCAUCAUUUCCUUCAUUGACAAUCUGACAUAGGUGAAGCUGCUUCAAGAAUUUCCUUCGCGCAGUCGUGGAGCUUAUUGGAUUAUCACCAGGACGGGACACGGAAAUGGCCAGCAAUGAAGCUGAUUGCCGUCUGAGGAAGAUUACAUACUUACCUAUGAAAUGAAGCGAUUGCAUAGACUAAUGAAGCAUUGCAUAUUUGCAUGUGAGUGUGGCAGAUAAUUCUGCAGGACAUGAUUGCAAUCCACGCACCAUCGAGAAGACUGGGGCGAUGGGGUUGCCUCAUCAAUAAUCACGUGGAUGCAUGCAUGCAUGUUCCCGCAACCGGACAAGGGUCUGAUAUAUGGCUAUAGUAUUACUGAGCCCACAUCAAUAAUUUCCGCUGGUGUAUCGUGUGGGAAGAAUCAACAUACUACACCUCGAGUUCUUGGAACUAACUGACGUUCACAUGCAACCUCCACAAGGUGCUGUAUAUAUGCUUUUGACAUUCACCUGCCAGUUCGUGUAGAGGACACCCUAACGUAUGGUUAAUAUUAUCCAUUUCAUGAGUAAAAUACUGUGAUUCAAAAAUACUUCAAAUCCCUUGAGACAAUACUUCUCACUUGACUAACCACUAACCAACCCCGAAACCCUAACUCAACUCCGAACCCUAACACCUAACGGCAUAACCACUCCGUUUUGCCAGCCAGAUGGAGGAACUGGCUGGGAGGGAGAGAGGGCAGCGGUCCAGGGUUGAAAACGACGGGCGAGCGCAGUAACAUGUGGAGGAGGAAGUGCCACGUAUUCGUUCACCGCUAUUGGGCAGCGACACACAACACGCCCAAUAAGAUUUUCGCACGGUAGAAGGGCGCCAUGUAUUCAAUAAUGUUAUUGGUCCUCCAUGUGCAGAAGGGCGCGUAUGGAAUAACAAGUAGGGACACUGCAACUAAUCUACUCUGCUCGUCCAGUCCCUAGCCUAUAAAUAGAUGCCAUGCUAGCUCUUGUUGUGCUCACAGUUAAUCCGAUUACACACGAGCUUCUCUCCCUGGCCAAGACACAAUCAUAGUAUGAUGAAGAACAUGGCACUAGCCGGCAAUGGUAUGAAGAAGUUAAUCCUCGCUGUUCUCUUACUGUGUCUAGUUAUAGGGCAGAUACAAGUGGAAGCUAAGAGCUGCUGCCCAUCCACCACUGCAAGAAAUGUCUACAAUACCUGCCGUUUGACGGGUGCAUCCCGUCCAACGUGUGCAAAACUGUCAGGCUGCCAAAUUAUCAGCGGGAACAAAUGCAAGCCCCCUAACGACCACCUCACCCUUGACCCGGACACUGGUAAAUAAUAAAUUUAUCUCACUUGAUUUCUUUGUGUUUUGAGUCGUUAAUGUAUUUUCCAUCUGAUGAAACGCAUUGGUUUUGCAUUGAAGAGGAAGUUAAUGUGCUUAACUUCUGCAAGUUGGGGUGUGCGUCGUCUGUGUGCAACAACAUCAACGCUGGUAAGCACCUUUUGCUCAGACAGAGAAAACAAUAAUCAUUAAUUAGCGGCAGCUAGAAUCCUAUAAUCUAAUAUAUAUAUAUAAUUUUAUCAGCUCUGGGAAAUGAAGAGGCGAACGAUGCCGUUGAGAGUUGCGACCAAGCCUGCUCUAGCUUCUGCAGCGUGCAUGUUGGCAGCGCCACCGUGGUUGCUUAAGCAAAUGCAUCCAACUAGAUCGUCCUUGUGCUGAAUAAUUGGAUAUCGUAUCCACUUAAAGCUGCCUUGUGUAGUACGUCUUUGUGUCUCUCUUUAUAUUCCAAUAAGGUCGGUGAUCUUGAUGCCACACACUCAGAUGUGUGUUCAUCUCCAGAUACUACUCCAUGCUACCUGCCCUUUGUGUUUUGUUCAAUAACUGGGUAUCAUAUCCCAACCAGUAUGCCGUCUGUUUUGUGUUUGUUUCCUUCUAGUUCCAAAAGGGUCAUCAUGAUGUUACCUUCUUUCAAUAUGGUGCUUUGCAUGACUACUGUUGUAUGGUACCAUCUUGUGGCCAAUAAGUACAUCUUAUCCUAUGACCCUUUGCUAUGACCCUUUGCAAAUAAGUAGAAGAUUGUUAUAAGCGUCAAUACUCAGUAUAAUUGAUCGCUGCUGUGAGUUCCCUUUCAGCUUAUCGUAGGCAUACAUUAUUGCUAGCACGGUAAAGCCAACCAACACGAAUGAUGAAGUAAACGUAGCGGUACUUCUGUAUACCAACACCCUUACUUAAAUGUACCGGUGUCAUUCCCUACUGGCACAUAUAUUCUUAUAUGCUAGCCAGCUUGUAAAAUUAACCAAUUAAAAUAAUUAUUUCAAGAUAGAAAUAACUUAUCGGCUUCUGGAAGCAUGUGUAAUGUGAAUUCAAGGACUCGACGGAAGUUGAAUCACUUCAUCUAUAUUGCUUUCAGGAUUUUGGGUAACUAAAUUUAACAUUUGCACAUACAAAUGUUAAAGUACAAAUGUUAAAUCUAGUUACCCAAGCAGAAUAUGAAGAUAGUUUAUAGUAUAUAUAUACUAUAAAUAUACUAUAUAAAUCUAGUUAACAUUUAGUCUAAAUGUUAAAUCUAGUUACCUAAAAUCCUGAAAGCAAAAUGUAUAAAUAUAUAUCUUUUAAGGCAGUAUAAGCUUCGAUUCCUAUUGCUGCUCUGUUAAAUCUCAUCUUUCGUUGUGGCCCAACACUCUAGUAUGCAUGUUGCACCAAGCUUCUUUGAGCCGCUCUGCCCUCUGAUUUUGCUGUGUAGGGGAAUCUUUAUCAGGUUGGGCUACUUCCAGUUGUGCGAUGUAAAGAUUCGUAUUUUCUAGAAGGUAGACAAAAAACUCGCGUUCUCUUAAGGCAACAACCGGAAGAUUCUGCAGCGCAUAGGGCAUACCAUUAUUGUAGAAACGACCUUUAGUACCGAUCUCCAACCCCCUUUAAAACUGGUUUUGCAACCGGUACCGUUAUGUCGGUCCUUUAGUACCAGAUCAAAUAACCGGUACUAAAAGAGUCAACUAAAAGGACUCUUUUAGUACCGGUUGGUAACCAGUAUCAACUUGUUUUGUGGCCAAAAAAAUAAAGAAAAAAACAGUCAGAAGGCUCGCACACACGCGCAUCACAUGAAAUAUGCGUGUGCGGGGUCCAUGGGAUUCGAACCCAUGAAAUCAAGCUACGCGCGACCCUUCGUUACCAUCUCACCUGAAGUAACCCGUGGAGGAGGCUUUAGUACCGGGUCAUAACACCACCCGGUACUAAAAGUGACUCUUCAGUACCGGGUCAUAACACCACCCGGUACUAGUAUCGGAUGGUGUAAUGACCCGAUACUAAAAGGCCUCUAGGGACCCUCAAAUUUGAACCCGGUACUAAUGCUAAUAUUAGUACCGGGUCAAAGUGCAGCCAGAACUAAAGCAUGGGAUGAAAGGUCAUAUUUCUAGUAGUGUAUAGUUGUUGUGAAGGACUUACUUGGCUGUCCUCUCUCUUCUCCAUCCCCUUGGUCUUACGCCGCCGCUCGCACGCGAGCUGGUGCCCAACCAGAGGAGUGAGAGCUAGGGGCAGGUUGGGAGGUGGGGAUAGCGACUGGUGGCCAGGGUGAUGGUUGAUCCUGGCGGGGUUAGGGUUUUAGGGUUUUCGAGCUUCCUAUGGUCGGCGAACCUAGAGGAGGAGCUCAACAUCAGCUGCAACCCGCGAUGGUGGUGGUUUGGCCAGCGCCCGAGGCGAGGCAGCGCGGGAGUGCUGCCGGUGGGUUGGUGUUGGCACUCAUUAUUGACAACUAUUUUGUUCAUAAAAUAACACUCAAACUUGCUGCUGCUGCCGCCGCCAUCGCCACCCUAGCCAUAAUAUAAAGGCAAAAUUUGCUAAAGGACAUGCAAAAUGAUGCUAGUUUGCUGGCGGGCAUCGUUGACCUUGUAAUAUGCUACAAGACACUCUAGUUGUGUAUCAAUUUGCUGAAAGACAUUGCUAUGACUAAAAUAAUGUUUCUGGACUGAGUUGGAGAGAGAGAUGGAGUGAAAUGUCUGUUUUGCCCAUGACCCCACUGGUCAGAUCCUUCUUCUUCCACCCUCCUUUGUUCUUUCUUCAACCAUUACCCAGCUCCAGCGUGUUGCAGAUCUACGAGGGUGGCGGCCUGGGGCGAGGGGCAUUGCUCGCCCUCGGAGGAGCGCUGCGAGCGACGGCGCGGGGGCGGCAACCGCGCGUCAGAACCUGACUGUUCGUUAGCUCCUCUCGCUGCUGGGGAAGAAGGAGGGGGAUGGGCCAUGGACGGGGUUCCCUUGAAAACCUCAGCGUCGAGCUCGGGCGGCUACGCGCAGGCAGCACUAGGCUGCUUCACGGGGAGGGGGCGCGGCCAAUCAUUGGCACCCCACUGGUCCAAUGCUGAUGAAGAUGGUGCCAGCGUCGUGUGAGGACAUCUCAUCUCCUCGAGUUCCAUGGCCAGCACAGGUGAGCUGCCGCUACCACAAAACAGAGAUUUCGUGAGAGUCAAAAAACCUUAUGAAAAUAGCUAAAACCAUCAUGAAAAUAAUCCGUGACAUGACACUCUCACGAAAAUCCUCUCACAAAUAUGGUGCCAUGAAAAUACCAUUUUCAUGAGAGUGAACUGUCAUGAUUUUAUUUCGUGAGAGUAUUUCCUAUCAAUGACCUCCACGAAAUACUUUGUGCCACCAGGUCUUCAAGAUCAUUUUCAUGAGAGCUGAACAUCAGGAAAAGUCCGCCACAAAUGUUUUUCUUGGAGCCUCUAACUCUCAUGAAAAUCAUGCGGGCCGCCACGAAAAACAGCAUGACCAAAUGACAAAUUUUAUUUUCAUGUGUUCAUACCGUGAAAAUGGUCAUUUUCAUGAGAGUUGAUGAAACAAAAAAUAGUGCCAUUUUCAUGAGAGUUCAAGCAACCAGGAAAAGACACUAAUAAACAUCCAGAUCCCAUCCAGCACACAUCCAUGCACACAUAUAACCCACAUAUUGCUCCAGCACACAUCCAUGCAUAUACAAGAUCCAAAUGUUAAUAUAGUAGACAUCCAUGCCUGAACUAGUCUGCCACACAAGUCAUUGAUGCUACAAAUCCUACAAUCGCAGCAUGUGCAUACAAGUCACAGAAUGAGACAAUGUACCCAAAACUAAAAGGUUAGCAUCAACUGUGCUUCAACCAAAGUUGUCAUCCCAACUCUCCUCUUCAUCCAUGCCAUUCUUGUCAUGGCCGUCACUGUCAGUCCCCAUGGCAUUGCCAAUGCUGUGCAUGUCUUGGUAGGAACCUACAUGUGAUGAACCAGUAACCUGCAAAAAGAACUCAAAGGAUCUUGUUCUCAUAUUGUUCUCAUAUUGUAGCUGUGAAAUUCUUACAAGUAGUGUUGCAAUCAGUUCACUUUGAACCAAAAGAGCUCAAAGGAUCUUGUCCUAAAAGUUCCUCAUAAAGCUUAUGGGUUUGCUGGUGGAACUGGAAGGGCUUGAUGCAGCAGAUGCCAUUCUGCAAUAGAGAAAAAUUUAGAGAGCAGUAAUAGUUAAAAUUGGAUGCAGCAGAUACACAUGAAACUAGUAUUUAUACAAGUCUAUACAAUUAAAAUCUAAGGAGACUUAUCAUCGUUUUCAUGUGUUGCGAAUUAAAAUAAUGAAGGAUACACUGUUAGGUGAAAAUUCAAGAAACAAAAUUUUGCAUAGAGAUAAAGGUCCAACAUUAUUACAAGUUAAGGUAGUUUUAAAUAUCCUUGUAAUCUUCCUUUGGUUUCCUCAACGAUUCGAAGACAAUAACCUUGCUUCUAUCAAUGAUAAUUAUAAGGAGAAUCCAGUGGAAACUGUGUAUUCAUAUUAGAACUACCUAAGGUUAAUUAGGUUAGGAAAGGAAAUCGAAAAUAGAUGGUACCCACACUUACUUAAAGUUGUCGGGCAAUAGUAUGUAAUGCUUGUAAUUCCGUUGCUCCAAGAAUUUGUAUAUGUGGUCCAAUGUAGACUUUGGUUGAUCCCGUAUCUGCUGUUGGUUAAAUAAGUGUUUCUAGCCAUUUCUAGCCAUUAGAACUGGGACUAAAGGGGGCUCUUUAGUACGGGUUGAUAUUACUAACCGGGAUUAAAGAGCCCCCAUUAGAGUUGGUUUUUGGAUGCGGAACUAACAACUCCUUUAGUCCUGAGUACGAAAACGACUGAGAUAUUUGUUGCUUGGUUGAAGGUCCUUUCUCUACCGUGAAUAUUGCCAGAAAGAAUUGAAAGAGACUGCUUGCUAAAAAUAUGUCAUAGAUGUAGACCAAGCUACCAAGGAGGUAGCACUAGUAGAGAAUUGACUUUCGAGCCGCCCCCUUUUAUCCCGGUUUAAAGUUGGCCCAGGACAAAAGGGGGUGCGCCGGGGUGCGGAAAUUUGGAGGGGAGCAUUACUCCCGGUUGGUAAUUGCAACCGGGACUAAAGGCCCCCCUUUAGUCCCGGUUGCAACGGCUAGCUGGGGGGCAUCGGUGGCCGGACCCUUUUAUCCCGGUUGGAUCCUCCAACCGGGAUAAAAGGGACUCCCUUUUAUCCCGUUGGAGGAACCAACUGCGAUAAAAAGUUUAGUCCCGGUUGGUGCCUCCAACCGGGAUAAAAGGGUGUCCCUUUUAUCCCGGUUGGAGGAUCCAACCGGGACUAAACUUCCAACCGGGACAAAAGGUGUUUCCUUUUGUCUCGGUUGGAGUUUUUAACCGGGAUAAAAACUCAUCCCCCACUAUGUCCCGAGACAUAGACUUUCUUCUUCCUCCAGCCCGAGCCAGUCCAGCACAUUGAUAGAGAGCUGAGCUUCACCUACUCUCCGGUGGUGCCAAAGCAAGGGAGGUGCUGCCCGAAGUUUUUUCCCUCAUUUUCGUGGGAAUUUGACUCAGCCAACACAAGUGUUGCGAAGGUUUGCUACUUCAUCCUCGUGUUAUGCUUUGAUUUAUGCUUUGGAGAUGGAAAGAUUAUUUGCUACAAUGUGAUGAUGAAGUAGAAAAAUGGAGAGGUAUUUUGAGCUAGAAUGUGAGGGAGAUUGAUGUGUCAUAUAUAGUAUGCAUUAUUUCAGUGGUUUAAAAAUGAUGCUACCUUGUCUAGACGGUUUAUCUUAUCAAAUUCAAUAUGGUUUUUUAAAUCCAUAUACUUGUUGAACUUGCAUACCGUGUUCAUUUCGGCGAGAAUGUUCUCCGCCGAGCAGCAACGUAUGUCAAGAAGGAGGUUCGAUUCUACGAGAAAGAGUGGAUACGGACAUCGUGACCAUGUCCCCUUUUCCGUAGCAUCUAACCUCUUUCAUGACGAAGUGCGGUGCCACCCAGCUGAGGACAUCCUCGCGAAAUGAACACGGUCUUCAAGUUCAACAACUUCUGUAGUGGUAAGGAAAGAAUUUUUGUACAUAGAUGACUUCUGCUACUUGUUGAACUUGCAUACCGUGUUCAUCUCUCCGAGGAUGUUUUCCGCCGAGCAGCAACGUAUGUCAAGAAGGAGGUUUGAUUCUACGAGAAAGAGUGGAUACGGACAUCGUGACCGUGUCCCUUUUUCCGUAGCAUCUAACCUCUUUCAUGACGAAUACCGGUCCCGCCUAGUUGAGGACAUCCUCGCGAGAUGAUCACGGUCUUGAAGUUGAACAACUUAUGCAGUGUUAAGAUGAUCACGAUCUUUAAUCGAUUUUCACGCGUAAUCCAUUAUCAAGUGUAAUCCAUUUUCAUGCGUAAUACGAUGCAGAUGGACUAGCAAUGGAUGUAUAAUGCAGACAGGCGGAGCAAGGCGUUUAUUGAUGGCUUGCAUUAUUUUCUCGAAGUGGCAAAAGCGAACAAGCCAGAGAAUGGGUUCGUAUGUUGUCCAUGCUUCCAAUGCAAUAACAGGAAGGAGUAUUCAAACGAUUCCUGGGGGACUAUUCACAGCCACUUGUUUAAAUACGGUUUCAUGCCUAACUAUUUGGUUUGGACCAAGCACGGUAAACUAGGGGUUGUAAUGGAAGAUGGCGAGGAGGAGGAGGAAGAUGACACCAUUCCGGACUGGGUUGCAGGCCAAGCUUUUGCAGGUACUACAAUGGGCGAGGCUGAUGAAGAUGAGUUUGCAGAAAAUGACCCUACUGAUGACCUUGGUCAGGUGAUACAAGAUGCAUACAGAGAUUGCGAAACUGAGAAGGAAGCAGCAAAGUUGCAGCGCAUGAUAGAUGAUCACCAAAAAUUGUUGUACCGAGGUUGCCAGCAGGACCAUAAAAAACUAGGUACGACACUAGAAUUUGUGCAAUGGAAGGCAAAAAAUGGUGUGUCCGAUAAGGCAUUUCAGGGGAUGUUGAACAUUGUCAAGAAGAUUCUCCCCGAGAAUAAUGAAUUACCGUCCACAACAUAUGAAGCUAAACAGAUUAUUUGUCCUCUUGGAUUGGAUGUUCAGAAGAUACACGCAUGCCCUAAUGACUGUAUCCUCUAUCGUGGUGAUGAAUACGAGAAAUUGGAUGCUUGUCCCGUCUGCGAAGCCCUGCGGUAUAAGAUCAGGCGAGAUGAUCCUGGUGAUGUCGAGGGGCAGUCUCCCAAGAAGAGAGUUCCCGCGAAGGUGAUGUGGUAUUUCCCUAUAAUACCACGCUUGAAGCGCUUGUUCAGGAACAAGGCGAAUGCUAAGUUGAUGCGAUGGCACAAAGAAGACCGUAAGGAAGAUGAGAUGCUGAGACACCCCGCAGAUGGGGCACAGUGGAGAUCAAUUGAUAGAAAAUUCCCAGACUUUGAAAGUGAAGCAAGGAACAUAAGGUUUGGUUUAAGCACUGAUGGAUUCAAUUCAUUGGGUGAGUUGAGUAGUGGUCAUAGUACUUGGCCUGUGACCCUUUGUAUGUUCAACCUUCCUCCUUGGCUGUGCAUGAAGCGGAAGUUCAUUAUGAUGCCGGCGCUAAUCCAAGGCCCAAAACAACCCGGCAACGACAUUGACGUGUACCUAAGGCCGUUGGUUGAUAACCUUUUACAGCUCUGGAAGGAAGAAGGUGUACGUGUGUGGGAUGAGGAUAGACAAGAGAUCUUUAAUCUACGAGCACUGUUGUUCGUAACCAUCAACGAUUGGCCUGCAUUGAGUAACCUUUCAGGACAGACAAAUAAGGGAUAUCGGGCAUGCACCCACUGUUUAGACGACACAGACAGCAUGUACUUGAAGCACUGUAAGAAGGUCGUCUAUAUGGGUCAUCGUCGAUUUCUCCCUGCUCACCACCAGCUGAGAAAGAGCGGGAUGCAUUUCAAAGGGGCGCCAGACCAUCGUAAAAAACCUGCACACCGUAAUGGAAAGCGUGUGUUUGAGAUGAUGAAGGAUGUAUAUGUAGUCUUCGGAAAGGGACUUGGUAGCCAACCUGUUCCGAACGACGAUAACGGACAUGCACCCAUGUGGAAGAAAAAGUCAAUAUUUUGGGAGCUACCUUAUUGGGAAAUCCUAGAGGUUCGCAACGCAAUAGACGUGAUGCACCUGACGAAGAAUCUUUGCGUGAACGUGCUAGGCUUCAUGGGUGUUUAUGGAACCUCAAAAGAUACAUUGGAAGCACGACAGGACCUGAAAGCCAUGGGGCAACGAGAUGACCUACAUCCGGAAAAGAGAGAUAAUGGACAGCACUACUUACGUCCUGCCAGUUACACUCUCAGCAAGGAAGAGAAGGAUAGCAUGUUUGAAUGCUUGAAUAGUAUGAAGGUCCCGUCUGGGUACUCCUCGAAUAUAAAGGGAAUAAUAAAUAUGAAACAAAAGAAGUUUACAAAUCUCAAGGCUCAUGACUGCCACAUGUUGAUGACCCAGUUGCUUCCGGUUGCACUGAGGGGUGUUCUACCAGAAAAUGUCCGGUUGCCGCUCGUAAAGCUAUGCGCGUUUCUCAAUGCGAUUUCGCAGAAGGCAAUCGAUCCAUCCAAGCUAUCAAAGCUACAGAACGAUGUGGUGCAAUGUCUUGUCAGUUUUGAGUUGUUAUUUCCACCAUCCUUCUUCAAUAUUAUGACGCACUUACUGGUUCACCUAGUAAAAGAGAUUGGUAUUCUCGGACCUGUAUACCUGCACAAUAUGUGGCCUUUCGAGAGGUGCAUGGCAGUCCUAAAAAACUAUGUUCUUAAUCGUGCCCGUCCAGAAGGAAGCAUCGCCAGGGGAUAUGGAACAGAGGAGGUGAUCGAGUUUUGUGUUGAUUUUAUUGAUUCAAUUGACUCGAUUGGGGUUCCAACUUCACGCCACGAGGGGAGGCUCCGAGGAAUGGGCACCAUUGGAAGGAAAUCAAGUUUGAGCAAUGAUACUGAUUUGUUCGACAAGGCACACUACACUGUUCUACAACAGUCAUCCUUUGUGUCUCCGUAUAUCGAGCAGCACAGGCAGAUGGUAGCUUCCAAAAACCCGACCAAAUCCGAUGCUUGGCUUACCCGUCAUCACAUGGAAACUUUUCCCUCCUGGUUGCGCCAACAACUUAUGGGUAACUCUGAGAUUCACCCACAGCUUGCCUGGUUAGCCAGGGGACCUACUACCACAAUCGUCGAAUUCCAAGGCUAUGAGAUAAAUGGUUACACAUUUUACACGAGAGCCAAGGACCAGAAAAGCACGAACCAGAAUAGUGGUGUCCGCAUAGAUGCCAUGGACAGAAAUAAUAGCAAGGAGUCGUAUUAUGGUUUCAUACAGGAGAUAUGGGAACUCGAAUACGGACCGCUGUACAUCCCUCUAUUUCUUUGCAAUUGGGUGAAGCUAACUGCCGUCACCAAAGAUCAGUACGGAAUGACAAUAGUAGAUCUGAGCAAGACUGGAUACAGUGAUGACCCAUUCGUACUUGCCAAUGAUGUGCAUCAGGUGUUCUAUGUGAAGGACAUGUGCAGCAAACCCAAGAGGAAUCCAGAAGAGACAUGGGAGCCAAAGUGCCACAUAGUUCUUCCAGGUAAAAGAAAAAUCGUGGGAGUCGAGGAUAAAACAGACCAAUCAGAUGAUUAUGAUCAGUUUGAUGGCAUGCCUCCAUUCGCCGUUGAAGUUGAUCCAAGCAUCCUGCUAUCCAAAGAAGAGGCUCCGUACUUACGCCGCGAUCAUGAUCAAGGAACUUUCGUGAAGAAGAAAUUUUACAACGUUGUAUUGUAAUGCGUUAAAUGUACAUGACCUUUGUGUAUUAAUUGAUACAAUUUGUAAUGUACCCUAUGUAUGAUUUCAUGUGUUAUUAAAUUUGUUAGGUGAAGAUUUUUUAGAUAAACAUGAACAUUGUUAACCACAUACUAACAUGGAUUUUUCUGCUGUUGACGUCGGAUUUCGUCAUCAGUAGAAUCGGCGCCAAAGAGGAAAGAAAUCGAAGGAGGACGGAUGGAAAUCGGCCAAAAGGUGUUACAGUGCGGAAUCGGUCAAGUGGCUUUUACUUCGCUUCAGAGUGAAUACGCCGGGUUCCCAAUCGGCAAUCCUUUGCUGAUAAGAAAUCGGCCGAUCAGGAAGGUGGACUAAGGUGGGCCUGUAUGGGCUUGGAAAGAUGGAAGGAUAAGGUGGAGUUCAGCCCAUGAAGCGUGGGGUAAUUAGUUUAGCUCGGAUUGUGCUUGUAGAUAUUUGUUUUCUGUUUAAAUUAGAGAUAGAGUCCUAGUCGGUUAAGAAGAUUAUUUGUACGGGGCUAUAAAUAGCUACCUUUGUAAAUCUGUAAAAAAAAAACAAUCAAUCAAUACAACAAGUUACUUUAUUCUUCGUACUUACUUUCGAGCAGGCGACUUCGCCAUCACUUUUCCUUCUCACGAGUUCGUGCGGGUUGGCAGGGCUGCAUCAUCUUGAUCUCCGGCCGAUUCUGUAAGUUCCGUUUAUCGAGUAAUAUCUAAGCUUUAACUUCCGGCGCAUCGCUGUUGUUUCGUUUAGAUUUUAUUCAUCAGUUAUCGAUAUCGACUAGAUUCAUAGGUUUUUACCUGUUCUCCUAGUUUUUAUCACCAGUUACCCCGCUAGGAAUCGGUAGUAUCGGCUUUCAUUACUUUCUGUUACCAAAUCCAUCUGUUGCCGAUUAGAUCUUUUCCUGGUGCUGUUACUACGUGCCUUGUACCGAUUACUUUAAUAUUUUUCUAUCUACAAGGCUACGGGGGUCGUGCUGUCUUGUAGCCGAUUUCUUUACCACAGUAAAUCGGCCGAUCUGCCGAUAAGCUCUCUCGAUCGGAAACUUAGCCGAUCGUAGUUACUGAUUUUGACACGUGUUCUUCCUUGCCAAUCAACAGGUCAGAUUGGCUGGCACGCCGCGCGAACCGCACCAGGGCAUUCACCCGAACAGGAGCUAAGCAGAUUCUCCCGGGUCGUGUGUCGGCCGCUGGGAUUCGGUUGACCGAUUUCUAGCGCCAACACACUUUUGGCACGCCCGGUGGGACCAUUACAACCGCUGUCUUGUCGAAAGCUGCUGAAGUCUCCGAAGAUAACGUCAUCGAAGUGACGGAGGCAGAUCUAAAGGACGACCAAAAAGAAGAUCUAAAUCAGUAUUUGGAGCAAGUCCGGAAAACUUGCUUGAAAUCCUUCAGUCGUUCCAGGAGCGGGGAAACUGUUAAAAAGUCUCCUUUCCCUACUCCCCGCCAGAUCACGAUUUCAGAAGAUUCGGACAAAAUGUCCGAUAUGAUUCAGCAAUCUCUUCAUCACGCCUUCAUCAACCAAUCCCCGGUACUUUCAAACAUGGUGCACAAUGCUGUUGUCAACUCUUUCGCCGGAGGUAUACCACAGGGGUACAGGGGGCCUACGUAUUUUCAGCCGAUUCCACCAAAUCAGGCUUAUCAGGCUUCACAGCCGAUCCAAUCCUCUGUCGGAGGAUCUGGUGCUUCUACGUCAUCAACUCCUUUGGGAUACGGCUCCACUGCACCACUCCCUCCAGUCAUUCCUUUACCCUGGGGGGCACCCUUAAACACGACCGGUUUGAAUCAAUCGGUCAGCCAAGGAAAUCCUCCGUUCCAGACACCCUCCCAAACGGCCACUCGGCCGAUCAUACCACCAUACCAGCCUAUCGCUCCGGAGGUCAACAAGACGUCAGAGCUCAUGCUAUAUGAUGGAACAAGUGGUUCAUACAAGCAGCCGUCCUUUACUACACCGCCGGCUUAUACUCAGAUACCACCUUUUCAUCAACCUCCUUUUAUUCAACCUCCGAUUUAUCAACAUGUGCCGAUUCCGCCGCCAAUUAUUCCCCAACAACAACCGGAUUGGACGGCGCAAAUCGCGGAGGUAAUGCAAGAACAAUUCGGACUGAAGCCGAAGGUGCAAACUUAUACCUACAGGACACCAUACCCAUCUACGUACGACUUGUUGCCGUUUCCCCAUCGGUACAAAGUCCCGGAUUUCACUAAAUUUUCCGGAAUAUAUGAUACUUCUACCGUGGAACAUGUGAAUAGAUUCAUCAUCCAAUGCGGAGAAGCAGCUACGCAAGAUGCCCUACGGGUACGGUUGUUCUCGUCAUCUUUGUCUGGAUCGGCUUUCCAAUGGUUCACCACUUUGCCACCAAACUCGAUUAUCACAUGGGCCGAUCUAGAGAGGCAGUUCCACAAGUACUUCUAUGCUGGAGUCCACGAAAUGAAGUUGUCUGAUUUAACUAGCCUCCGGCAACGAAGUGAUGAGCCGAUACCCUCGUACAUACAGAGGUUUCGGGAAAUCAGAAACAAAUGCUACUCCUUGGCUCUAACCGAUGCGCAGUUGGCCGAUAUAGCUUUCCAAGGCCUGCUGCCACACAUUAAGGAGAAAUAUGCUUCGCAAGAAUUCGAGAGCCUGAGCCAGAUUGUCCACCGAUUGUCCGGACAAGAGGUGCGUCCAUUCGAUCCAAGAAGGAAUUUCCAGAAGAAAGUGGCGUUCCUGGAAGAAUUAGAGGACGAGGAAGACGCCGACAUCGGACUUGCAGAGUGGAUUAAAGGAAAGAAGCCGAUAUCAUGCCCGUUCGGCAAAAAGGAGCCGGAAGCAUUUGGUUUCGAUACAACUAAAGCUGACAAAAUCUUUGAUCUUCUACUCCAGGAAGGACAAAUUAAACUCUCGCCUUACCACACGAUACCCUCUGCCGAACAAUUGAAGAAGAUGAAGUAUUGCAAGUGGCAUAACGCCACAUCACAUGAUACCAACGCCAUUGAGCAAGGCAGACUCAAAUUUGAAGUGCCGGCAAAACUGGCUAAACCUAUGAAGAUUGAUCAACACCCUUUUCCUACCAACAUGGUGGAUACGGGUAAGAAUCCCCUCCAAACAAAAGUGCUGACGUCCGAAUCGGCAAAAAGGAGCGGCUCUGUCGACCCCAGAAAUCAAGUUACACCCGAAGACAUCAAAGGGAAACGGCGAAUGGAGGACGACGAUGGUGAGUCUGAUAGACCACGUAUUACUUCCCAGUUCCUGCUCCAAAAGUACCAACGCCAACAUGAACGAUCGAGGUCCCGAGAGGAAGCAAUGCGUCGACACGAAGAACACUGGAGAUGCCCAUUCUUCAUCCAUUGUUGGGAAAAUAACCUCAGGCUUCCAUCAGCCGAUACUUGCCCAGAGUGCAACGGUCCCUAUCGAAGCAAUCGGCCGAUUACAAGGUCUCGCUCCAGAGACGGAAGGCCAGAACCGAUCAGCAGGAAUCGGCGCAACCCAGAUGAUCAGCGCCCUUCCAUGCGUGAUCGGCUGGGGGGCAGAAGUGACCGAUAUGAUCGGUCAGAAGAUAGAAGCCAUAAUAGGCAGGGGGGCAGGACCGAUCGACAUGAUCAAUCAAGUAGCAAAGCCAGCGUUCACAGUCGGCUCCAAGACAUGGCCGAUGCUCGGGUAACAGACGAGAACCCGUUAGGACGCGAGCCAGAAUGGGAACGCGCCAGGAAAGAAGGGAGGCCAAUAAACCCCAGAUGGUGUCCCGAUGGUUUGACCAAAUCACAAAAACGAAGAGUCCAACGCCUCCGCCAAUGGGAACAGCAAGAAGAAGAAAGCGCGAUGGACAAGAAGGAAGGGAGGCCUCGGGUAUGGCGCCCCAAAGGAAACGACAAGGGCAACGAUGAAUCGGCGGGUGAUGAAUCGGCAGCCGAAAUCGGUAUGGUUUUCAUAUUGCCGACGGAGUUUAUGACCCCUGCCGAUCAACAGAACGUGUCGGCAAUAGAGGAACAAACAGCACGGUUGGCGUUAGAACCAAUGAUGGCCACGUUCGAAAAGCCCGAAGACGACGAACGACAACAUAUGAAGGCGUUGUUUCUUAAAGGGCAUGUUGACGGUCGCCCCCUCACUAAAUUGAUGGUCGACGGGGGAGCUGCCGUCAACAUCAUGCCGUAUGCCAUACUCCGAAAGCUGGGAAAGAGCGAUGACGACCUAACCAGGACGGACAUGAUGCUCAAGGACUUCGAAGGCAAGGUGUCAAACGCUCGCGGUGCCCUCUGCGUUGACCUCACCAUCGGCAGUAAGACCCUUCCUACCACGUUUUUCGUCAUUAAUGGCAAAGGGUCCUAUAAUAUGCUUCUUGGACGAGACUGGAUACACGCAAACUGCUGCAUACCGUCAACUAUGCAUCAAUGCCUGGUACAAUGGGUCGGCGACAACAUCGAGGUGGUCAAAGCCGACUCCGCGUACAGCAUCGCAGCAGCCGACGCACAGCAAUGGAGCUGCGAAACCGUCAGGUGCAUAUCAGGUAGGGUGUGGGAAACUGAUUUCCUGAAGGUCACCGAUUUUGGCCUACAGCCGAUCCGAGCAGUCGGCUCUGAAGAAGCGCAAUAAAUGGAUCAGUUCGCCCGAGAAGACGGGAAGCUGGGACACGGAUUCACGUCGGCCGAUUCAUUGGAAAUGGUAGAUUUAGGUGACGGGACCAAACCAAGGCCGACUUUUAUUAGUGCAAAUUUAGAUCCAGAGUACAAGUGUAAAUUGACAAAUUUAUUAAGAGAAUUCAAGGAUUGUUUUGCGUGGGAGUAUCACGAGAUGCCCGGAUUAGAUCGAUCUAUUGUUGAACAUCGGCUACCCAUAAAACCAGGGUAUCGGCCGUACCAACAACCCGCACGGCGAUGCAAUCCUAAAAUUUUACCAGACAUAAAAGCCGAAAUAACUCGGCUAAUUGAAGCGAAAUUUAUUCGGCAAUGUCGUUACGCCGAGUGGAUUUCUAAUAUCGUACCGGUGUAUAAGAAAAACGGGAAACUGCGCGUUUGCGUCGAUUUCAGAAAUCUUAAUCAGGCCACACCGAUGGAUGGCUACCCCAUGCCUACGGCCGAUGUACUGAUCGACGCUGCCGCGGGGCACAAAAUUAUUAGCUUCAUGGAUGGGAACGCCGGAUACAAUCAAAUACUUAUGGCCGAAGAGGACAUACCCAAAACGGCUUUCAGAUGUCCAGGCCAUCUUGGUCUAUUCGAGUGGGUGGUGAUGACUUUCGGUUUGAAGAAUGCUGGUGCUACAUAUCAGAGGGCCAUGAACUAUAUUUUCCACAAACUCAUCGGCCUCCUGGUGGAGAUCUACAUCGACGACGUUGUGGUCAAAUCCAAAAGCCACGAGGAACACCUAGCCGAUUUGCGAAGGGUCCUAGAGUGUACCAAGAAACAUGGUCUUAAGAUGAAUCCCAACAAAUGCGCUUUCGGCGUCUCCGCCGGACAGUUCCUAGGAUUCAUGGUGCACGAACGAGGCAUUGAAGUCAAUCAGAAGACCAUAGCGGCCAUCAACAAAGUCGUCGCUCCGCAGAACAAAACUGAACUACAAUCUCUAAUCGGCAAGGUAAACUUCAUCGGAAGGUUUAUAUCUAAUCUAUCUGGACGGAUCCAGACGUUCACACCACUUCUGAAGUUGAAGCCAGACCAAGAAUUUAUUUGGGGAGAAGAACAGCGCAAGGCGUUAGAAGACAUCAAGCGAUACUUAGUCUCGCCCCCAGUCCUGGUUCCCCCCCAAACGGGUAAGCCGUUUAAACUAUAUUUAUCAGCCGAUGAAAAAGCUAUUGGGUCGGCUCUAGUCCAAGAGUUUGAAGGCAAAGAACGGGUGAUUUAUUACGUUAGUAGAAGACUCCUGGAUGCCGAAACAAGAUAUCCUCCAGUAGAGCGUUUGUGUUUGUGUCUUUACUUCUCGUGCACCAAACUCAGACACUAUCUACUGUCGGCAGAAUGUAUAGUCGUAUGCAAAGAUGAUGUAGUGAAAUACAUGCUGUCACUGCCGAUAUUGAAAGGGCGAAUCGGUAAAUGGAUUUUAGCUUUAUCAGAAUUUGACCUACGGUACGAAUCGGCAAAAGCCAUCAAAGGUCAAGUCAUGGCCGAUUUCGUCGCACAGCACUGUGGGCCGGAGAUCGCCUUCGUGGAACUAGCGCCUUGGCAGUUAUUUUUUGAUGGGUCAUCAUGCGGAGUCGGAUCGGGAAUCAGCAUCGUUCUCAUAUCGCCUCGGGGGGCAAGAUACGAUUUUUCUCUGCCGAUAGAAACCGCCACCACAAACAAUCAAGCGUAAUACAGAGCUGUAUUAAAAGGCUUACGAUUAUUGAGAGAAGUCAAGGCCGAUUCUGUCGAGGUCUUCGGAGAUUCGAUGUUAAUCGUGGAUCAACUAACCGGGAAGGCUGAGUGCAAAGAUGACAUAUUACGAAUUCAUCACGAAGAUUGCCUACAGCUGUUAAAAGAAUUCAGAUCGGCAGUAAUCGAGCAUGUCCCAAGAGACCGCAAUGAGGAAGCGAACAAACUCGCUCAACACGCAUCUGGGUAUCGGCCGAUUCUAGGCGCCAUGGCCUUAGAGCUUGCAGCUGACGAUUGGCGCAAAGAAAUUGCCGAUUACCUAAAGGAUCCGUCUAAAAAGGUGGAGCGGCGAGUACGCUUUCACGCUACCAAAUACGUAUUACUCGAAGAUGAUCUGUUUUACCGAACGAUCGAAGGUGUUCUUCUUAAAUGCCUUGGGACAGAAGAAGCCAAGACUCUAAUGGGAGAAAUCCACGAAGGGGUAUGCGGAGCUCACCAAUCAGCACAUAAGAUGAAGUGGAUGAUCAGAAACAAUGGGUACUAUUGGCCUACGAUCCUUGAAGAUUGUUUCAAAUAUUAUAAGGGUUGUCAGGAGUGUCAAAAGUUUGGAAAUGUCCAGCAUGCACCUGCAUCGGCCAUGAAUCCCAUCAUCAAACCAUGGCCGUUCAGAGGGUGGGGAAUAGACCUUAUCGGCCAAAUUUAUCCACCAUCGAGCAAGGGGCACAAGUUUAUUCUGGUCGCCACCGAUUAUUUCACCAAAUGGGUGGAGGCAAUCCCAUUAAGAACUGUGACUUCGGCUAUCAUGGCCGAUUUUGUAAGGGAUCAUAUCGUCUACCGAUUCGGUAUCCCUCAAACUGUAACAACCGAUCAAGGAACGAUGUUCACAUCGGGGGAAUUUGAGGAGUUUACAACCGAUAUGGGCAUCAAAUUGUUAAAUUCUUCUCUGUAUUACGCUCAGGCCAAUGGUCAAGCAGAAUCUUCCAACAAAGGAAUAAUCAAGUUGAUCAAAAGGAAGAUUGAAGAAUACCCGAAGAAGUGGCACCUGUGUUUAACCGAAGCCCUAUGGGCAUACAGAAUGGCCUGUCAUGGGGCCACCAAGUUAUCUCCUUAUCAGUUGGUAUACGGUCACGAUGCAGUACUUCCAUGGGAAUCGAGGGCAGGAUCAAGGCGCAUUUCACUUCAAGACCAGUUAUCGGCCGACGACUACUCGGCACUUAUGAAAGAAGAACUUGAUGAUGUGGCCGGUCAUCGACUAAGGGCUCUGAUAAGUAUCGAAGAGAAUAAAAAGAGAGUGGCCAGGUGGUACGAUAAAAAGGUCAAAGUCAAGCAGUUCUCCCCCGGAGAUUUGGUAUGGAAGUUAGUACUACCGAUCGGGUCGAAAGAUCCUAAAUUCGGUAAAUGGUCUCCUACCUGGGAAGGGCCGUAUAAAAUCGGCAAAUGCUUAUAUCUUGGAAACAAUAGAAGGAGAAGAAUUCACUAGAGCUCUGAAUGGGAGGUAUUUAAAAAGGUAUUACCCAAGUAUAUGGGUCGGUGCCUAAGGAAUUAAACACGAUCAUACAUGACCGAUACGAUUCGGUCUUGAGACACACAUAAAGUCAACCGGAACGGCCGAUUACAUUCAUUCGGUACGGGCGACGGGUUACAUGGCCGACAAAAUGUUUAGUCGCCCUUAGAACAAAAAUACAGCAACUAAUUAUUCUUUUUCUUACGCUCCCUCUCAGCCCGACCUAACUCUAUCAUGAGUCGGAUGUAUUCUUCUUCUAUGGCCUUCAUUGAAAUCUCCGCUUCGACUUGACCGGGGAGAUCUACGGGAGGGCGCGAAGUCCCCACUCCCGCAUCUUCAAGAACGACUUGCCGAGGGAGUGGAUGACUCCUGUCAAUGGGAGGUCGACGGCUGCCAUUCCUCUCCACGAAGUCCAGGAUCAUUCGGGCCUCCGUGGCGAUGUCGUCUUCAAGAUCGCCACAACGAUCGCCCCUGACAGGUGGAGAUUGCUGGUUACUUUCACUCACCACGGAAUCCAAGACUACGCGAGCCUCCGUGGUAAUGUGAUCCUGGAGCUCUUCUCGGUGAGCCGCGAUCAGCAUCUUGUCCUCCGACGUUAAUGGAUCUUCGGAAUGAAUGCACUCAAUGGCGCGCACGAGCUCGGGGCUAAGACGUUGAGGCUGAAACAAAGAAGGGAUGAGGAGGGAUAUUCUCUUCCUUAGGGUCUAAAAAAGAAAGGAAGGUAGAGGUCAAAAAACUUCACCUGGUUAACAGAGGAAGAAGAAGAUGACGAGGCCAUAGCGAAGAAAUUGCACCGAUGAGAAGGGGCAGAAAGGUUGAACCGAGAGCCAAGAUUGAUGUUACCAGGAGUAAGCGCCGAGCUUGGUAUUUAUAAAAGAAUGCGUGGAAAUCUGGUAAAGCUACGUCCCAUCGGUAAUAAGAAGGCAAUAAAUAGAAAGGGCGUCGCGAGGGGCGGUCAAAGAAGGUAGUAAAUGAUUCGUACAAAACGGUCAGUGUUUUACAGAUUACCCAGAAGGGUAUCGAUGGCCGUGAUGGCCCGACGCCGGAUCUGAUCGGCAGAGUCAAGUACCCGUUGGUCUUCUUCCGCCGAUCCAGGAACCUCCGAUGCGCUGCGAUGGAGUCUCAGUGCCUCGUGAGCAAAGCGUUGCCUCUCCCGUGUUAAAUCGGCAAUAACAGAAGGUAGCUCUUCGAGUUUGUUCUCUUCGGCACUGAUUGCCUUGAUCACUUGCUCCAUUUCCUUGGCAAGCUCCGCCCUACGACGCUUGAGACGGUCUAUUUCUCCUAUGAUCGCCGGACGGGAAUCUUCUAGGACAUGGAUACGCCGAUUCGCCUCUUGAGCCUGACGUUUGAAAGCGUCUUCCUCUUCGCGAGCCUUGGUCAGCUUAGCGCGAUCGGCCAUGUGACGAAGGGCUCUGAAGACCGGGAUCCUCAUAGACUCGAUGAAGGCCGCCGGCGCCAGGGCCUCCUCCGCCUCUUCUGGUACUCGUCCGCUGACGUCAUUGAAGAGCUGCCGAAUCGGCGAGGCGUCUUCUACUAAUCGGCCGAUGUCCCCUUGAAGGAGGGAUCGGAUGCUGGAAAGUUUGGCUCGGACGUCGUCAGGAACGGAACUCAAGGCGACUUGGCGAGAAGCAACUUCUUCGUCGUCAGAGAGGGCGACCGCAAAAGAAAAGAGACUGUUGUCGGGGGUAUCCUGUUCCUGAAGAUAAUAAAGAAAAGAAAUGAACCAGCUGUAAGAAAGAGCAAAUCGGCUAAGAUGGAGGCCGAAACAGAAAAAUACCAUUUUGAAGCGAAUCUCCUCAUGUUGCACUUGAGAAGCCGCCAUGCCUUGCUCGGGGGCCUGCGCCAUGGGUUCAUCAGAUGGAGAGGACUCCACGAUAAUUGGCGCAGUGUUUGGACCAGCCUCCUGACAAGAAAUCGGCGAUCGAGGAGCGAUUGAUGUGCCGAUGGCCUGUGUCAGAAGUUUGAAUAAAUACGGUACGUAAAUGCCCAAAGGAAAUCGGUACGAGAAGUUCUAUACAUUAACGGAAGGAAACGGGGGCACGUCAAUAGCUGGAGGGGCUGCUGCCGAUUGUGGUACUUCUGUAGGGAUGCUCUGUGCAGUUUAAAGAUAAAAGAAAAAUUAAUAUCAAAAAUAAUAAUCGGAGACAGCGCAACUCAGUUUUACCUGUAUGGCCUCCAACAACAACGAUGCGGCGGCCGCCCCAGCUUGCGUCAUGGUUUGAGUAUCGGCACCUUGAAUGACUUGAGGAGGUGGUACGGCCGAAGUGUCUGCCGAUACGCUCACGGGAGGAUCCGCCGAUCCCGUACGAGCCCGGACUCGGCGACUGGUCUUCUUGGUAGUCCUUUUAUGAACUUGUUUCGAUCGGCCAGUAAUCACGUCAACAGACGGGGCGUUAUAGCCGAUAAGGGGAUAAGUAGUGUAUGGAUGACUCUCUAUCAGUCGUCCGCUGCGGCUGUGUGUUGGAGGGAUCCGAUUCUCGGCCUAAAAUAAUAAAAUCAUUAGUACUCGGUCGUGUUAAGGGGAAUAAAAGGGAAUAAAAAUCGGCUAUGUGAAGUACCUCGGCGUUUGGAUCAAUGUUGGUCGGGUCCAGAAGAUUGCAGUAUGCCGAUGCUGAGUUGCAGAAGAGGAAUUGCUUCCAAUCAGCCCACCAUAGUUUGAACGGCUGAACAGCAAAUGGAGCUACUAGCCAGUCGUUCAAGUUAAUUGUACUGGAGUCUGGAAUUCGGUCUCGCAACCGACCGUAAUCUAGGCUAGAUUUGAGAUCAUCUCUAAACUUGAUUUUGCCAGCAAAGUACACCUGAAUCGGCAGCUGACCCAUGCCAAAUUGUCGUGCCGCAGCAGAAGGGUUGUAGAAUUCAUACGUAGGGGCAUCCUUCCCUGAGAAGAAAUUGGCCGGUAGGAUCCCUGGCUUGAUCAACCCUUCAUAGAGAUCUUCAUCAAACCGGCCAGAAGUUGAGUCAAAGCAGGAAGGGAGCUCGAAGAUGGGAAUGUCUCGCUGGUAUGGAAACCAGAUAGUUGCGUCCUCAUUAAAUCCAUCGUAAAAGCACCGAAAGUACUCGGCUACCUUUGUAGCGGAAUACGCACAACCUGGAAAAGCUGAUGCCGCUUCACCAUAAGACAUGCAUCGGCGACGCUCGGUAGGGUCUUCCGCCGAUUCAAUAUUGGGAAACGUCAUGUGGUCCACUGGCUGCCGGGUGAUCCUGUUCAUGUAAAGGUUCAACCAUAGAUUGACGAACCACCAAGGCCCACCUGGGUUGCCGAUUGGUUCUCCCUUGGAAAGUUUUGUGCCGAUUUGGUGGAGCAUGUGGUACACAGCACCCAGAAGAUGUUUCCCGAGAGGAAUGUGGCUUCCUUUGGACAGUGCCUCGGCUAAAGAUUGGGUGUUGGUUGUUGGGCCGGCGGCUCUUCCACAGAAAAGGUGUUUUUCUAGCCACAUCAUCAGGAAAGCGGUGUGCUCCCUAUUAUCAAUAGUACCGGUCUUCUUGUUAUUACUAAUAAAGCCCUUCCAGCUGCCGAUUCCUCUUACGUCCAGCCGAUGCGACGGUACGGUCAGAAGUUGGAAAGGCGUGUCAGGAGAGGAUAUGUCCAGGCCGGUCAAGAGGACCACAUCGGCCAGAGUGGGGGUCAUAGGACCGUGUCCAAAUAAGAAUGCAUUAAGAGCGUCAGACCAAAAAUAGGAAGCCGCCAUCACUAGCGGUUCGUUUUUCUCCAUUUGCGACAGAGAGAGGUUGAUACAUUGGCCGAUUUUGAGUUCAUCCCACAAGACGCUCUUUGACGUGGCCAUCCGUUGGUACCAUUCCCUCCAACCGGGGGUUUCAUUCGGCCAAGAUCUAAAAGUGCUGGCCCAUUGAUCUAAGUUCAUGUCAGAUCGUUUGAAAGGUAUCCGGUCAGUUUCCAAGUUUAUGAGGUCUGCUGGAUCUGGGUCUCCCAUGGGACCAAGGCAAACAAGGCCAGGACUACCCGUGAGAUGGAUAGUGAUUCUAUGUCUAACCGCCUAAAUGAGGAAAAGAGGCAUAAGAAUAUAAGGAAUAGAUCUAAGAUAAAUACGUUACCGAUAGAGGAAAAAUUCGGUGUUUACCUCCGGUAUAAAAUUCUGAGUAAUCGGUGUGGUCGCCGAUGCAGAUGCAGAUGAUGAAGCCGUAAUGGGGAUCGCCAUUGGGAUCUCUGAUGAAGCUCCUUCAUCUAUGGAUGGAGUGACGGUUGUUGCCACCGUUACCGGAGGUGCUACCUCCACCGGGGGCAUUGUCCCUGGAGCAUCGCGUGCUGGGGAAUUACCGGAGGGAGUCGCCAUUGAAGGGGAGGGGAAGAAGUGACAGGAGCUGGAGCUGGAAGGCUUCGAUGGCAAGAUUGAAGAAGGAAGGAAGUGCGCGCGCUGGAAAGAGGGAUGUGAGCUUGAAGAUGAGUUGCGGUGAAAUGAUAUUUAUAGGGUGCCUGAAGAAAGGGUAAAGAUGGAAUUUUCAACGCGCCGGCGCGUCGAGUUUUUCGGGGUAGUGGCUGUCGUGGGCGCCCGUUUCAAAAAAUUGCAAUGAUCAGCCGGGAGACCGCGAAACGGAAGGAUAUUUUCACUGCGGCCGUUUCGGAAGAGAGGUUAUAAAGAAUUUCGAAGUAAAAGGCUAUGUUUUACUCCGAAACUGGGGGGCAUGUGUUGACGCCGGAUUUCGUCAUCAGUAGAAUCGGCGCCAAAGAGGAAAGAAAUCGAAGGAGGACGGAUGGAAAUCGGCCAAAAGGUGCUACAGCGCGGAAUCGGUCAAGUGGCUUUUACUUUGCUUCAGAGUGAAUACGCCGGGUUCCCAAUCGGCAAUCCUUUGCUGAUAAGAAAUCGGCCGAUCAGGAAGGUGGACUAAGGUGGGCCUGUAUGGGCUUGGAAAGAUGGAAGGAUAAGGUGGAGUUCAGCCCAUGAAGCGUGGGGUAAUUAGUUUAGCUCGGAUUGUGCUUGUAGAUAUUUGUUUUCUGUUUAAAUUAGAGAUAGAGUCCUAGUCGGUUAAGAAGAUUAUUUGUACGGGGCUAUAAAUAGCUACCUUUGUAAAUCUGUAAAAAAAAAAAACAAUCAAUCAAUACAACAAGUUACUUUAUUCUUCGUACUUACUUUCGAGCAGGCGACUUCGCCAUCACUUUUCCUUCUCACGAGUUCGUGCGGGUUGGCAGGGCUGCAUCAUCUUGAUCUCCGGCCGAUUCUGUAAGUUCCGUUUAUCGAGUAAUAUCUAAGCUUUAACUUCCGGCGCAUCGCUGUUGUUUCGUUUAGAUUUUAUUCAUCAGUUAUCGAUAUCGACUAGAUUCAUAGGUUUUUACCUGUUCUCCUAGUUUUUAUCACCAGUUACCCCGCUAGGAAUCGGUAGUAUCGGCUUUCAUUACUUUCUGUUACCAAAUCCAUCUGUUGCCGAUUAGAUCUUUUCCUGGUGCUGUUACUACGUGCCUUGUACCGAUUACUUUAAUAUUUUUCUAUCUACAAGGCUACGGGGGUCGUGCUGUCUUGUAGCCGAUUUCUUUACCACAGUAAAUCGGCCGAUCUGCCGAUAAGCUCUCUCGAUCGGAAACUUAGCCGAUCGUAGUUACUGAUUUUGACACGUGUUCUUCCUUGCCAAUCAACAGGUCAGAUUGGCUGGCACGCCGUGCGAACCGCACCAGGGCAUUCACCCGAACAGGAGCUAAGCAGAUUCUCCCGGGUCGUGUGUCGGCCGCUGGGAUUCGGUUGACCGAUUUCUAGCGCCAACAUCUGCGCAUUCAAAUAAUUUAAUUGAAUAAUUUCUUGAUCACAGCAAUGCAGUAAAAUAAAUAUUUUACAGGCUAAAUGAGUUGGUAUAGAAUUAAUGAUUACUUCAUACUUAUUGUCAAUUUACUCGUUAAUUAAAUAUAUUUUUGCAUGUACAAAAUCUGUGAAGGUUUUGUUUUUCAUCCUGAAAUGCAGUGAAAAGGUAAAAUAAAAUCCAUUUCCAAAAAACAGGCGGGAGAAGAAAAAUAGGAAAAAAGACCUUUUGUCUCGGGGCUAACAGCAACCGGGACAAAAGGCCCCCCUUUUAUCCUGGUUGCCAACGGCAACCGGGAUAAAAGGGUACGUUUCGUCUCCCGCCCAAACGUACCCUUUUAUCCCGGUUGCCAACUGCAGCAGGGAUAAAAGGGUACACUCCCAGCCCCACCUGGCGGGGGUACCCUUUUGUCCCGGGUCCCGUCGCCAACCGGGAUAAAAGGGGGGGGGCCUUUUAUCCCGGUUGGUGNNNNNNNNNNNNNNNNNNNNNNNNNNNNNNNNNNNNNNNNNNNNNNNNNNNNNNNNNNNNNNNNNNNNNNNNNNNNNNNNNNNNNNNNNNNNNNNNNNNNGACGAGACGACGACGCGAGACGACGACGGCCGAGGCGAAGACGACGACGGCGGCGUAGGCGGGACGGCGACGAGACGGCGACGAGGGGCGACGAGGAUGGAGCCGGCGACGAGGAUGUGGAGCCGGUGGCCGGAGGCGACGAGGUGGCCGGGGGCCGGGCGCGUCGACGGACGAGGAGGGGAUCGAGGAGGGCCGGCCGGGGGACGACGACGGCGCAAUGGGGGACAUCGACGGCGCAAUGGGGGACGACGACGGCGGCGGCCGGUGAGGGAGGCGGACGGGCGGCGACGGCGGAGAACGCGCGGGACUUGCGAAAUUUUGGCUAAGUGUGUAACUGGCAGGGGGUAGAAGGGAGUACAGUGCCUUUUAACCCCCCCCUUUUAUCCCGGUUCGUAAUAGGACCCGGGACAAAAGGCUCUUUUGUCCCGGGUCCUAUUACGAACCGGGAUAAAAGGGGGGGGUUAAAAGGCACUGUACUCCCUUCUACCCCCUGCCAGUUACACACUUAGCCAAAAUUUCGCAAGUCCCGCGCGUUCUCCGCCGUCGCCGCCCGUCCGCCUCCCUCACCGGCCGCCGCCGUCGUCGUCCCCCAUUGCGCCGUCGAUGUCCCCCAUUGCGCCGUCGUCGUCCCCCGGCCGGCCCUCCUCGAUCCCCUCCUCGUCCGUCGACGCGCCCGGCCCCCGGCCACCUCGUCGCCUCCGGCCACCGGCUCCACAUCCUCGUCGCCGGCUCCAUCCUCGUCGCCCCUCGUCGCCGUCUCGUCGCCGUCCCGCCUACGCCGCCGUCGUCGUCUUCGCCUCGGCCGUCGUCGUCCCGCCGUCGUCGUCUUCGUCCUCGUCGCCGUCCCGCGCGCCGCCCGGCCGCCGCCGUCCCGCCGCCCCGGCCGCCGCCGUCCCGCCACCCCGGCCGCCGCCGUCCCGCCGCCCCGGCCGCCGCCGUCCCGCCGACCCGGCCGCCGCCGACCCGCCGACCCGGCCGCCGCCGUCCCGCCGUCCCGCCGUCCCGGCCGUCGGCCCGCGCGGGAGAGGUCCGCUGCCGCGCCGGCCGGCAGCGCCGGGAGGGUUUUCUUUUUAAGUUAAUUAGAAAAUUAAGUUUUAUUUUUAGAUAGAAUUGUAAUUUUGUUAAGUUAGAUUUUUAGAUUUCUAGUUAGUUUGUUAAGUUAGAUUUCUAGUUAGUUUUUUAAGUUAGAGUUGAUAUAGAGAUCGCCGAGUAGCCGCCGUGAUCGUCGCCUUGUAGCCGCCGUGAUCGCCGCCGAGUAGCCGCCGUGAUCGCCGCCAUCCCGCCGCCCAUCACAACCUAGUAGGCACCGCCCGUGGUUCCGGUGAACCGUCCCCGCCGUACCGCCGCCCUGACCGCCGCCGUCCCGCCUCCGCCGCCCUGAUCGCCGCCGUCCCGCCUCCGCCGCCCUGAUCGCCGCCGUCACAACCUAGGCACCGCACGUGGAUAUUGUUACAAAUUCGUAGAAAUUCGUCAAAAUUCGUAGAAAUUCGUCAAAAUUCGUAGAAAUUCGUAGAAAUUUGUAGAAAUUCAUAGAAAUUCGUAGAAAUUCGUAGAAAUUUGUAGAAAUUCGUAGAAAUUCAUAGAAAUUCGUAGAAAUUCAUAGAAAUUUGUUGAAAUUCGUCAAAAUUCAUAGAAAUAUUUCGGACUUUGUACGAUUCAUGUUAUUUUAUGAUUUCAUUAUAUACAUGUAUGAUUCCAUUCCGGACUUUGUACAAAUUUGUAUUAAGACGAUUUCUAUGACUGUCAUGUAUGAUUCCAUGUAUGUUUCCAUCAAUAGUUGAAAUGGCAGACGAUGAGACCGCAAGGUAUAUCAUGGAGCAGAUAAUCGCUGGUGAUGGUAGUGGCGACAACGUUCCACUAUCAUACACGUAUGAAGAGGGCACCCAGGCGGACAUGUUCCUCAACAUGUCCGCUGAUGGGAAUGAAGAGCAACAGCCGCAACAACAACUUGCCGUGGCGGAAGGUUCCGGCGAGGUAUAUACAACCAUUCUUGUAUUGUUUCACGCCACCGCUACUACUACGUACUAAUUAACGAAUCUUGAACUGUUAGCCCUCCGGAUCGACACAAGGGCAGAAGACCUGAGGUCGUACAAAGGUGAUGGAAGGGAGGCUUGUCAUCACCGAAGUUACAGAAGAGGGCAAGCCGGUUGCUCCCGAGAAAGUAGCAAAGAAGUACGUGAGUCAAAUCGGGGCAAUCGUUCGGGACAACGUGCCUAUCAGCAUCAGAGAAUGGAAGGGCAGAAGAGAUAAUCCGUACGCCCUUCCAGAGAUAGAAAAGAAUAUGCUGUGGGAAGACGUGAAGAGACAUUUCACAUUCCCCGAAGGAUAUAGCGAGAAGGAUGUCAAAGCGUGGACGCUUAAGAAGAUGGCUACUCAAUUCCAGACAUUCAAGAAGAUGCUGGACACCCACUACAUCAAGAAGGGCAAAACUCCAGACUUCAACGCGUGGCCAAAGUUGAGGGACCACUGGGAUGCAUUUGUUGAAUACAAGAGGAGUGAAGAAGGUGUGAAAAAGAUCACGACCAACAUAGCAAAUGCUAGUCAGAAGGGCUACCACCAUCAUUUGGGGUGAGGUGGGUAUGGCUCAGCAAUUCCCAAGUGGAGGAAGAUGGAACAAGAUCUGAUCGAACGGGGAAUCGUACCUGCAACUAUUGAAUGGCCCGAACGAUCAAAGAACUGGUACUACGCUCAUGGAGGCUCCCUAAGCCAAGAGGAUGGGACGCUGAUUUUCAAUGACACAAUACGUGAGAAGGCCGAACAUCUCAUGAAGAACAUUGAAGAUUCCAAGGCUGGGAGGUUGAGGGUGGACCAAGAAAAUGAUGAGCUCACAUUGGCCCUCGGUAAUCCAGAGCACCCAGGACGUUGCCGGGGGUUCGGGGUGGUUCCGUGGAAGUUCGCUUUCCGAGGCGACAGCGCCUCUUACAGAAGCCGGAAGCGAAGAAAGGAACAGAUGGAGGAGAGCUGGUAGCAGAUGGUAGAACAAAGAAUGAUGGAUGAAAUCAAUCGGCGGGUGGCCGACGCAGUUGCGGAGUUGGCGCAAUCUGGAGCAAUGCCGAAUCCUAACACCGCCAGCCCUUCUCAACGCCUCGGGAGCAGUUGUGCUUCUACAGGGGUCCCCGAUGCGCAGACGCCCAGGUUACCCGUGGAGGAGCAAUGGUUCCCCGUGGAUGCCAUCACGCAACGGACCUCAUGUAAGCUGCAUGCACCGGUCGGCAACCUCACUAUUAAGGUAUACUUAUACAUAAUAUUUAUGCAAUCUUGUCAAUUGAUCCAGGCCUCGAGAUCGGAGUUCAACCUGUUUACUUCUACUAUAUGUACAGGUAGCGUACGGGAGUGUGUUACCAACCCUGGCAGGGCAGAGCAGUCAUGGCAUGGACAUUCCAACAGGCUACGCCAGCGUCUGCGUCGAGCAAAUAGUUGAUCCCCAGUAUGAAGGUCUAGAGCUCGACUUCCCGGGAGGCGACGGGGAAAAGACAUUGGCAGAUGCGCUUCAUGGGAUCAUUCUAUGGAAGAAACGCUACAUCAUUAUUCCCCGCACGGAGCCAUCUCCUCAGACCUCAAGACCACUCCCCGUAGAUCCCCAGCAGCGACCUUCUCCUCAUACCUCGAGACCGGCAUCUCCUGCUCCAGGACCGUCUCUUCCAUCUAUAUCAAGGUCUCCAUCUCCACCACAUCCUGGUGCUGGGAGCGACGACGACAAUAACAACACCCCUCCCCGAUCACCGUCACCGGCACCAAGAGCGGCCCCCUCGAAGGAACCUGCAGCACCACUCAAGAAGUCACGAGCACCGCCUCCCAAGCAAAGACAGAGAAAGAAGAAAACAAAGGUCGACCCUGAAGUGGCUCGCAAGGAACGCUUUGAGGCAAUGUCUCAUGAAGAACAGUGGGCAGAAAUCCAACGAGAGGCCAGUGAGUGGUUCAAGAAACAAGCCGAAUUAAAAAAGGCAAGGGAGAUGGAGCCACCGUCAGUAAGUCGGCGAGAUUUAAACUUUUUUAUCAGGAUGGAGGAAGAAGCCAAGAAAAGGAUACCACUCUUGUCAAACUAUGAACGGGCUCUAGUAAAGGCUGAUGAAAAGGAUAAAAGGAAAGGAAAAUCAUCCUCCAGCAGUCCAGUCCCCGACCUCAGCCAUUUAUCAAAAAAAGAUGCUCAACGGGUAAAAGCAAUGCCCUUGGAUCAACAAGCAAAUAUAUUGAAGUUCAUGGAAGAAACAGGUCUGGGACUUGAUGAAUGCAUAGGGCAAGUCGAGACGCCAACUGCACCGCCCCCUGAGCCGAAGUGGACUUAUGAGCUAGGCAAACCUCUAGUAAAGCCUUCAAUGGUACGGAAGCUAUCAACAAAGAUGUACGAAUUCCAUCAAUGGUCGGCAUGAAGGUAAAACCGAUAGAUUUUCACGGUGAAGGGGAGAAAGUGCUGUGGCUAGACUUCAAGGAUAUAUACGAAGUGUACCAUCAUGAUGCCCUGGACGUCUCUCUGAUCAGCGCUUGGAUUCUGUAAGUGUCCGUUUAUUAUCUCUACAUGUAAAUUUUGGCGUGCGUCACCGUACUAACUUCAUCUUCCAUUUCAUGUAGGAUGCUAAUUCAGACAUGCCGCCGAGAGGCGUACCUACAUGUAGGCUUCAUGGAUCCAUCUGUAGUUAACCAACAACAGAUACAAUUAGCGCCGGAAAAAACCUUUGCGGAAAUAUACAAUUUCCUACACAAACAAACAUUCAAGGAUUUCAUACUACUUCCAUACAACUUCAAGUAAGUGUGUGUAUACCGUCUACUUUCGAUGUCUUUUUCCUUAUCUCUACAUGUUAGUUAGCUCUAAUAUGCAUGAACAUUUUACGCACGCAGCUUCCACUGGAUCCUUAUUAUAAUUGAGCCUGAAAGAAGCCACGUCACUGUCUUAGAUUCGUUAAGGAAAGAUCCGAUGGACUACCAAGAAUUGCAAGACAUGCUAGGCUUGUAAUAAUUCUGGACCUUUAUCUCUAUGCAAAAAUUUAUUUCCUAAAUUUUAUCCCUGUUACACUAUGUCAUUCAUUAUUCUAAUCCGCAGCGCAUGGAAACAAUUCAUAAGGACACACAAAGGUCCAUUCAAAGAAAAUCUUACAUGGAACACAGACUUCCCGGUACGUAUGCAGUCUGCACAUUUAUUACAUUGUAUAACACAAAUAUUUCAUAACUUAUUUUUUUCCGCACUGAAGUGCUUAAGACAGGAACCCGGGAAUAAUCUAUGUGGCUACUACAUCUGUGAGCACAUGCACAGUUUUUUGGGACCCAAGGGACCGAAGAUGACGCCGCACAACUUUAAAGUACGUAAAAUAACUAUAUUACUAGUUAAUUAUUUUCUAGCUCCUUAUAUGUAUUUGUUCAUGUAACAUUCACAAAUUUCCAAAUUAUAGAUGUUAAAUAUUCAACAAGGACUCUUGAAGGAAGAAAGAGUAGCGGCAAUAUGUGAAGGUCUCAUUGGAUUCAUAAUGGACGAGGUGGUGGACGAGGUGGUAAAUCCAAGAGGAGAAUUUUAUUACGAUGGACGACAAUUAGACACUCCGAUCAGCAACACCACGAUGGAUACUUUGAUUUAUUUGUAUAUAUAAUACGCGCUAAUUAUGAUCGAUUUGUACUAAGCUAGUUGAAUUGUGUAUAUGAAUUGUGUAUAAGGAUUGUGUAUAUAUAUAGUAAUUGUAUAAUUACAAAUCCCAUUCGUUUAAAUACUAGUUGAUUUCGUUCUAAAAAAAUCUCAACUACAAGGUUAACAAAUUAAAAGGGCUGCGGUACUACUAUACGUAUACGUGAUGCAUGCAUGAAAAAUUCAGACGUCACGGCUGUGCCAUGCAAGCGCCAUUUAGUCCCGGUUGGAAUCGAGCCGGGACUAAAGGGGACCCCUUUAGUCCCGGUUGGGAAAUCCAACCAGGACUAAAGGGGGACCUUUACUCCCGGUUAAAAGACCCGGGAGUAAAGACCCCCCCCUUUUGUCCCGGUUGGUUUAUCCCGGAUGGAUAUCCGAGAGAUAUGCACCCUACCAACCGGGACUAAAGGCCAAUUCUCUACCAGUGUAGACCAAACAUGAUACACACCAUGCGUACCUUGCUGUGCAGACUAUGCAUUGACAAGAUACCCGACCACAUGUUGGCCUCGGUCACAUCAAAAGAAUCAUGUAGGCCACCAAUAAACUACUUGAAGCGGCAUUCCGUAUCGUAUAUGCAUUGCCGGUUCAUCUGCAUUACAUUACAUAAAGCACUAUUAACUAUUUGAAUAAAAUGAACCAAUUUAAAAGUAAUGUGUUGUACUCUACUAUAGAAAGCCCUAUCACUGCCGGAUCCAAAAACAUCAUUGUUAAUGGUGGUUAAGUACCAAAUAUGAUGGUCAAUAUUCUCAAGAAUAAUGGAGAAUUAGCAUUUCUUAGACACAUAUUUGGUUUUGAACAAUGUAGUUCCACAUGUCUUUGGAGAUUAUUUGGGUGUGGGUGAAAUAAUACAAAAAUAAGGAGAAAACACACUCCCAUGGCAAAGAAACACAACUCCAACCAAUGAGAGAUAGCCACAGGGGCAGCACACGGAUCCAUGGGCCCACAAACCGCAUCAAACCGUCUUACCAAGGCAGGUAGCACCCACAACCGUCAUUAGGACCCACCUGGAAGUCUACCAAGAAGAAGGUUGCGAGUGGGGCCAGGAGGGGUUCGGUUGAAUCAUCUCUAGCUAGCUCCCCUCAUCCCCAGCUGGUGGGUGGUGGUGGUUGAUGGUGUCCCUACAUCGGUUAGAGGAGAUUCCCCCAAAUAUUCCUCCUGUAAACCACCUCUAUGGACCUAUACAUAGAGGGGUGUGCUCUCCAUUCCAACACACACCACAAGUUGAAUCACUGUCUCCCUCUUUAGUUUCCAAGUUUAUGGAGUUAGGCUAGAGUAGCUCUGCUCAAGGUUCCAAGUCCACUUGGAGUUAAGCAUAUGUCUCUUGUAUCGUUAUUUCCUAAAUUGACUUUAUGCUUAGUUCUUAUAUGCAUGAGUUAGUCUAAUACCCUUGCUCUAUUGAUAUGCUCGACUUAUAUGCUCGUAUGCUAGUCAUAUACCCUUGCUGUCGUAGUAUAGGCUUAUAUGCUCUCAUGUGUGCCUGUAGACCUUGCUAUAGUAUAUACUUGUUGUGUAUACAUACCAUGUAUAGGCUAGUCGAUCUAUACCAUGGCAUUGGUUCAAUAGCCAUGUUUUUGGUGGCUCCAGCCCUAGUCACAAUAGCUCGGGACAGCUGGAGUGUUGUUAAAAAUGCAAGAGUGGUGCUUGGGUUGUUUAGCAUCGUUGGAUAUGGGUUUGCCCCACAGGUUUCUAACGGUAGGCGACAGCUAGUGACAUCCCUGUCCGUCCUUCGUAAUCCCCCCACAUUCAGGUACGCCAUAAAUGUUCGUAAAUUAGCAGUAACUACGCCGGUACACCCAUAGGGUAUUGUCUCCCUGUAGUACCUUGGUGCAUAGAACUAAGUCCUAUACACUGUGUGUGUAUGUUUACGCUGAUAUGAUCUGUGCAGUAUAUAGGAUGUAUAUAUGAACCUAGAGCUAACUCCUAGUCCGUUCUCCAUAGCUUAGUUAUCUUGAGAUGAUUCUUUUGUAUGUGUAACACUACCCAUCUUAUCAUUAUCCUUGCUCCUGUCUUGUGUAAUAUAUCUACUCAUCCUAUGAUAUACUCAUAUGCAUAGUAAACUAUUUUGACCUACCCGCCUUCCUUUGGGAAAUAUGAUACCCUGGAAUAAUCCUAGGUGAAAUCCUACAACGGUAUAUCCAUGUGCUUGCGGAUUUAUUCAUGACCAUUAAAUAUACCAACAAUCAUCACUGCCGGUUAUGGGCGUCGUUAGUGAAGGGUUGGUAGUGAUGGGCAUCCCCUUCACCAAUGGACCUGGAACCGGCGGUGAUGGCUGUUAUAAAAAAGGGGACACCACCCAGCGUACCCCGCGACCCGGCUGGCCGCACCUCCCAUCAUCCCCGCCAGCCGCCCUUCCUUUUCGCCGGCCGAGCAUGGUCCUGGCCUUUGUCCCUACCGCCUCGCCUCCACCGCGACCCCCCGCCGAUGCCCUCAUGCCUGGCCCCCCUCAUCUUGCCGGCCACCCUCCCGAUGCGUCCACUAGGGCCCUCACACCACCAACCGCCCUUGCCUAGAGAGGGAGAGAGAGGAGGGAGGUGAGGCCACGCACCUCGUCCUACACCGCCGCUGUUUCUCCUCGGCCCACCGCGCCUCACCCCACACCACAGCCGCGCCUUGCCAUCUUACCGGCUGCGACGCCUCAUCUCACCGGCCACCGUUCCUCACCCCCACUUCGGUCGUCGCCGCUCCUUGCCCUACUGCUGCUCUUUGCCGCUGCGACUGAGCGGCGAGUGGAGGAGGAGGGACGGGGCAGGAGGAGGGCAAGAUCCGGGAGGAAGGGAGAGAUCUUGGGAGGUGGAGAUGGAAGGAUAUGGCGGAAGGGAGAGAUCCAGAGGGAGAGAGCAGGGGAGAGAGGGGGGCAUGUGGGGAGAGAGUGCGUGUGGGGUGGGGCCAGGCUGGUGGGAUGGAAGGGAGAGGGGCUAGACGGGCGCAGUGCAUUCAACUGGAUGAAGUAAAUAUUUCGGAUUCGAGACCCCAGCUUUAUUAUCACCGCUGGUCCGUAGUACCAUCCGGUGCCUGCUCGUAAUUUAAUUUGAAUCUGCGGUGAUGUUUUAUUAUCACCAUCGGAUCAUAUAAAAAAUCCGGCGGUUAAAAAUCCGCUGGUUUCGAUGAAAACCGACGGUGAUAGGAUGACUGUGAUAGUCUCUUCUCUAGUAGUGGUAUAUUAGUACCGGCUGCCAGACGGUGUUGCCGACCAGUACUUCUCCGGAGGCGAUUCAGUACUGCUGUUAGCAAAGCUUGUUCUCUAUGAAUCUGGGGAUGGAAAGCUAGUUCUCUAGUUGUGAUUUGUUACAUAUAUAUCUAUGAUAGUCUAGAAAUUGCAUGUCCUUCGUUGACAUAGUUGAAGCUGCGCGCUUCAAGAAUUUACUUCGUGCAGUCGUGCAGCAUAUUGGAUUAUCACCUAGACAGGAUACAUAGGUGAAGCAUUGGAUGUGAUUGUGGCCGAUAAUUAUGCAGGACGCUGUUGCAAUCAACCACCAAGAAGUCUGGAGUGAUGGGGUUGCCUCAUCAAUAAUUUUUAUAUAUGGCUGCAGUAUUAUUAAGCCCACGUCAAUAAUUUUUUCUCCGCACCAUAUAUCGAUGGGGUUGCCUCAUCAAUAAUUCGCGCAACCAGACAAGCUGCAGACUCAAUAUGGUACGAAGCUAGUUGCUCAGCCCACAUGCUCUGAUAUAACAUUGACAUCUGCUGAUCUACAGUAUAUAUGACCAGAAAUAUUGUGCCCACCUCAAUAACUUUCUGAAGUAUCGUGGGGAAGAACCUACUCGUACUAUGCCUCGGAACUAACUGACAUAUCGGCCUAGGCGGUCUAGGCCGAUUGGACUGGCUCUUCCUUGUGGCUUCUCACGUCCCCUUCGUCCCCAAGUAAUUUCAGGUGUUCUGCAGUUUCCUUUUCACUUGCAUCUGAGCCUCAUAUAUCAAUAGCUUCGGGAUAAGAAUGCCUCUUGAUAACCUUCCAAAUCCUCGCUUGAUUCACAUUGAUUCCGAAAUCAUCUUGCCAUAUCUUCAGAGACUUAGGUCCUAAGGCAUCAUGGAGGAUUGCUCGCCAGGAAUGAGCACCAUUGGGCUCCUGAGGACCCUAGGCCGAUCAGCCCGGGCUCUAUAGGUCGAUUGGCCCAGGCCCUCUCUGGGCCCGUUGGCCUUCAUCUUUCUCUGAGUCGACGCUUAUUCAGGGCUUUGUCCAAUUAUAGUCUAUUAUAGUCUAAUUUCCUACAAAAACAGAAUGUCCUCCAAAAUACAAUGCAUAUGUGAAAACAGCCCAAUUAUUAGGUAUGAUCAAUAGUUUAGGUAUAUAAAUUAAUAUUAUUAUUUAAGAUAAACAGGGGUAAAGGGUGUCAUUAAUAACAAGCGCCAACAAGCGUCCUGGCUGUUCAAUAAAUUUUUUCUAGUACCGAUUGGUAACACUAACCGGUGCUAAUAUGUACCCUUUAGUACCGGUUAUUUUACCAGGUACUAAAGGAGACAAGAGCAUCCUAACAUAAGGUUAAUAUCAUCCAUUUCAUGAGUAAAAUACUAUGAUUCAAAAAUAAUUCAAAUCCCUUAAGACAAUACCUAUCAAAUGAGUAAAUUGUAAAUAGAGUAAUCUUGAUCAAACAAUGUCCUAAUGAAACGGAACACUUCUGGUUCGUGUAGAGCACAAUAUAGAAAACAGUAGGGUAGCUGUACGAUUGACACGUGGUCCAUUAAUUCUUGAGCCAACACUAUGGACAUGUCUUCAUGAGUAGUGUACUAGUCAUGAUACAUGGUAUGCAGUAGGUGGAGGUAUUGACUUAGCCAUGCUAUGAGCACUUAGUUACAACAAACACUUUGCCAUUAUCGAGCAUCCCAAAUCACUACAAAAUCCAUAGUUUACCAUAUACUACAAAAUCUGAGUUAAAAUAAGAGCAUACACGGAAGAGUCCGAAUGCACCGGCACAUUGAAUUACUAGACAAAAAUUAUGGGACAAGGUUUUGGGUAACCGCAUGAAAAAUAUUGGAUUUUACUGAACACUUAGUUACAAUUACCAUGCCGUGAGCACUUAGUCACCACAAACAUUUAACCACUUUAGAUCAUCCUGAAUCCCUAUAAAUUCUAUACCUUACACCGUACCAUGAAAACGACAAGAACAGAGACAGAUGCGGUGAAAAUCUCCAGAGCAAGCCUGAAAUUAAAAUAAGAGGAGGCAGUCACUAUCGACAGGACACGGAGAUUGCUAGCCAUGACAGAGGAAGACAUGAUAUGAUAUUCACCUCUGAAAUGCAGCGUAGACUAAAUGAAGCACAAUUGCAAGUGAGUGUGGCAGAUAAUGGACCAUCGAGACCAUCGAUUGGUAUGAAGCAUGAUUAUCACCUAGACAUGAUAUCCUAGACAGGACGGUGAAUUGUAAAAAGAGUAAUCUUGAUCAAAGAAUGUCCUAAUGAAACGGAACAUUUUUGGUACGUGUAGAGCACAAUAUAGAAAACAGUAGAGUAGUUGUACGAUUGAACUGCAUCCAUCGACGUGGUGCAUGAAUUGUUGAGCCAACACUGGGGACAUGUCUUCAUGAACACCAUCUAGUGAGGACAGCAUGCAGAAAAAUAUCAAAACAUGUCAUAGGGAGGCAGACCAAUCUUGCGAGGUAGACGAAACGUGAUACACGAUCUGCCUACCUUGUCGUGGAUACCCCAAGUGAAGAUGUCAUAGAGGUGCAGACCAAGCUAGCAAGGAGGUAGAUGAAACGUGAUACACGGCCUGCCUACCUUGCCGUGGAUAUUAGUCCUGAUAUCAUUCUAUUGUUCAAGGAAUAACACUCAAUGCUGCUGCUGCUGCUGACCUGGCUCCAUAAAGUUAUAUUCCUCUAGCCGCUUGCACUAACUUUAUCUGAAGUAUUAUUCUCUCUGCACUGUAUAUAUGGUUACGGAGUUUGCUGGAGUAUCCGGGGGGAAGAACCUACAUAAUAUGUCUUGGAACUAACUGACAUUGAUUCACAGACAAGGUGCUGUUGUUGCCAUAUUUUAGAGCAUCCCAAAGGACUAUAAAUAAUAUAGUUUACCAUAUACCGUAUACCAUUAUAUGUUAGCUAAAAUAAGAGCAUAACAUGUCGCAGGAGUCCAAAAGCACCGGUUGAGGACCAGGUACAUUAAAUUACUAGAAAACGAAAGGGGACAAGGUUUAGGUAGCCACAUGAAAAACAUUUGAAUUUACUGUACCAUGAACACUUAGUUACCAUGCCGGGAGCACCUAGUUAACACUAACAUUUAGCCACUUUAGAUCAUCCCGAAACACCAAUGACCCUCAAUAGCGACAAAUUUUGGUUUAAAUGCCGUCACCAAUGAUCCUCAAUAGUGACGUGUUUAGGUUUAAAUCCCGUCACUAAUAACCCUUGGUAGUGACGUGUUUUGGUUUAAAUCUCAUCACCACUGAUCCUCACUAGUGACGUGUUUUUAGCAACACACGUUAUGAAUGACUUGUCAUUGGUGACAUGUUAAACGCGUUAUCUCAAUGGCAAAUCAAUGGUGACGUGUUUAAAAAAACAUGUCACCGUGAGAGUUAUUGGUGAAGGGUAAUUAAAAUGCAUCACUAAUUUUGUAGCAUUAGUUAUGAUAUAAUUUUGUAACGCAAAAAUCUACCAUAGUAACGAGGUUUAGAGCCGUCGCUAAUGUGGGUUUCUUACGUAGUGAUGCAAGCUCUACAAGGUGCUGUUGUUGCCAUUUUAAAGCAUCCCAAAUGACUACAAGUGUCUGGUUGAGGACUAAACAAAUUGAAUUACUAGAACCAAAUGUAUGUCCAGAACAAAGAAAGGGGUCAAGGUUUGGGUAACCGCAUUAAAAACAUUGGAUUUUACUGUACCAUGAACACUUAGUUACCAUUACCAUGCCUUGAGCACCUAGUUACCACAAACAUUAAUUUAGCCACUUUAGAGGUUCCUCAAUCACUAUAAAUAAUAUACCAACACCGUACCAUGAAAACAUCAAGAAGAGAGACAGGUACAUGGACCACCAUCAAGUGAGUAGUGACAGCAUGCACAAGAAUACCCGGAACCUUUUAGCUUGUCUGUAGUGAUCUGUUUUCUUCCCCGUAAAAUCCAUGAGUAUUGCCACAAAUAAUGAAAGAGGCUGACCAAGCUAGCAACGAGGUAGAGCAAACGUGAUACACGUAGGUUUCAUUCAAGACAUCCAUGUAAGAUUCAUUCAAAACAUUCAUGGAAAUUUCUUAUAAGUUUUCAUGUAAAUUUCAUUCAAGACAUUUGUUAGAGGUGUUGUAUAUAUACUUAACGUACAUAUAUCUAUGAUUUCAUGGUUGUUAGUGAUGGCAGAUGAGGAGCAUGCAAGGUAUUUAAUGGAGCAGAUUAUUGCUAGUGGCAGUGGCUCCAACCUGCCCGUAACGUACACCGACGAAGAGGGCAGCCAGGCGGACAUGUUCCUCAACAUGUCCGGUGAUGGCAAUGAAGAGCCCGAGCAAAACCUUGCCGUGACGGAAGGUUCCAGCGAGGUAUAUAUCAUUUCCAUUAUUUUACCCCAUCUAUAAUUUCAUAUUCAUUAUUACUAUGUACUAAUUAACGAAUCUUGAACCGUUAGCCCUCUAGAUCAACGAACCGAAAUAAGCCCCGAGGUCUUACAAAGAUAAUGCAGGGAAGGCUUCACAUCAUGGAAGUCACAGAAGAGGGCACCUCGGUUGCUCCCGAACAUGUGGCAAGAACGUACGUGAGUCAAACCGGGGCAAUCGUAAGGGACAACGUGCCCAUCAGCAUCAGGGAAUGAAAGAGCAAUAGAAAUGAUCUAUACGCACCCCCGGAUACACAAAAGGAUAUGCUGUGGGCAAAUAUCAAGAAACACUUCACAUUUCCCAAAGGAUAUGUUGAAAAAGAUGUGAAAGCGUGGAUGCUGAAGAAGAUGGCCACCCAAUUCCAAACAUUCAAGAAGAUGUUGGAUGCCAACUUCGUCAAGAAGGGUCGAACUCCGGGUUUCGAUGAGUGGCCAAAGUUAAGGGACCACUGGGAGUCAUUUGUCGAAUACAAGACGAGCGAAGGUGGUGCCAGUAAGGUUCGCAUCAAUGUUGCCAAUGCUAGCAAGGAGUACCAUCAUCAUCUAGGGCGACGUGGUUACAGCACUGCAAUUCCCAGAUGGCGCAAGAUGGAACAAGACUUGAUCGAUCGGGGUAUCGUACCAGCAACUCUUGACUGGCCUGAUCGAUUGAAAAAUUGGUAUUAUGCUCAUGAAGGCAAUCUGAGCCAAGAGGAUGCGACAUUGGUCUUCAAUAAAACAAUACAUCAGAAGGUCGGAAGGCUUAUUAGGAACAUUGAAGAUGCUAAAGCUGGGAGGUUCAAGGUGGAUAGAGAGAAUGAUGAACUCACAUUGGCCCUCGGGACUGUCAUCUCUAGCACUUCCAGCUCCAGGACUAUCAUCACCACCGGGACCGUCGCUUCUUGCUCGAUCACAGUCUCCAUCUCCAGCACAUCCUGGUGGUGCGAGCGACGACGACAACAACACCCCUCCCUGCCCACCAUUGCCGGGACUAAGACCCGCAUUGUGUAAGGAACCUGCAACACCACUGAAGAAGUCGCGACCACCACCUUCAAGGCAAGUCAGCAAAAGAAGAAAGCAGAGAAGCCUAAACCCACUGAGAAGCCAGCGACUGAUAUGACCGAUGCGGAAAGAUGGAAGGCACUCAAAGAAGAAUGCAUGGAGUGGUUCAGAAAAAGGACCAAAGAAAGAAAAGGAAAGGAGAUGGAGCCACCGCCAGUAGAUCCAAGAAAAUUAUAAUUUUUUAUUAAGAUGUCAAAAGGAGCUAAGAAGAUGAUGCCACAACUAUCAAACUACGACUGGGCGUUAGUCAAGGCUGAUGAGAGUUAAAAAAGGAAAGGAAAGUCAUCGUCAAGUGGUACUGUCCCCCAGCUCGAGGAUCUACCAGAAAAAGAUGCUAAAAAGAUAGUAGCAAUGCUCUUGGAUCAACAAACACAUAUAUCGUGAGAUUAAUGCAAGAAACAGGUAUGUCCCUUGCUGAAUGUCUAUGGCAAGUUGAUAUGCUAGCUCCAGAGCCAGUUGUACCGAAAUGGACCUUUGAGCUAGGCAAGCCUCUAGUAAGGCCUGAGUUGGUACAGAAGCUAUCCACAUAGAUGCAUGAAUUCCAUGAAUGGUACAUGAAGCAGUCUGCCAAUGAGAGGGAAAUGUUCGGUCUCGAGGAAAAACUAAUAAUUUUUUUCGGCGAAGGCGAGAAAGUCGUAUGAAUCAAAUUCAAGGAUAUAUAUGAAGUGAACCAUCAGGAUGCCCUUGAUGUCUCUCUCAUCAGCGCCUAGGUUUUGUAAGUGUAUGUUUAUCUAUACGUAAAUUUUGGCUCAUAUCAUUAUUUUUUUUGCGUGCGUCACCCUACUAACUUCGUCUUCCAUUUUAUGUAGGAUGCUAAUUCAGACGUGCCGCAUAGAAGCGUACUUCCAUGUUGGCUUCAUGGAUCCAUCCCUAGUUAACCAAAAGCCGAUACGGAAGUAGCUAGAGAAAACGUUGGAGGUGGUGUACAACUUUCUGGACAAACAAAACUACAGAAUAGGGGCAAUAUGUGAGGGUCUUGUAGGAUUCCUAGUGGACGAGGUGAUAAAUCCAUAAGGAGAAUAUCAUUACAACGGACGAGCAUUAGACACACUGAGCAACACCUAGACGGGAGGAUCCUAGGAAUGACCUCAACAGAUUUUGGUAUAAAUAGUAAUUGUGUAAAUACUAGUUUGAUUUGUAUAGGAAUAUACUAAGAAUUGUAUAUAUAGUAAUUGUACAAAUACUAGUUUGAUUUGUAUGAAUACUAGAUUGAUUUUAUUAUAAAAAAGUUUUAAGUCGUACGUGCAUGCGCCUACAAAGGCGCGGAUGCCCUUUAAUCCCAGUCGGAAAAACAAACCGGUACUAAAGGGGCUCGUGCCGCACCUGGCAUGACCACCCCUUUAGUCCCGGUUGAACGACCCAGGACUAAAGAUCUCCGCGUCUCAAAAAUUUUAUCUCGGAUGCUUUUUAGAGAGAUUUGAGGCCUAUCAACCAAGACUAAUAUCGAGUUUUCUACCAGUGGAACUAACUAACGUUCACAUGCUUUUGACAUUCACCUGCCAUUUGGUGUAGACAAGGGCACCCUAACAUAUGGUUAAUAUUAUUCUUGAAAGAAAAUCCUUUGAUUCAAAAUACUUCAAACCUAAUAAUACAAUACUUCUCACAUCUCAAAAAUAUGAGACGGCCCGACAGUAUUCUAACCGACGCAAUAAUAUUUUGAGGGCAGCACUACUACAGCGACCCUCAUUCGUGCCGGUGCUGGGACUCCUAUCACGACCCUGAUACAAAUGAGGGUACAUUAUUGGUGCCAGUGCUAGAACAGCCACCAAUAACUUGCUAAACGUGCUGUUACACUCACUACAGGGACCAAGAAGGUAGAUAAAUUACACGACAUAGCCUUGGUUGCCGUGGAAGCGCCAAGAAGGGAGACAAAUUACAGGGACCACACCAUCAAGUAGAUAGUGACAAUAUGCAGAUGAAUACCCGCGCCUGUUAGCAUGUGAACUGACCACACCACGAAACGUGAUACACGGCAAGCGUACCAAGGCCUUGCUGUGCAGACUAUGCGUGGACAACACAUGGUACCUGACCGCUUUUGGCCUCAGACACAUCGAAAAACUGCAUCGUUCCACGUUGUACAUCCACUGCUAGUUUAUCUAUAUUACAUAAUAUAUUAUUAGCUAUUUGAAUAGAAUGAACCAAUUAAAAAAUUGCGUUGUAUUUUAGUACCGGCUGCAGGAUGGUGUUACCAACCAGUACUAAUUAGCCUGUAGGAGUGAUGGUUAUUAGACUUGGUACUGUUGUUACAUCAUUAACCUAAUUGUGCGCGGUAUGAAUUUGGGGAUGCAAAGCUAGCUCUCUAUGAAUGUGAGGGACGGAAAGCUAGUUCUCUAGUAGUAAUUAGCUAUAUAUAUAUGACAGUCAAGAAAUCGAACACUAUGCUGCUACGAGUCACCAUCAUUUCCUUCAUUGAGAAUCUGACAUAGGUGAAGCUGCUUCAAGAAUUUCCUUCGCGCAGUCGUGGAGCUUAUUGGAUUAUCACCAGGACGGGACACGGAAAUGGCCAGCAAUGAAGCUGAUUGCCGUCUGAGGAAGACUACAUACUUUACCUAUGAAAUGAAGCGAUUGCAUAGACUAAUGAAGCAUUGCAUAUUUGCAUGUGAGUGUGGCAGAUAAUUCUGCAGGACAUGAUUGCAAUCCACGCACCAUCGAGAAGACUGGGGCGAUGGGGUUGCCUCAUCAAUAAUCACGUGGAUGCAUGCAUGCAUGUUCCCGCAACCGGACAAGGGUCUGAUAUAUGGCUAUAGUAUUACUGAGCCCACAUCAAUAAUUUCCGCUGGUGUAUCGUGUGGGAAGAAUCAACAUACUACACCUCGAGUUCUUGGAACUAACUGACGUUCACAUGCAACCUCCACAAGGUGCUGUAUAUAUGCUUUUGACAUUCACCUGCCAGUUCGUGUAGAGGACACCCUAACGUAUGGUUAAUAUUAUCCAUUUCAUGAGUAAAAUACUGUGAUUCAAAAAUACUUCAAAUCCCUUGAGACAAUACUUCUCACUUGACUAACCACUAACCAACCCCGAAACCCUAACUCAACUCCGAACCCUAACACCUAACGGCAUAACCACUCCGUUUUGCCAGCCAGAUGGAGGAACUGGCUGGGAGGGAGAGAGGGCAGCGGUCCAGGGUUGAAAACGACGGGCGAGCGCAGUAACAUGUGGAGGAGGAAGUGCCACGUAUUCGUUCACCGCUAUUGGGCAGCGACACACAACACGCCCAAUAAGAUCUUCGCACGGUAGAAGGACGUCAUGUAUUCAAUAAUGUUAUUGGUCCUCCAUGUGCAGAAGGGCGCGUAUGGAAUAACAAGUAGGGACACUGCAACUAAUCUACUCUGCUCGUCCAGUCCCUAGCCUAUAAAUAGAUGCCAUGCUAGCUCUUGUUGUGCUCACAGUUAAUCCGAUUACACACGAGCUCCUCUCCCUAGCCAAGACACAAUCAUAGUAUGAUGAAGAACAUGGCACUAGCCGGCAAUGGUAUGAAGAAGUUAAUCCUCGCUGUUCUCUUACUGUGUCUAGUUAUAGGGCAGAUACAAGUGGAAGCUAAGAGCUGCUGCCCAUCCACCACUGCAAGAAAUGUCUACAAUACCUGCCGUUUGACGGGUGCAUCCCGUCCAAUGUGUGCAAAACUGUCAGGCUGCCAAAUUAUCAGCGGGAACAAAUGCAAGCCCCCUAACGACCACCUCACCCUUGACCCGGACACUGGUAAAUAAUAAAUUUAUCUCACUUGAUUUCUUUGUGUUUUGAGUCGUUAAUGUAUUUUCCAUCUGAUGAAACGCAUUGGUUUUGCAUUGAAGAGGAAGUUAAUGUGCUUAACUUCUGCAAGUUGGGGUGUGCGUCGUCUGUGUGCAACAACAUCAACGCUGGUAAGCACCUUUUGCUCAGACAGAGAAAACAAUAAUCAUUAAUUAGCGGCAGCUAGAAUCCUAUAAUCUAAUAUAUAUAUAUAAUUUUAUCAGCUCUGGGAAAUGAAGAGGCGAACGAUGCCGUUGAGAGUUGCGACCAAGCCUGCUCUAGCUUCUGCAGCGUGCAUGUUGGCAGCGCCACCGUGGUUGCUUAAGCAAAUGCAUCCAACUAGAUCGUCCUUGUGCUGAAUAAUUGGAUAUCGUAUCCACUUAAAGCUGCCUUGUGUAGUACGUCUUUGUGUCUCUCUUUAUAUUCCAAUAAGGUCGGUGAUCUUGAUGCCACACACUCAGAUGUGUGUUCAUCUCCAGAUACUACUCCAUGCUACCUGCCCUUUGUGUUUUGUUCAAUAACUGGGUAUCAUAUCCGAGCCAGUAUGCCGUCUGUUUUGUGUUUGUUUCCUUCUAGUUCCAAAGGGGUCAUCAUGAUGUUACCUUCUUUCAAUAUGGUGCUUUGCAUGACUACUGUUGUAUGGUACCAUCUUGUGGCCAAUAAGUACAUCUUAUCCUAUGACCCUUUGCUAUGACCCUUUGCAAAUAAGUAGAAGAUUGUUAUAAGCGUCAAUACUCAGUAUAAUUGAUCGCUGCUGUGAGUUCCCUUUCAGCUUAUCGUAGGCAUACAUUAUUGCUAGCACGGUAAAGCCAACCAACACGAAUGAUGAAGUAAACGUAGCGGUACUUCUGUAUACCAACACCCUUACUUAAAUGUACCGGUGUCAUUCCCUACUGGCACAUAUAUUCUUAUAUGCUAGCCAGCUUGUAAAAUUAACCAAUUAAAAUAAUUAUUUCAAGAUAGAAAUAACUUAUUGGCUUCUCGAAGCAUGUGUAAUGUGAAUUCAUGAGACUUCAAGCAACCAGGAAAAGACACUAAUAAACAUCCAGAUCCCAUCCAGCACACAUCCAUGCACAUAUAUAACCCACAUAUUGCUCCAGCACACAUCCAUGCAUAUACGAUAUCCAAAUGUUAAUAUUGUAGACAUCCAUGCCUGAACUAGUCUGCCACACAAGUCAUUGAUGCUACAAAUUCUACAAUCGCAGCAUGUGCAUACAACUUACAGAAUGAGAUAAUGUACCAAAACUAAAACGUUAGCAUCAACUGUGCUUCAACCAAAGUUGUCAUCCCAACUCUCCUCUUCAUCCAUGCCAUUCUUGUCAUGGCCGUCGCUGUCAGUCUCCAUGGCAUUGCCAAUGCUGUGUAUGUCUUGGUAGGAACCUACAUGUGAUGAACAGUAACCUGCAAAAAGAGCUCAAAGGAUCUUGUUCUCAUAUUGUAGCUGUGAAAUUCUUGCAAGUAGUGUUGCAAUCUGUUCACUUUGAACCAAAAGAGCUCAAAGGAUCUUGUCCUAAAAGUUCCUCUUAAAGCUUAUGGGUUUGCUGGUGGAACCGGAAGGGCUUGAUGCAGCAGAUGCCAUUCUGCAAUAGAGAAAAAUUUAGAGGGCAGUACUAGUUAAAAUUUGAUGCAGCAGAUACACACGAAACUAGUAUUUAUACAAUUCUAUAUAUGUAAUAAUUUGUCCCCUAAAUUUUUAGGAUCCUCUUGAUGGUGGUGAGUCUUCCAGUAAGGCAAUUGAAUGUCCGUCAUAAUAAAAUUCUCCUUAGGAUUUAUCAUCUCGUCAACCAGAAAUCCUAGGAGUGCUUCUUGGAUUGCCAAAACCCUAUCCUGAUGCAGGAGUUCGUCCUUAAGCCUUAACAUUUGUAAUUUGGAAAUAUGUGAAAGUUAAACCAACAAUUAAAAUAUAAGGAGCCUUAUCAUCAUUUCCAUGUGUUGCGAAUUAAAAUAAUGAAUAAUACAGUGUUAGGUGAAAAUUCAAGAAACAAAAUUUUGCAUAGAGAUAAACGUCCAACAUUAUUACAAGUUAAGGUAGUUUUAAAUAUCCUUGUAAUCUUCCUUUGAUUUCCUCAACGAUUCGAAGACAAUAACCUUACUUCUAUCAAUGAUAAUUAUAAGGAGAACCCAGUGAAAACUGUGUAUUCAUAUUAGAACUACCUAAGGUUAAUUAGGUUAGGAAAGGAAAUCGAAAAUAGAUGGUACCCACACUUACUUAAAGUUGUCGGGCAAUAGUAUGUAAUGCUUGUAAUUCCGUUGCUCCAAGAAUUUGUAUAUGUGGUCCAAUGUAGACUUUGGUUGAUUCCGUAUCUGCUGUUGGUUAAAUAAGUGUUUCUAGCCAUUACUAGCCGUUAGAACUCGGACUAAAGGGGGCUCUUUAGUACGGGUUGAUAUUACUAAUCGGGAUUAAAGAGCCCCCAUUAGAGUUGGUUUUUGGACGCGGAACUAACAACUCCUUUAGUCCUAAGUACAAAAAUGACUGAAAUAUUUGUUGCUGGAUGGAAGGUCCUUUCUCUACCAUGAAUAUUGCCAGAAAGAAUUGAAAGAGACUGCUUGCUAAAAAUAUGUCAUAGAUGUAGACCAAGCUACCAAGGAUGUAGACCAAACAUGAUACACACCAUGCGUACCUUGCUGUGCAGACUAUGCAUUGACAAGAUAGAAAUAAUUAAUUCUAAUAUGCGUACCCUUACUUACACUAGUAGAGAAUUGGGCUUUAAUCCCGGUUGGUAAGGUGCAAAUAUCUCGAAAAUGCAUCCGGGAUAAACCAACCGGGACAAAAGGGGGAUCUUUUAUCCCGGGUCACUCAACACGCGAUUUUUCACAAAAAAAAAAUUCCCGAGCUCCCAGGCAGGCCCCCCACACGCGAUUUUUCACGCGAAAUAUGCGCGUGCGCGGUUCGUGGGAUUCGAACCCACAACCUCCAGCCUCGCGCGUAGUUUCCUUGCCAUCCCACCUACACACCACAUCUGACUAUGUAGGGGAUACUAUCCUUUUGUAUUAAAAGGCUCUUGACCCUUUUAUCUCGGUUGGUGUUACCAACCGGGAUAAAAGGGGGGGUCUUUUAUCCCGGUUGGUGUUUCAAACCGGGAUAAAAGGCCUCUCAGAGUCUUUUUUUCCCAUUAGCCUUUGCAACCGGGAUAAAAGGUUCCGGUUGGUGAGCCCCCCACCAGUGACCGAGUUUUAGUCCCGGUUGGUGAACCUUUUGUCCCGGGCCAACUUUAAACCGGGACAAAAGGGGGCGUAUGGAAAGCCAAUUCUCUACUAGUGUUAAAUAUACCGGUGUUAUUGCCCACUGGCACAUAUAUUCUUAUAUGCUAGCCGGCUUGAAAAUUAACCGAUUAAAAUAAUUAAUUCAAGACAGAAAUAACUUAUCGGCUUCUCGAAGCAUGUGUAAUAUGAAUUCAAGGACUCGAUGGAAGUUGAAUCGCUUCAUCUAGAUUGCUUUCAGGAUUUUGGGUAACUAAAUUUAACAUUUGCACACACAAAUGUUAAUGUACAAAUGUUAAAUCUAGUUACCCAAGCAGAAUAUGAAUAUACUCUAUAGUAUACAUAUACUAUAUAAAUCUAGUUAAUAUUUAGUCUAAAUGUUAAAUCUAGUUACCUAAAAUCCUGAAAGCAAAAUGUAUAAAUAUAUAUCUUUUAAGGCAGUAUAAACUUCGAUUCCUUUUGCUGCUCUGUUAAAUCUCAUCUUUCGUUGUGGCCCAACACUCUAGUAUGUAUGUUGCACCAAGCUUCCUUGAGCCGCUCUGCCCUCUGAUUUUGCUGCGUAGGGGAAUCUUUAUCAGGUUGGGCUGCUUCCAGUCAUACGAUGUGUGGCUUCAUAUCUUCUACAAGUUAGACAGGAAACCCGCGUUCUGGAAGAUUCUGCAACGUGCACGUUGGCGCUGCCACCGUGGUUGCUUAAGCAAAUGCAUCCAACUGAAUCGUCCUUGUGCUAAAUAAUUGGAUAUCGUAUCCACUGCUUAAAGCUGCCAUGUUUAGUACAUCUUUGUUUUUCUCUCUUUAUAUUCCAAUAAGGUCGGUGAUCUUGAUGCCACACACUCAGAUGUGUGUUCAUCUUCGGAUACUACUCCAUGCUACCUGCCCUUUGUGUUUUGUUCAAUAACUGGGUAUCAUAUCCUAGUCAGUGUGCCAUCUGUUUUGUGUUUGUUUCCUUCUAGUUCCAAAGGGGUUAUCAUGAUGUUACCUUCUUUUGAGGUGUCUAUGACUUUGUUAAUAUCAAUAUUAACCAAUUCAAUCUAUCUUAACUAUUUGUAAGGGGUAUGAUGUAUGCAUGAUUAUAACAAUGAUUGCGCAUACAAUCACUGCCAAAGAAACGGUCAAUACCAUAAAGACAUAUUACAGACAAUUCUCAUAAUCUAUAAUGAAUAUACAUAUUCACUACUGCAGAGACUGUCAUCUGUAUCAGCUCAUACGUGCCAGGGCAAAGGUCACCCUUGCAUUAAAAGUACAUUUGCACGGUAAAGAUAACCAACACGAAUAAUGAUGUAAACAUGCCGGUGCUUUUGUACACCAACACGCUUACUUAAAUGUACUGGUGUCAUUCCUCACCGGUAGCCGGCUUGAAAAUUAACCAAUUAGAACAAUUAUUUAUUGUAUCGGUGUGAAUUUUGACCUAUUGGAAUAUGAAUUUGACCAUUACUGCAUUCGUCAAGACUCAAGAGAGAAAUAACUGAUCGGCUUCUUAGAGCGUGUGCAAUGUGAAAUCAAGGACUGGAUGGAAGUUGAAGCGCUAGCUUCAUCUUCCGCUGCAUGUUAAUUGCUUGGAUAAGAAGUUGUAGCCGCGUAUAUAAAUAGUCCCGCUGAUGCUGUGCUCCGAAGUCUAUACUAUAUAUGCGAAAACUAGAUUGCUUUCAGGAUUUUGGGUAACUAAAUUUAACAUUUGUACAUAAAAAUGUUAGUUUACGAAUGUUAAAUCUAGUUACCCAAGCAGAACAAGAAGAUAGUAUAUACUAUAUACUAUGUAAAUCAAGUUAACAUUUAGUCUAAAUGUUAUAUCUACUUACCCAAAAUCUUGAAAGCAAAGAAAGAAUAAGUAUAUAUCUUUUGUUGGAAAAUUGGUCCACGGAGAGUGGCCUCGUUCGUUUCACCGGGAAGGAAUUCCAGUCAGGAUUACUUCCAAGUCCGGUUUAAGUGAUUCCACCCAUGUCACUCAAUUCGGCUAGGAUUCAUUCCAGGGGUGAGGAGGUAUGGUUUCAAUCCGGGCCAUCUAAUGUAGAAGGAUUCCAAUCCAGGCCGGUUUUCGUUCUAGGCUAGACUAAAACGAACAACACUUUCAAUGCAAGUCUGGUUUCAAACCGGGCCACUUCAAACCACCCGGAAUGGACCUCAUUCCGGGCCAAUCCGGUGAUAACAAACGAGGCCUUAAUGGAAUCCCAAAGCAAGAGUUCAGUGGCAUUCUAUAGUCCCAUGCUGCUAGUUUGAGUUGGUCGAAGCCAACUUAAAUAGGAGAGCUCUCUCACUUCUCUAAAAAUGUAACUGAAGGAGAGAAGGGGGCUUGGGUUACACAACGCACGCACGCACGCAUAUUUGCAUUCUUUUCGCGUAACCGACCGCGUGACUUGAAACUUGCGACGUAGCGUGCUGCUAAGUCAAGUUGAUAUAACCUUUUUGCCGUUUGCGUGUAAUCUUUUGACAACGGUCAUUGGAGGUGAUAAGCACGCAGUCAAUACCUUAAUCCUGAGUUAAUAGGGCGGUUACUACUGCCAAUUAGUGCAGCAAUUUUGUAGGGGAAACGGUUAGCAGAGGGCUACCGUCUUCUCUAUAAGAAGUUUUGGAGACGUCCAGGAACACACAUGUACAUGUGAGAGACCCACGGAUUCCUUCCCUUCUCCCUUUUCCAUCUGGUGAAGUGUGCUAUGGUACUGAGCUGCUGGAUCUCGCUGGCUCUUCUCCUUGGCGUGCACCGAGGAGGAGGAUGAGCGGUAUCUCUGAGCUAUUGCCGUCAGGAAGCCUGCACGAGGGACAACAAUAAAGUUUUUAGGUAGCGCCUGCCUAAUCUUCGAUCUGCACUGCAACGCGUAACCCUGCAGCAACUCUACACGAGGACGGAGCACUAAUCUGUAAGUCCUAGAUUGGUUUCUUACAGAGUUGUAGGUUACACAAGAUCUAGAAUGGUUACAUACCAAUUAUUAUGGGUUACAUGAUGUUUUGUACGGUUUCGUCUAUUUUGCAUAUGUUAUUUUUACAUACCGUUUACAUGCAUAUGUUAAUGGUUACACCUAGCUAUUUGAAUCUAGAAUUGGGUUACAUAGCAGUAGCAAUGAGUUACGUAAUAUGCCUCACGUUUAUAUCUGGUAGAAUUUAACACGUAUCUCCAACAUAUUUUGAGGCAGUAUAAAUUUCAAUUCCUUUUGCUGCUCUGUUAAAUCCCGUCUUUCGUUGUGGCCCAACACUCUAGUAUGCAUGUAGCACCAAGCUUGUUUGAGCCGCUUUGUGCUUUGAUUUUGCUGCGUAGGGGAAUCUGUAUCAGGUUGGAUUGUUUCUUUGUCUUGCGAUGUAUAGCUUCAUAUCUUCUAGAGGUUAGACAGCAAAACCCGCAUUCUCUUAAGGCAACAACCCGAAGAAUCUGCAGCGCCUCUGAUAUAUCACUGCUGCAGAAACGAUCUUUAGUACUGAUCUCCAACCCUCUUUAGUAUCGGUUGGGCAACCAGUACCACUAUGUCGGUACUAAAGGGAGUUCUCUAGAAUCGGAUCAAAUAACCGGUACUAAAAGGGCUCCUUUACUACCGGUUGGUAACAACAAUAGGUAGUGACUUUUUUGCACCCAAAAAAUUAAAGAAUAACAGCCGGGAGGCUCGCACACACACGCAUCAUGAGUAAUAUGCGCGUGCAUGGUUUGUGGGAUUUCAACCCACGACCAAGCUAUAAGAACGUAGUUACAACAAAUCAAACACUUAGACAUUUUAGAGCAUCCCAAAUAACUACAAAUUCUAUAGUUUACCAUAUACCAUAAAAUAUUAGUUAAAAUAAGAGCAUACACAUGUCGGAAGAGUCCCAAUGCACCGGUUGAGGAUCAGACCAGGCACUUUGAAUGCACAUGCCAUAAGAUAAUUCUGCAGGACAAUGAUUGCAAUAAUGGACCAUCGAGAAGAUAGGGGCGAUGGGGUUGCCUCAUCAAUUAUCACUUGGCGCAACAAGACCAGCAAAGUCUUUAUCGACGGGGGUGGAUCAAGGGGUGGGGCAGGCAGAGCUCCAGUCCUCCUACCGCCGCUCGAACAAUGGAGCCCCCUUAGCCCCUCCAUAAAUUUUUAGGUAGAAGAAAAAAGAAGAGAAGGGAAGCAAGGGGAAGAAGAGGGAGCCCCUGCUAAGUAGGUCGCCAUCGUGCUUCCCAACGCAUGAUCGCCGCACCGCAUCCAUUCCUCUACAAGCCUUCAGCGUCUCUCCCGCCGCUACCUCUGAACCAUGUGCAGCUAUAGACCCAACUAGUGUGUUGUCGCCCAUCUCAGUCCCAACAGAGCGGCGGCGGCUGCCAACACAAAUCUCCCUCCGCCUCUUCUUCACGGUCGAUGGCCGCCACAAGCAUAAACCUCGCCUUCGCAUCCAAGCAAAAGGGUCGUUGGGGUGCCUUCUUGCAUCACUUCUCAGCCUCCUUCACUUGCGGCCAGCGAAGAACUGCGCCACCACCUCGGGUGCGUGCCACCACUCCAGGGCCGCUACCCCAUGCCUGCGGCCGCCACCGGCCACCACGCGUGUGCAACCGCGUUGCACCGCUUCCCUGCUUUGUGCCACCACUACUGCUGUACCACCAGCUCCACCACCUUGGGAUGGUCGCCAGGGUGACUGAUUGGUGAUUAUUACUAAAAAUAAGUUCCUUAUUAUCUGCAACUACUAUUAACUCAGAGAUACAUGCGUCUUUUGCUUCUCCUGCUAAUAGGUCCUAAAAUAUCUAGGAUGCUUUAUAUUUCUGGACAGAGGAAGUAUUUGAAUAAAAUGAACCAAUUUAAAAAAAAUGUGUUGUACACUACUACAGAAAGACCUAUCAGUGUCAAACCCAAAAAUGUCGUCACCGCCAGUUUUAGGCAUCGUUGGUGAAAGGUUGGCGGUGAUGGGCAUCCCCUUCAACAACGGCACUGGAGCCGACGGUGAUUGACAUUAGAAAACAAAAAAGGGAACCCCACCUAGCCACCCCUGCAACCCAGCCGGCCGUGCCUCCCCUCAUGCCCACCACCUCGCCUCCCCCGUGACCCCCCGCCGGCGCCCUUGUGCCUAGCCCCCUCGCCUGCCCGGCCGGCCACCCUCGUCAUGAGAGAGAGAGGUGCAUGUUGUAUAAUUGCGUGAAUUUUUGAAUGUUUAAUUUUAUGUAAGUUCCAUGUAAUAAAUUGUACAAGUUUUAUUGUAUAUAUGAAUUCCAUAUAUAUGUAUUUAUAAUUUAAUGUAUGGUUUCAUGUGUAUAUUUCAAUCAUGUGUAUAAUUAGUAGAUUGCCGAUUUUCUUUUUCUACUAGACAAGGGUUGAUGUAUAAUUACGUGUAUAUGUUUAUUGUAUGGGCAAUUAGGACAAGUUUUGUAUAAAUUUCUUUUAUUUCAUGGUUGUUGUAUGGUUUCAUGUAUAUACAUUUAUUGUACUACUUGAGACAAUUUUAAUUUAAUAUUUCUAUGAUUACAUGUGUGUAUAACUAAUUGUAUUAUUAGUUAAGAUGGGAGCCAAAGAGGAUGAAAGGUAUAUAAUAGAGUAGAUUAUUGCUGGCGGUAGUGGCUCAAACGUUGCAAGAACCUACACCGAGGGUGAGGGUAGCUAGGUGGACAUGUACCUCAACAUGUCCAGUGAUGGCAAUGACGAUGAGGAGCACGAGCAUGACGUCUAUGAUAAUGCGGAACAAGACAUUGCAGAAUUGGAAGGUUCUAAUGAGGUGUGCUUCAUGUUGACGAUCUAGUUGGCUUUUUUUCUUUGGUCACACCUUAGUUACCAUAGAACUUCGUCUCGGGAGAAGAUUGGUGGUGCUAUGGUGAUUGGAAUUUUAUUGCCUCCAAAUUUGAUUUCCAUCGAAUCAUAUCCCUUGUAUUUAUCUUCUUUUUAUUUGUGAGAGCAUCUUCUUUAUGCUUGCAAAACAAUUCAAGUGCACAUACUACCCCUAGGGUGAUGAUUGGGAGUAGAAACAAUUGCCAACAAAACAACACCACAUCCUAAGAUUCUUAACUUGUGGCAUAAUUAAUCUAGUGAAAAGAAAGAUAAAAACCUAAUGGGUGUACGUGAGUGCAAUGUGUAUAUGCAUAUGAGUGGAAGGCAUAUAAGCAAAGACAAUAUUUACACAUAGUUCUAAACACCAUGUUUACAGCUAGGUUGCUGAAUUUCUCCAUAGCUAUAGAGAUUAAUUAACCAAGGUCAAAACACGAUGUCUAUCCCAAGAUCAGUAAUUCUUUAUAGCACAAGAAAAAUAAAGCGCAUUGCAAAGUUUAUAAACCAACCAAUACAGCAUGAAAACAAGAUGAAUAGCUAGCAAGGUUUAUUAAAUUGAAUGAUGACGGUCUGCAAGCAAGUUUGAACACCAUCUUUACACAAGAUUGCAAAUGGAAAAUGCCCAUAUGAAGCACUAACAUGGAUAUGAAAUCAUUCAUCAUAAAGCGUAAAGAACAACCAAGCCAACCAUAUGCAAAGCAUGAAUGGAAUGCAAUGAAGGUGCAAGAGAACAUUUUUGGAUGAACACAUUAUGAUGAUGGCAAAAUGCAAUGCGUGCAGAAAUAAUAAAUAUGAACAUGAAUAUGAUGAUCAGGGGCGGACCCACUAUUGUGGCCUGGGUAUUCCUGGGCAUACCCAAUAUUUUUGGGAAAAUGUUUAGUAGUUUUUAAUGGCAUAUACAUGUAUAAUAUAGUUUAGGUGUUAAAAUUGAUAUUCACAGCUAUUUUGGGCUCCAAUUCGCGUCCAAACCAACCUAGCCCACAGACCACACCCGGCCGGCCAGCCCAUCGGCCCAUCUAGUCACUGAUCCUUCCACCACCACACUCAGCCCAUCAGUCGGUCAGGUCCCGAGCUCCUGCCUGACCUAGUCUGCUACCGCCGCCGGGCGCCAAGCACAGCCGUACGCAUUGCACCGCCCCCGUCCACCCACGUCCGUUGGGGGGCCAAGCCGCGCCCCCCAGCCCCCGCGGUGAGAUCUCGACGCCCGCUGCCCCCAGACCCCAUUAGGCCUCCAUCGGCAAGUCCACCCACAGUCCCACGGGACGGGGCAGCCUUUUGGCUUUGGGCGCUCGGGGCGCGCCAAUGCCAGCGCAGCCCCAGCAGGCGACUGCCCCCCCCCCCCGCAUCAGGCCUCAGCCCCUCCCCAGCUCCCCCUCCCCCCUCCACCAGGACUGCUUGUUGGCCCCCACCGCGAGGUAAUCGAAAUGGACUGCUCAAUCACUCAAUCUGUUGACAUGAUGCACACGGNNNNNNNNNNNNNNNNNNNNNNNNNNNNNNNNNNNNNNNNNNNNNNNNNNNNNNNNNNNNNNNNNNNNNNNNNNNNNNNNNNNNNNNNNNNNNNNNNNNNNNNNNNNNNNNNNNNNNNNNNNNNNNNNNNNNNNNNNNNNNNNNNNNNNNNNNNNNNNNNNNNNNNNNNNNNNNNNNNNNNNNNNNNNNNNNNNNNNNNNNNNAUUUUUUUGCAAUGAGCAUACCCUACUCUGAAAUCCUGGGUCUGCCACUGAUGAUGAUGGUCUAAACAUAAAACAAGCCAAGAUUAAUUAGCCACAACUGAAAUUAAGCAAAGGUUAAUGUCAUUGACCCUAGCUCUAUCCUAGCUUUUACAAAAGUCCCAGCACAUAUAGUGGUUGGGCCCACUCUCUCUGCUUCCCUCUCUGCUGCAUGCAUGCACACGAGCAACGGGAGGCCCCACAAAGCCCAGAAGGGUUCGGCUGAACCCGGCCGAUCCAAUCUGAGCACCACUCCCUCCCAGCCUUCGCGCAGAUGCUCCUCCAACAUUCCUUGACCCCUCCCUCAGCGUCCCAUUGGGUUUAACAUUGCAGGAGAGGAGUCCCUUUUUUAAAAUCUCAACCACCUCCUCUCCUCAUUCACUCCACUCUCAUCUCCAUCAAACUCACCAAGAUCCACAUCGGAAAUCCCUGCUUACCACCAUGGCUGGCAAAGCCCUCGUCCCUUUCACCAACUUGGGCUUAACCAUUGAUCUCGAUGGGGAAAUCACUCCGGAAAUAGGGCAGUGACCCAGAGCAAAGGUGAUGCCAGAGUGUAGAUAGCAGUUAGCAUGCCAAAUUGUGAACCGCAAGCGCUCGGAUUAGUUGUUUUUUUUCCCUUAGAGAUUCCCCCAAGGUUUAUCAAUCCAUGGAACAAGGGAUUUGCACAUUUCACUAAGCAUUAAUCAAUGUAAUUGAAAGCUUUUUGAAUAAGAUAUGAUUAUGCUAACAAAGGAACUAAGCAAUCUAGAUUAAGAUGGAUAGAGAGUAAAGGUUGUGAACAAGAUAGAUUAAACGCUUAUAGAUGCAAUCACCAUGCAUGAAUGAAUUAGAUCUAGGUGUUAUUGUGAGUGGUUGUGAACCAUACCCCAACACUUUCCCACCCGCAACAUUGUCACUACAUGUGGGUACUCAACUAUCGAAACAUAAGAACACAUCAAGAUGAUCAUUCUAGGUAAGCAAAUAAGCAACCCAAAGUAGCGCUGGCCAGCCUUUUCAUGAAAGAGCAUCAUCAAGAUAAGAUUGAUAACAAAAUAGAUCUCAACCAAAGGUUCAGCGAUUACAAAUCAAGAUCUCCGUAUAACCCCGAUGACAAAUAGAGGUAUUACCCCCAUGAUCUUACACAUGUUGAUGAAUUUUAGGGUAAAGGACGCCCUGUAGAUCAACUGGACCAAAGAUGAUGAUGAACAGGGGCAGGGAAGGCCCAGGCUGAUCAGCCUGGGCACUUUUGAGCCGAUCAGCUUAGGGAGUUUCCUCCUCCCCUGGUGCUCCUCUUCGCGUGGCCUCCUCUGGAUCCAAUCUUCUCUUCAUUUCUCCUACUUGUGGUGGCAAUGGAUGGUGUUUGCAUGGUGAUUUCCUCUUCUCCCCAACUCUCCCUCCUUGAAGUCCAUGAGGGGGUAUUAAUAGUCUCCAAUAUGCGGCAGCUCUGGGUCAAUGUCGGUGAAAAAACCCUAGAGAUCAUCGUACACUUCACGCUGAGGAAACAAGAGGUCGACCGAGCCCUGGGAUAGACCAAGAGGAUCAGCCUAGAGGGUCCCAGGCCAAUCGGUCUAGGCCCUUCCUAGCCCUUCUAGUCCUCUCCUUCCUCGUGCUGGCUUUUCUCGAUGACCCUUGUCCAAAUAUCCAUUAAGCUCUAUAUACAUACCCCCUUGAUUAUGUCGUAUUUCCUGUCAAAAUACAAUGCUCCAAAAUACAACACAUAUGCAAUAAUAGGGUUAUUUCAUGUGCCAAUUGGUGCGUUAGUAUACGAAUAAGCAUGAAAAUACUGGUUAAAUGACACUAAAAGUGUGUCAAUAACGAGCACCAACAAUCCCCCCACGCUUAGAUCUUGCUCGUCCUCGAGCAAGUCUAGCGACUAAAAGAUCUUGAAUUAAACAUGAGCAAGCGAGUCAAGUACCUAGCCUUGAAACAAAAGAUUAGAGGAGCAGCAAAGAUAAUCAAAGUCUGGGUGUUCAAAGAUUUAUCUAAGCAAAGAUUCCCCUACAACUAUUAUUCAGAACCAAGUAACUUCAAGAAUCAACUACACUUAUUUUCUGGCUUUUUUCAGAGGGUUUUUCUUUCAUCACAAAACAAUCUCCCUGCAACAAAAUUGAAAAAAGAAUUAUUUUCCAGGUGCUUACAUGUCGUUUAAAUGAAUGUUCGCUAUCCUACUUAUUUGCAAGCUCUCAUCUCUCAAAAUUCAUUCAAUUAUAUGGUGGAGCUUGGGUAAGGUUAGCUAGAAUCAACACGUAUAUUAUUGAAUUAAGAAAACCCUCUAACGGUAGCCUACCUUUCGAGCCAUUGAUCAUAAGAAUAUCCACAUAAUGUGAAGUUUUCAAGGAUGAGAAUAGAAUGGUGGACAUGUGCAAAGGCAAAGAAAUAUAGUGACUCUGAGGCACAAGCAAUGUCCUCGUCGUUGGAUUGCAUAUGGUUGGAAUGAAAAUCUGUUCCUUAAACAAGUCCAUCUUUUCUUUGCACCACUCUUGAUCUUCAUGACAGUAAAAACUCCUCCUUUAUUUCUUUCUCUCUUUUCCUAUUAUUUCUUUUUAUUUGUCUCAAUACUUUUCUUUCUUUAUUUCUUUAUUUUAAUCUCUUCUCCGAACCUCUUCUGAACACCACACAAUAAAAAUCAGUUUUAGAUCCUUCUAGAGACCUUCCAGGAAUUUGCUACAUGAAAACCGAGGCAAGGAGACCCCAGGCCGAUUGGCCUGGCCACUCCUUUGCUCUCCUCUAGCUCUUCUUUCUUGUGAAGCUUCCUUAUCUUGUAUCUUUCCAAAAAUUUCAUAAAGCUCAACUAGAAACGGAACACAUCUUCAUAUAAUGAGUUGUGUUCAAGGAAUUGGUAAUAAAAUUGAGAAAUUUGUGGUUCGGGUUUACGAAUUCAGUACAAAAAUAUGAUUAUUCCAAUGAAGAACUCUCAUUACUGAAUAUUGACGAGGCAAGCAUUCAAAGAUGGUAAAAAGGAUAUGAUCAAUUCUCAGAAUUAAAGCAAACCAAGAGAGAGCGAUCCUAAUUCAAUUCAAAGUGUCAAAUGUUGCUUAUGGUGGUAUGAAUAAAUAUUUUUAGGCAUUGGGUAGGAUAAAUAAAAACUCUCAACCUGGUUAAAAGAUAUUGAUCAAUCUUGUUUUUGCAGAGGUUUUAAAUAAAAAAUAAAAUUUUAAAUCACCUCCAAUUCAAAGCCUUACUCAUAAAUCAUAAUCAAAACUGAAGCACUUGAUCAUCAUAAAGCAUGGGUAUUGCAUAAACAAAUCGAUUACUAAAACUCCACAACUACGAUUUAGAAUUCAAGACAAUGCUCAUAAUCUAAAGUUGCAAAGACAAAAUAAAAGACAAGCAAGCCAAGGUAGACACUAAAAACACUUGCACGAUCCUUGAAUUUUAUUCAUGCUUCUUCUCACAAAGACGCUAAAGUAGCCAUGUAGGCCUAAGUCUUCCCAAAAGCUUAAGAAGACUACUACUUUAUCUACUUUUGGUUCUAAUAAAAACACUAAUCUAGACUCUCACAUGAUUCGACUCGACCAAACUAGAUCCAAAAACUCAUACGAGCGACAAUCUCCCCCCCCCCCUCUCAAAUCUACGACCUCCUCGUGGUAACCAUAUGGAGUACAAGGAAAAGACGCUUGUAAACGCACUAAUGACGCUACCCGGACUACUUGCACACGGAAUGGUUGCUGUUUCCUUUGCUUUGUUCUUCGUCAUGUUGCUGCACAUCCCGAAGAGCUUCCUCACGUUCCUCUGCAAGAACUUGAACUUGAACUUGUCCUCCUGACGGCAAUCAUUAUCUUCUGCCUUUUGAUCCAGAGCUUGUAAGGCUUGCAUGAUGUCAUUGAACGCAUCGAAGAGGUAGUGGAUGUUCUUCCUGCAAGCUGUGGAACAUGUACGAUCAUGCUCCUACGAUUCUGGCCCGUCGUCUUCUAGAUCCUCCUCUUUGCCCUUGUCUUGACGGUGGCCAUCUUGCUCCUUGCUCGUCUUCUUGCCUUCAGCCCGAUCCCAGUACGUGUUGUCAUCUUCUUCAUCAUCACGGCCUGCAGCACCCUAUGAUCCAUUGUCUAUCUUGUAUGAAAGAAUCAGAAGCUUGUUCUCCUCAGGGUGUCUUGCGCGGUGCAGCGUUUGCAAGUGCAAGGCUUGCUAGUUCUUUUUACACAUUGUAAUGUUCAUUGCAUGCUCUAAUUGUUCUACAUUUGUAAUUUCUUGGUGAAGUUUGGUUACUGAUCCACUGUUUGAUUAACUCUUGGGCCCAAACACUGUACUACUUCUGAUUAGAUAUCUGUAUCUUAACUUUGACCAAAAAAAAUAUCCGGCAGUUUUUGCCAUUAAAGUUUCAUAAAUCAUCUUGCAAAAAUCGUACUAUACAACAAGGGACGGUUUAUUAUAAAAUAUACGUUCCCCUUAUCACAUGCCACUUCCACUCAAAAGGCAACGAAUCAGUUUUCAAUCCUGAGUGAGCAAUUUGCUUUUAUUACCGAUGCCUCCUAUUCCCUUGUGCACCAAGUUCAUUUUGGAUAGGACUGCAAAAAGCGACUAACCAGCUCGGAUUCUCCACCUGCAAAACCGCAUCUGCAGCAACCAACCCCACGCGGUGGAAAAAAAAACAAAACCCAGAAACCGGACGGGGGUGGAUGUGGGGCUCGGAGCCCAAGCAAAAAAAGGAUCGGGAGCGCCGGAGCAGGCCAUCACCGGAUGUUAGAGAUAGAAAAUGGUUGAAGUUGGAGUGGAAAUCAAACAAGCCUUGGAGCAAAGGAAAAAAAAGAUCAAACCACUCAAGCAUUCAUUUGAUUUAGAAAAGAGAACAUUUGUUAAGGUGGGGAGUUGAAAUCAUCUUUUAAUUAGUUCCACGUAUCUGGUAUCAUUACAGUUGGUUGACUUGUGUAAGUAUAUAAGUAGCUCUGCCGAAGCCUUUGCUCCUAUAAUUUAGUAACUAGUACAAAUGGAUCAUUAGGAAAAUCAAGUUGCAAUCAUUUCUCAGCCAACCAAACCUAUCUAAAUCAAAUUAUUGUCCAUGCCCGGCAUGCACAGGUGCCUGCCAUGCAUGCAUUGUUGCUCCAUUGUAAUAACCAUUAUUGUCCAUUGAUGUUCCAGCGCAUGUGUGCACUGUGCAGACACCAAGCAUCGAGAUUAUGUACUAGUAAGGUACCAAGAACACGUGAAGCACACGGGGGAGGCUGCUCCACUCGGCAUGCACAGGUGGGGCACGGCACCACUACUCGUCUCCUUCAGGCAGAGGACAAGUGAUGUACGCUGAUCAACCACUAGUAGAAAAACGACUUUCCAUCCACCCCCUUUUGUCCCGGUUUAAAGUUGGCCCGGGAUAAAAGGUUCACCAACCGGGACUAAAACUCGGUCACUGGUGGGGGGCUCACCAACCGGGACCUUUUAUCCCGGUUGCAAAGGCUAGUGGGAAAAAAAGACUCUGAGAGGCCUUUUAUCCCGGUUUGAAACACCAACCGGGAUAAAAGGUGGUCUUUUAUCCCGGUUGGUGUUUCCAACCGGGAUAAAAGGGUCCCCACGAGUUAAUACAAAAGGAUAGUAUCCCCUAUAUAGUCAGAUGUGGUGUGUAGGUGGGAUGGCAAGGAAUCUCCGCCCUCUCCACCUUCGGUACUCCAUGGGAAACCAUUCCUUUGGAACCAAGGAAGCUUGAACAGUAUAACGAAUAAAGUUUCAUAUAUCCAUUUGAUUUCACAUGAAAUAAAAUAUCCUGUCAGAACCAAUGGUUUCACUGAAGCUCCAGGCAGCGAGCGAAGGGGUGAGAGAGGAUAACGCUUACUGUGUGUUACCAUCACGUGCACCAUGGAUGACCAACGCGCAGCCGAGAUGAAACGGCGGACCUAAACAGGUCCUCGCUAUUUUUGCAGGUUCUCGACCAGGCCAGUUCUUUGGGCCAACCUAUAAUUCACGAGUUAAACAUACGGUGGCUGUAGAAAUGUUCUAUUCUUUUCAACAAUACCAGCUGGUUCCUCCGUUUUUAUUCCACCAAUACAAGCACCACCUUGUAACAUUUCCUAUGUUUUUUUUCCUUUCGUCUGUUUUCUCACUACAUGCGUUGCUCUUUCAUGCAUUUUUUUCCAUUCCUGUAUUCCAAAUAGGUCUACAUGAACACAAAAUGAACUAGGGGACAGAAAAAGCCAGUGAAGUUAGUUUUGAGCUUCACCAGCUACUUGCUACAUAAAGUGUGCUAUAGUCGCAGAAAAGCUAAGCUGGAUCAGACGUGGCCGAAACCAUGCCAAAGAGCUAGGUCCCUAGCUGAUGGCAACACAUCAGAUGACUAGCCUGCUUUUUUGUAAUAAUGAUAUUGAGCAAUACACUGCAUGGCUAACCUGCUUUACAAUAAUUGUCAUUUUAUAAUAUUGGUCAUCACGAGAGAUGCACAUUGCAUACACCGGUCCAUCCCUAUAAAUAGCCAAGCCUUUCAGCCAUCUUGGGCACCUCCUCUCAGGGCCUCGUCUCACCAUUAGACAUCUCGUUCCCAGUUAUAAUUUGCGAGGUUAGAUCAGGCUGCGCCAUGGCGUCCGCAGCUGCUGUCAAGAUCGCCGCCAUCUUCAUGCUGGUGCUGACCAUGGGCCACCUGAUGGCCGAAGCAUCACCGCAGCCUCGGCGUCUGCUUGCAGAAACGGAGCAUGCUGCGGUGUCCGGGAAUCCUGGCCUCCCAGGUGAUGCUAGCGUCAUGCAGGUCCUCGAACCCGCCCUAGUUUCUCCUCUUGCCUGCAAGCCAGAGUGCACAGUCCCUUGGCCUCCUUUUGUAUGUAUCUGCUAGAUCCUCUUCCUGGAUCAACGGAACUUCAGGGAAAUGGCUGUGACGUCGGCCAAAGAAUAAAUUGGCUGAACAUAAUAUACCCCGGGUAGUGUAGCUUGGGCUUUUGUUGAGCGUCUGGUACUAGUUGUAUUUUGUUUGCUCAUGUGGCUUUGUUUCUGGUUGCAUAUUGUCUUUCCUAUCGCUCUCUGUUGCAGCUAUGGUUUCUGCCAGGUGUGUGUCAAUGCGGUUUGUAAGCGGUGCUUGUUCCUACCUUCUGUUUUCAAUAAAAGAAGUCGGAGUCUCCCUCCGACUCUUGUUAUCAGUCAAGAAAAAUGAGUUGUAUCAUAUAUAUCUGCGUCUUUUUUCUAUGUAUCUCUGGGCUGCUUCAGCUGGAAGUUUAUCGUAAGUACGUGUAUCAGGAUGAUCGUUUGAAUUAAAACGAAAUGAUAAUGUGUGGCUGCUAGAAAUGGAAUGAGCAUCUUACUAUAUUACUAAUUGGAAGCCUCCACGUGAAGCCACCUAGAAAUUCUAGGUGGAUGUUUUAAAAAAAAGAAAACCAAUAGAAGCCUCCACCACCUAGGAAUCCUAGAUGGACGCUCUAAAAAGAGAGAAAUCCUAGAAAUUCUAAAAAAAGAAAAAAAAUAAUAACAAUAAGAUUUUUUUUGCAGUCAGUUACAUAUAUUUUUUUGAGACACCGUGCUGCUAGCUCUUGCCAUUGCGACCAAUAAAGCAAGCAGAUAGUAAGAUGACAUGCGUGUGGAUUGAUUAAAACAGAUUCUGUUAGUUGAUUCUAAAUCAUAUGUAUCCUAAAAGGAACUAGAUAUGUGCGUGCAUGGUCCCUAGCGAUGACAUGUAGACAUGUAUUGCAAUUUCUUUUUUAAAAAAUAUGUCUAUCUCUAAACCAACAAACAGAAAAAAUAUCAAUCUAAAUCUAAAUCUCUUCCGUUCUCACACGCCUAUUAAAGAGAACACAACCAAUCCCAUCCAUGUUCCAUAGAAUCCAUCUAAAAGCUUGCUCACUGCGGACGGCAAAUCAACGAAAGAUCAUCCUCUCCAAAUAGCUAGACGGCAUCACCAUCUUUAUCUCACCAACCUACAGAGCUACAACGAUGUUGUAGAGAUCAACUAGGUAACCUACCAAUCACCCUCCCCUUUUCUAUAUGCUCUAAAGAACACGUGGAGUAAUUAUAGGCCUAUAGGAGCCGACUAACCUAGAUUAAUAUGAAAAAUAUUCCAAUAUUAAAAGCAAGCAGAUAGUAAUACUUGCCUUUGAGCAUUUUUCAAGAACUGUUAUUCCUAUUGAAUGUUCAAGUGCUACGGCCAGGCAUCGAAUGUCUGCACGGAACCUUCCUAUUGAAUGGUUACUCUAGAGAUCAACGCACCGCGAGACAUUGUUUUUGGAAUUUGUUUGAUUCCCCUUCUACAAUUAGAUUAAUUUUUCAUGGUAUAUAUUACUACUAUUAAAUUAUUUGUUUAUUAUCUGGCCUGCUGCAUGUGUGGUAUAGAUGACUUGCUUCUCACCAUUGUUCUCAAACUGUUAUUCCUAUCCAAUCUUUCUAUCGAAAUAUAUUUUAAUUACUUGAUUGUUGUUUGUGUACCAUAACUUCUGUAUAGAAAAAUUCCAUGUUUGUAGAUAAUGUCUUUUGUAUAGAAAAAUAGCCCAAUUAGGUCCAUCACCAUCUUUUGCUUAUGUAGUUGAACAAGUUGCAAUGCUGAACAAAACUUUAAGUGAAAUUAGACUAGGAAAAGGAAUUGUGGAACAUUAAGGCAAGGGUAACCAGAUUGUGGAAUGCAACCUUACUCAGUAGUGGCGAACAAUUAAGUCUUGACAUGAUCCUUAUUGAUCAAGAGGUAUGAUAGAUGUUCACUUUGAUUGCAUUUUUGGUAUAAUUUUUGGCUUACAAAUUAUUAAUGAUGAUGCAAAAUUAGGGAACCAUGAUCCACGGUGUUAUCAAUAAGCCCUAUAUGGAAAAGUUCAAACCAUUGAUUGAAGAAGGCAAUGUGUACAUAAUUGCAAAUGUCAGAAUCACACCAGAACCACAGAAGUAUCGGCCAGUGGGAAAUGACAGGAUAGUCAACUUCUUACCCACAACUGCACUAAAAAAGGUCAAAGAUACUGAAGACAUUCCAAAGUAUAGUUUUAACUUCAUGAGCACGGAUAUGCUUUCAGCAAGAAUAAAUGUGGACAUGUACCUAUCAGGUAAAACAUUACUGGUUUUUCAAUUUUUACACUUCCACUCAUUCAAUGACCAUCUAAUAAUAAUUCAGAUUUAUGUUUCAUAGAUGUUAUAGGUAUCUCAGCUCACAUUGGACCGAUAGAAGAAACAAGGACAAACUUCGGAUUUACCAAAAUCCGUGAUAUUGUGCUCCUGAUCGAGUAAUUCUCAUUUCUUUUGUAGAGAACAACUAUGAAACUUUCAACAUUUACAUGUAUGGUAUAGAACUUCUGUUGAACUAAAAGAUAUCUUCUACAGUGCCCCUACAAAUAAUUAAUUUCGCAGUUAGGUAUUUAAAAUAUUAAUUAUUCACUUUUAAUUUUGUGGCCAUGAAGUUAAAGUUAGAUUUUGGGGAGACAAAGUUGAGGAAGUUGAUGAUAAGACAAAAUCCCAUGUCAUUGCAAUAACAUCUACAACUGUGAGGAAAUUUGGCAGUAAGUCUUCAUUCAAUAUGAGUUAUUCAAUAUUAGUCAUUCAACAAACUAACCUCCUAGGAAAAAUAAAUAAUUGAUAUUUUAUCAGGGUAUUCUCUAUCGUCAACCAAUGCAACAAAAGUUUAUGUAGAUCUACCUAUUCCUGAAACUAAGGAUGCGCAUGAUAGGUGAGAAAAAUUAGAUAUUGUUUUUCUAUUUUAAUCUAUGUAGCAUGCACUCUAACAUGAUACAUUCUUUCGUAUGAUGAAAAAAUGUUAGUUCAAUUGAUAAUAUUGUCAAAGAGAUUCAUUAUUGAGGACCAUCUAAAAGGGAUAUUGGAAGACCAAAUGCAGUACAAUAGAAGAACUUUAGAAGAAUUAAAUUUGAUAUUAUUUGAAACAUCAAAUCAGGUAUGGAUUAGUAUGUUCAUUGUACACUAUACUAUUUAGAGACAUACAUACAUAAUGAUGGUAUUGUUCCUACUUUCAGGAUGAGGUAUUUACGAUGAGGUAUUUACUAUUGAAGCAACAAUAAAUGAAAUUAAUGCAACAUAUGGUUGGUACUACAUCUCAUGUAGUAGAGGCGAUUGUAAGAAGCAACUUGAAAAGAAGUUUCAUCACUACUAUUGCAAUAAAUGUGACAAGAGAGCCGAACCUAAAGCAUGGUAAAUUAUUUAGUAGUUUACAAUCUUAUUAUAAUACUUCUAUUUCUAAUUGGAGAAUAAUAUUUGCAAAUUCAAAAUUAAGCUUCAAAUAAGUGAUCCAACAACAAGUGCAACUUCUGUACUUUUGACAAGGAAGCAGAAAUGAUAAUUAAUGAAUGAGCAGAUUCGAUGAUCACCUCCGUUGAUCAUGAUAAUAAGUAGCUACCAAAAUCAACUAUGCAAAAAGUAGGAACAGAUCUUAAUCGGCUAUGCAAAAAGUAGUAAAUUGAGCAAUAAGAUAUAAAAAAGCUGACAGUCCUAAUUCCAAGCUGUAUAACUGGUGAUAAAACUAGAACAACAUGCAAAACCUAGAAUUCUAGUGAUUAUCGAUAACUGGUGAAUAAAUCUAAACAAAACGACAGCAAUGCGCCCGAAGUUAAAGCUUAGAUAUUACUUGAUAAGCGGAACUUAUAGAAUCGGCCGGAGAUCAAGUUGAUGCAGCCCCGCCAACCCGUACGAACUCGUGAAAAGAAGAAAAGUAUUGGCGAAGUCGCCUGCUCGAAAGUAAAGUGCGAGGAAAUAGUAGUUUGUUGUAUUGAUUUGAUGAUGAUUACAGAUCUAUGAAAGCGGCUAUUUAUAGCCAGUUACAACCAAUCUCUUAACUGACUAGGACUCUAUCUCUAAUUUUAAACGAAAACGAAUAUUUACAAGCAUAAUUCGUAUCGGAGUUGGUCAUCGUGUUCCCAUGGGCCGAUCUCCUUUUUAUCUUCAUAGCUCACUUUAGGCCCAUAUUGGCCCAACUGCUCCAACCUCCCAAUCGGCCGAUUUCCACCAACUCCAUCCGCCGAAAUACUACAGCACCAAUCGGCCGAUCCUCAACUGUAGCACCAAUCGGCCGAUUCCCAAUCGUGACCUCCGUGUUUCGCCGCAUCAGCUGAUUCCUUCCCUUCUUGACGCCGAUUUCAUACGCGUCAAAAUCUGGCAUCAACACAUGCCCCAAGUUUCGGAGUAAAACAUAAUCUUUACUUCAAAAUUCCUUUCAACUUCCCUUCCGAAACAAACGCAUUGAAAAUACCCUUCCGUUUCGCGGUCUUCUGCCUGAUGAUUGCAAUCUUUUCGAAACGGGCGCCCACGACAACCACUCCUCCUGAAAAAAUCGAACCGCCGGCGUGGUAAAAAUUCCGCUUUUACCCUUUCUCAGACCGCCCUUAGAUAUCAGUACGUCCCGUACUUCUUCUUCACGAGCCCACGUCUUCCUUCUUUGGCGCACUGACCUCCUUCUUCUUCCGGCGUCUCUUUAGCCUCUAACCUCUCACUCCGGCGAGUUCUUCCAUCUACAUUCCACCCCACCUUCCCGAUGGCAACACCUUCAGGCACUCCACCAACAUCCGAGGUCCCGGAGACGGCUCCAUCAGCAGCGGCUCCAACAGCAAUGGUGGCAGCUCCAUUGGCAGGAGCAGGAGCUCCAUCGGGCGGGAGCGGGAGCUUCAUCAACGACCACAAUGAGCUUCAUACCAGAGGUUUCUACCAAAACUUUCCUUUCCGCUCCUCUAUGUCGAUGCAUUUACCUUAGAUCAUUUCUUACUGCCCCUUCCAUUCUUUACCUGUUUAGGCAGUUAGGCACCACAUUACUAUUCGCCUCACCGAAACUCCCGGCCUUAUCUAUUUUGGUCCCAUGGGAAACCCAGAUCCAACCGACCUAAUCAAUUUGGAAACCCAUAGGAUCCCUUUCAAGCAAUCAACCAUGGACCUAGAUCACUGGUCAGGUACCUUCAGAUCAUGGCCGAAUGAAACCCCCGGCUGGAGGGAAUGGUACAAAUGGAUAGCCGCCUCAAAAAGAGUUCAAUGGGACGAGCACAAAAUCGGCCAGUGCAUCGACUUAUCUUUGUCCCAAAUGGAAAGGAAUGAGCCUUUAGUAAUAGCAGCCUCCUACUUUUGGUCCGAUGCCCUAAACGCAUUCCCCUUAGGACACGGAGCUAUGACCGCUACCCUAGCCGAUGUGGUCAUGUUGACCGGCCUUGAUAUCUCCUCUCCCGAUACUCCUUUCCGUUACUUGGCCAAAACAUCCCAUCGGCUAGAGACGAAAGGAAUCGGCGGGUGGAAAGGAUUCAUCAAGUGCAACAGAAGGGCCGGGACAGCCCAGGAAAGAGAGCAUGCGGCCUUCUUGAUGAUGUGGCUAGAAAAACACCUUUUUUGCGGGAGGGCAGCCGGUCCAUCCACUAACACACAGGCUUUGGCCGAGGCACUAUCGAUAGGUGCCUCUGUUCCUCUUGGAAAGCACCUAUUGGGAUCGGUUUACCAUAUGCUGCAUCAGAUCGGCGUCAAGCUAUCCAAAGGAGAGCCGAUUGGAAACCCAGGUGGACCCUGGUGGUUCAUCAACUUGUGGCUUAAUCUAUAUAUGAGCAAGAUCUCCCAGCAGCGAGUGGAGUACAUGAUGUUCCCCAACAUCGAAUCGGCAGAGAAUCCCACUGUACGGUGCCGGUGUACUUCCUUCGGUGAAGCGGCAUCGGCCUUCUCCGGUUGCUCAUAUUCUGCUGCCAAGGUGGCCGAAUACUUCAGAUGCUUCUACAAUGGCUUCAGCAAAGACGCAACCAGCUUGUUCCCUUAUCAAAGGGAGGAACCACUCUUCGAGCUCCCCUCCUGUUUUGACUCGGCCACCAGCAAAUUUGAUGAGGACCUCACAGAUGAAUUGAUCAAGCCUCUCGGGGAAGGAUGCCCCCACUUAUGAGUUUUACCAUCCUUCCGUCACAGCACGGCAAUUCGGCUUGGGUCAACUGCCGAUUUAUGCAUACUUCACCGGCCGAGCAAAAUUUCGAGACGAGCUCACCAAAGGUCUCCACUACUACGAUCGGAUUCCAGACUCCAGCACCAUAGACUUGGCCAGUUGGAUAGUAGCCCCUUUCGCUGUUCAGCAGUUCAAGCUAUGGUGGGUGGAAUGGAAGCAACAUCUAUUCUGCGCCUCUACGGCGAUAUAUUGUAAUCUCCUGAAUCCCGACAACAUCGAUCCGAAUGCUGAGGUAUCGCUCUCUUUCUAGCUGAUUUUCAACUCCUUUUUUUUUAUACUGACUCUUAUUAUUAUUUCAGUCUGAGAGCCAUGCUCCCCCAAAAUGCAGUCGGAGUGGUCGGUCGAUAGAGGACCGUUAUCCAUACACAACAUUCCCCCUCAUCGGCUAUCACGCCCCCUCCGUUGAUGACAUAGCCGGCCGAGCGAAGCAAGCGCAGAAAAAGAUUAUCAAGAAGACAAGUCGCCGAGUACGCGCCCGCACAGAAUCGGCCGAUCCACCCGUGGUUGCAUCGGCAGAAAUUUCGGCUACGCCGACCCUUCCGGUCGCUGAAGAAGUUGACCUCCAAGCCGCUAAAGAGGCCGGAGCGGCUGCCGCGUCAUUGUUGGUGGAAGCUAUUCAGGUAAACUCACCAUCCGAUUUUCCUGACAGUCAUUUCAAUACUGACCUUUCCUUUAUUAGGCCGUGCAGAUUGCCUCAGCAGAUCCACAGCAAUCUGCAAUGCCCCAAGCAGAAGUUGAAAUACCAGUGCCCCUUCCCGUUGAGGUACAUGAUCUCUCAACUCACUUCUUUAAUAUUUGAAUGAUGAUCCUACCAACCUUGACGCAG